AUUUCACCCCUCACACAAACUCCAUAGUUUGUUGUCGCCCGCUUUGCACCGUGACGGUAUGUGUGAAAAACAUAGCCCCGAGUGAAAUACAUUGAGGCUGUAGUUAUUUUUGCCAUCGGACCUAGUAGUAACUCAUGGAACCAUGUUGGAAAUUCAUCCGGAUCAUUCGGGUCCACCUAAUAAGAAAAAAAUUCCGCUUUGAUUUCGUGAUUUCGAUAUAUAGCAAAUUAAAGUAGUACUCUUUUAAUUAAAAUUUUAUAUGUACUUGCCCUUUUAACCACUAGGCAUAGUGUUGAUCUUUACGAUCAUUGAUUUCAGUUUCAGAAACCCCAGAUAUGCAUUCUUUAACCUCAUCAACAAAUGUGCUGAGAAAAACAACAAGUUAUUAAUACUGACAACUCAUAUAAAGAUAUUAUUAAUUAAAAAGGUACCUUUCAUACGAUGACAACUCUUCACAAUUUAACAGGAUAUAUGUAUGUGCACUGUGAUAAUCUUUUUCAUUGGACCACCAAACAUCUUUUAGUUUUCCACUAAGACGUCCGAUCGGCGAGAAUAUGUCAGGUACACCUUCAACGGCAUAAGUAUGGCCAACUCCUCCAUCAUCAUAUCGACGAGUAGCUCUUUUGCGUGUUCGUACUUUCGGUGCAAAAUAGUAUGAAGUGAAGUGUGAAGUCUCUUGCGUUAAGCUUCCCGCCACAAUUGAGCCUUCCACUUUAGCUAGGUUUUUGGCUUUACCUUUAAGAUGCUUCAUGAAACGCUCGAACGGAUACAUCCACCUGUACUGAACAGGUCCACCGAGCUCUGCUUCGUAUGGGAGAUGAACAGGAAGUAUUCCAUAACAUCAAAAAAUGAUGGUGGGAAGAUCUUUUCCAAAUUGCACAACAAGGUUGGAAUAUUCAAUGCCAGUUGUGAUAUUACAUCAACUGAUAAUGUUCGUGUACUAAGAUCCCGAAAAAAAGCACCAAUGCCUCCAAUAGCUUCAUGGACGUUUUUGGGCAAGAGUUCAGCAAAUGCAAAUGGAAAUAAUCGUUGCAUAAAGACAUGGCAGUCAUGGCUUUUCAUCCCAGCAAACUUUACCCCCUUCUCAACAGAUUUGGAAAGAUUAGAGACAUACCCAUCAGGAAAUUUAACAUCAGAAGAAACCCAUCUGAACAAUGUUGACUUUUGAUCUGCACUCAACCGAAAUACAGGAACUGGUGCUUUCCCGUUUCUCAGUAGAUGCAACUCACUUCUGUUGCAUAAAUCAGGCAAGUCCAAUCUUGAUUUACCAUUGUCUUUUGUUCUUCCCGCUACGUUCAUAACUGUAUGCAUGAUGUUAUCAAAAAAGUUUUUUUCAAUGUGCAUGACAUCAAGAUUGUGUCUGAGCAGAUGAUCUUUCCAAUAAGGUAGUUGCCAGAAGAUACUUUUCUUGUGCCAAUUAUGAUGAACUCCAUAACCUUCAGGCAUAUUUGCAGGAGUGUGCCAGUUUCCCCCACGAGUUACUGUUUCUUCUGCCCUCCAAUGAUCUAUUUGCGCCUGUAUAUCAGCUCCUGUUAAAUUAACGAGUGGAGGGACACGUACACUUUUGUUCUUCAAAAAUAACCUCUUGUUCCUCCGAUAUGGAUGAUUAUCCGGUAAAAACCUCCGGUGACAAUCAAACCAACAAGUUUUUCUACCAUGUUUUAGCUGAAACGCAUCAGUUCGAUGAAGACAAUAAGGACAAGAUAGCCUCCCAUGUGUAGUCCAUCCUGAUAGCAUACCGUAAGCGGGGAAAUCGCUUAUUGUCCACAUAAGCACAGCCCGCAUAGUAAAAUUUUUCCUCGUAGAACAGUCAUAUGUACGAACGCCAGUAUAACAUAACUGAUUCAACUCAUGUAUGAGUGGCUGAAGAACUACAUCGAGAGCUCGCUUCAGAUGAUUUGGACCUGGAACCAAAAUACUUAGGAAAAUAAAUUCCCUUUGCAUGCACAAAUCUGGAGGAAGGUUAUAAGGAGUUAGGAUUACUGGCCAUAAUGAAUAUUGUCUACCAGACAUACCAAAUGGACUAAAACCAUCAGUGCACAGACCAAGAUAGACAUUCCGUUUGAACUUAGCAAAAUCUAGGUAUACCAUAUUGAAGUGUUUCCAUGCCUUUGCAUCUGAUGGAUGACCAACUUCUCCAUCUACUUGUGUAUGUUCCGCAUGCCAUCUCAUUGAUGCAGCUGUCCUUUCAGAUUGAUAAAGCCGUUUUAACCUAUCAGUUAUAGGGAGAUACCACAUACGUUGGUACGGUAUCCUUUUACGCCCACCAGUUUGAGGCAUGUAUCUUGGUUUAUGGCAAAAUCGACAUUCCUCUAGCUGAUCAUCGUCUUUCCAAAAAAUCAUACAAUUGUCAACACAUACAUCUAUCAUCUCAGAAGGUAGACCAAGACUAAAAAUCAACUUCUGAAUUUCGUAGUAUGUUCCCGCUGCCAAGUUAUCCUCCGGUAGAUACUCCUUCAGAAGAUCAGCCCAAUCAUCCAUGCAAACCUCAACCAGGUUAUGAUCUGUUCUAAUUGACAUCAUCCUAGCUGCCAACGAUAAUUUAGACAAGCCUUCUCUACAUCCUUCGUAGAUUGGCUGAUUAACAUUGUCUAACAAAUCAUAAAAUCGUUUGGCAUCUACAUUAGGUUCCUCAACAGCAUUACCCGUAUGCGUUUCAUGAAAUGCAUCAGUCACCAUUUUGUGCAUCCUAUCAUGAUCUACACUUUGGUCAUAUUGAUACUGAUUAGGCUGAUGACCAUAAUUCGAUUCAUCAAUAUCAACAUGACUUUGAUAAUUACUACUACUACUAGCAUUCCCAUGAGUAUUACUGCCAUAUCCUUCUCCAUGUAGAUACCAAACAAAAUAUUGCGGCAUAAACCCUCUAUUUAAUAAAUGCGUCCACGCGGUUUUGGUUAGUGUAUACCUCGUAUUCUUGCAUUUCAAACAAGGACAAAACAUUUUCCCACUAUCUUUCGUUCUCUCCAUAUUUGUAGUUUGAUACAUAAAUAUUUCUAACCCGUUCUUGAAUUCUUCUGUCAACGCCCCAUCUGAAUCUUUACGCAUAUACAUCCAACUUCUUAGCUCAUAUAUAGACAUCUUAAAAAUAAACUCAAAAUACUAUCUCUUUUUAUUGAUUAGACAAUAAAGGAGGUGGUCUCUUGUGUCACGUCUAGCCACGUGAAUGAAGUAAAUUAACCUUAUAAUAUUAUUACUUCUUUGAUUCAAAGUAAUAUAACUCUUAAUUCGGGUUUUCAGCAAUGGACAACCCAAUAUAUAAGAAUUUACAACACUAUACUAAAAUUUAAGAGACCUACAAUGGGUCUCCAAGAUGAAGAUGCUCUUAUGUUUGAAUGAUGAUGUGUUGUGAUUGAAUGAAAGAAUGAAGAUCUAUUUAUAGGAAAAUUUCGGGCUUUACAACGCUUUUACGACGACUUUUUACGACGGUUUUACAUUCAACAAUAAUAUUACGACGAGUUUACGACGAUUUUGCGAUAAAAUUUUUCAUCUACAAUGGUUAGGUAAACAUGUUUUAAAUGUUUUUCACCUAACUCCUUUUUCGACGUACAAUCGUCGUAAUAUGUACAUCGAAAUGUAGUCGUCGUAUAUUCGUCGUAAUUUUGCGACGAAUUUACGACGAUUUUACAUUUACUAGCAAAUCUCUCGUUAUCGAUGUAUAAUCGUCGUAAUUCGUCGUAAAUUGUACGUCGAGUUUACGACGAUUUUUAUAUACGACGGUUUUUAAAUUAGACGUAAGAUCGUCGUAAAAUCGUUGUAAAUUUGCGACGAUUUAAUAACCGUCGUAAUGGACCGUUGGAAAACGAUUGUUUUCUUGUAGUGUUUGAUAUAAUAUGUUAUUUUUUCACUCAUGACUUUAGUUUUUCAUAAAAUAAAAUAAUUUUGAUUACAUAAUUAAAUAUUUGCUUGUUAGUUUUGAUUUUUGGCUUUAUGGAUAUGUUGUGCUAAUUUUUUUAAUAGUUUUAUAGAAGAACUUUGAUAUAAUAUGCUAUUUUUUCAUUUCUGACUUUAGUUUUUUUUUUUAAUAAAAUAAUUUUAAUUAUUUAAAUAUUUGCUUGUUAGUUUUGAUUUUUGGGCUUUAUGGAUAUGUUGUACUAAAUUUUUUAAUAGUUUCAUAGAAAAACUUUGAUGUAAUAUGUUAAAGUUAGUAUGAUAAAAAAAAACAAGUUCUACCUAGUAUUACAGUAUAAUAAAACAUAAUAAAUAGUAUUACAUUGGAGAUCUACCAUUUUCAAAUAGCAUUCAUUAGAGUCUUUGCCUUGGCCGUCUUUUAUUUUGCGUCAACGGAAAUCUUUUACUUCUCUUUCUUCCCUUAUUUUUCACUUCAUCUGGAGGUAAGAUCUGCAGCUUUUCGAUAUCAGCGUGGGACAUUCCAUUGAGACCUAUUCGGAACUAAAUAAAUUGUCUUGCUAUAUGCCAAUACCCAGAUAUCCGUCCAAUAAUAUUUUGAACACAAUUCAUGUAUCUUUAAGGCAUCAUCACCUCUAGAAGCAUCAUUGUUGAAGUCAAUGAAAGCACCUAGUGCGUGAACACAUGAAUACUUCUCAAAAUUGAAAAACCCGCAACUGUAACUUUUCAAUAUCAAGUUCACCAAAUAAGGCUUUCCAUCAGUAUCUUGUAUUCACGCUCGAAACGGUUUAACUCCAUCACAGUUAAUUUCUCAGCAACACUCCGUAAAUCAUGCCUUUUCUCUUAGAAUUACUUGUACUCUGACUUGCUCGAGAGCAUGAAUGCAUAUUUGUGUGCAUUCUAACUGAGAAAGUUUCUGUCCCUGGGAUUCUUGCAGCUCGUAAACCCCAUUUACACCUUUCUUGAGAACAUUUGACCAUGUAACGGGUCUUAUCCGACCACUUUAUAACAUAACAAAAAGACUUAAGAAAUGUUCCUCUAUCCACGAACUCUUGCACUGCCUGUUUAUUUGGAAAUUCCUGAAACUGACUCACACCCAAACCAUCUUCCCAUGACUCUAUUCGCUGACUGCUUUCUAACAGAGGUGGAGGCUCAUGCAUAACUGAUCUAUCAAGCCAUCAUCAGUACCCUCAUCCACACGUUCAGCAUCAGUACCCUCAUCCAUAACGUUUGCUUGUUCGUUGGGUACGUACAAUGUAAUGGCAUUAGCUCUAAUUUCAUCUUCAACAAUAUUGUCCUCUCUCACCACUUGCUCAGGCUGUUCUGUAAUAUUCAUAGCCUCCACAUAUAAAAUACAUCUUCGAUUGUCGUUAUCAACAGAUGUUAGAAAAACACACAGAUCUUCAUCUUUCAAAAUAAUAAAUUGUUCCUCACCUCCUCCAACCAGCAGUGGAAUGUAACUCAUUUCCAAUUUUAUCUUACUUUCAUCUAAUGCAAGCUUUUUGUAUAUCCUACCUUCUAUCAUAGACAGAGUUAUCUCCCUCACAGGUGUCUUCAACAGUAACUAUACAUGUGACCUUGACAUUUAAAAUGAAUGCUGACAGUUUUGCUCAUUGUAUCUGUCAAAACAAUACUAAACACUUGAUCAGUAAUACUAGUAAUCCAGAGUUAUACAUUCACUAUACAUAGUAAUACUAGCUGCACCAAUUUUUACUCGAUAAAUCUCGACUUCAAGUAAUACCAGUUUACUAGUUAUACUAUAUUUUCUAGUACUGAUAGUUAUACCCAGUUCUUCUUUUGCAAGAGCCGAAUGUUCUCACCAAUUACUUAACAUGCACUACGAAUCUGGCCAUCAUCUAGUUAUAUAACUAAAUUGAAGUUCUAAUCAAUCCAGAAUUAAAGCUUAAACCCUCAAUGUGCAUACUAAAAUGAGCUCAACAUAUGCCCAAUUCAAUACAACAAAUCUGGGUAAUUUAUCGGCUAGGACAGCUCAACAGAGGAAAAAACAGCAAUGGUGAAAGAAACAAACGGCGAUGGAGACGGCGUGGGGUCAAUUUCCAGAGCCUAAUCUCCCCGACAUUGGUGGCGAUAGCAGAUCAGAGAGAGAGAGUCAGAGCAAGAUGAGGAGAGAGGGAGCUCAAGUAGAGAGGAGAGAGAAAGAAAGAAUGUCCAAAUUGGUCGGAUCCACUUUUAAAAACCGGGUUGGAAAAAACGGUUUUUCUAUUUUUUGAAUUAAUUUUUAUAAAAAAUUGUUUAAAAAAUAGCAAUUUAAUCUUUUUAUUUACUAAGGGAGAUAAAAGAUGAAUGGAAGAGAUAAGAGAUUAAAAAGUUUUAAGAAGUGGUAUACAUAGAGCUACUACAAAUUAAAUCAUAGCAAGAAAAGAGAGCUACGAUUAGCUUAUAUAUAGCAAACUAAAAGCACUAUUAUAUAGUUAAAUAUAACACGGUUUUUGUGCUAUUAAUCACUGUAAUAUAACAUUAGAAAAAUGCUAUUAUAGGAUAUCCUACGAUAACGCCUGCUCAAAAACGCAAUUGUAUAUAGCCAUUUUAUUAUAAUGUAGCUUUUUAUAGCAUUUAUAAAAACGCUAUAAUAACCAUAUCAUAGCGGUAAUCGUCUGCUAUCAAUAUCCAUAUUUGUUGUAGUAGUUGUCUUCUUCAUCGUUUGAAUUUUAAAAUUUACUUUUUCUCCUUCGUUUGAAAUUUUUGAAAAAAUGUAACUGUAAAUAAAGGAAAUGGAAAAGAAUCAGGUGUAAAUAAGGUAAACAAAAAAAGUUAUGUCGUUUAGGGGAAAUGUCGUGUUGUUUUAAGUUAAAAUUUUCGGGUUAUAUCCAAAAAGUUCAAUUCAAAUUUAAAUCGGCCCGAUUCGAUUUUAAAAAAUGGAAAAUAAAAUAAUUAUUCAUUAUAAUUUUAAUUAGUACUAUUAAAUAAAAAAUAAAUAAAAUAAUCUAGGUGUAUUACUGCAUUUUCAAGGUUAUUCCAGCAAUUUUCCCUCAUGAACGAAGGUUAAAAGAGUGAAGAAAAUCGAAAAACCCUGAAAUCUCAAACUGGAAGAAGAUGAGUAAUUGGAAGACUCUUCUCCUUCGAAUCGGCGAAAAGGGCCCCGAGUACGGCACUUCCUCCGACUACAAAGAACAUAUUGUCAGUACUCUCUCUCUCUCUCUUCCUGGAUUCUUCAUCUUCCCUCUUAAACCCUAAUUUCUUCUCUCGUCUUUUUGUUGCGUAUCGCUUGCUCAGUGUGUGUUUAGUUCCAAUAACUUUCCUUUACUCAACUUUUCUGUUUGUGUUUAUAUGCAGGAGACUUGUUUUGGUGUUAUUCGGAGAGAACUCGAGCGUUCUGGGGACCAAGUUUCGCCUGUAAGUUUUGACAUUCUCUGACUUCGUUGUUCAAUUCUGUGAAAUGUGUCACCCUAUCCUUUUGAGAGGUUGAGUUUUUAAGUUCCAUUUUUGUGUAUAAAUGUAUUCGUGUGGAUAUCAUUCUUGACUAUUGUUGUUUUCAUCUUAACAGUAUCUACUGCAAUGUGCUGAACAAUUGCCUCAUAAGAUUCCCUUGUAUGGGACUUUGGUAAGUCUCUUAUAAACUAAAGCGUUUGUUUUUUUUUUUUUCCUUUUCUGGGUAUGUGUUGGAUGUUGGGCAUGCAUGUGGAUGUGUUCUAUGUAAAGAUUUUGAUUUAGUCUUGGACGGUAUGCCUGAUUUUAUGCAUAUUAAAUAAGAAUUUGCUCAGAAAACUAACCCAAGGAUAAUUUAACUUAAUGAGAAUUCCCUUAAGGUGGAUCAUUUUUUGUUUUAACAUAUAUCAUAGAUAACAUUUUGUAGAAAUCUAUUUGUUGAUAGUAAUGGCGGCAUUUGGAUCUGCGCUGAACUGAGAUAUCCUGUACUCUGUUAUUAGUAAUUCAAUUUAGUUUGACACAUGUUUUUUCACAAUCUGAUUGAUGUCUCUGUAUAUGUUUUAGAUUGGUUUGUUGAACUUGGAGAAUGAAGACUUUGUCCAGAAGACAGUAGAAAGUGUCCAAGCUGAUUUACAGGUGAAUAUGAAUGGGCCAGAAGAAUUAUAUCCCAAUAGCUAAAUUGAUAAAAACAAGUUUUUAAGUUACUUAUGUUUAUACUGCUUUUACUGGGUUGAACAUGCCAGGUCGCUUUAGAUUCUGGCAACUGCAACAAUAUCCGUAUAUUGCUACGCUUUUUGACUUCCCUGGUAUGAUUACUAAUCAUUUAACAUUGUCGCUUUGUUUAUUUGAUAUGUAAGUUAAUAUUUUCUAAUAAACCAAAAUUGUCUGGAACAUUAAACUAUGAGGCAUACUUGAAUUUACAGUAUUAGCUCACAUUUUGAGAUGUUUGUUCAUUUUCUUAACAUGCUUUAUUUGGGUUCUGUAGCUGUGCAGUAAGGUUAUUCAACCUGCUUAUUUGAUUGUCGUGUUCGAAACAUUGUUAUCUUCUGCUGCCACCACUGUGGAUGAAGAGAAGGGAAAUCCAUCAUGGCAGGCACAAGCUGACUUUUACGUAAUAUGCAUCUUGUCAAGCCUCCCAUGGGGAGGAGCAGAACUCGCUGAGGUACUUCUCUUGGACUAAAGUCAUUCCAGAAAACGUCUUAGUUACUGUGUAUUAGAAAAAUAUGACAUCUGCAUUGAUGGCUAUUAGAGUACAUGCGCUUCCAGUUAUAUAAUGAUGUCGCCGUGAUGGAUGGCCUAGGGGGGCAGUACUGGUCACUGAACUGCUUCUAUAUGAACAAUGAUAAGCUAUUAUUUUAACUUGUUACCACCGCUGAAAUUUUCCUCUUUCUUGCAGCAAGUUCCUGAUGAGAUUGAAAGAGUCUUAGUUGGGAUACAAGCUUAUUUGAGCAUCCGAAAGCAUUCUUCCACCUCUGGUUUAAACAUUUUUCACAAUGGCGAAUCUGAAAGCAGUCCUGCAGAGAAGGUUUGAUUUUAAUGUUGAAUUUAUGAAGGUUUUGUAUUUGCCUUGUGUUAGCUUCCCCUUUGAAUUUGUAUCGGUAGAUGUCUUGGCAGAUGUAUAAAUUAAAUCUUGUGACGUUUCGUUCUCUGCCUCUUUCUAUAUUUGUCCGAGAUAGUAAUUUGUUGAAUUUUGUAUAAUGGUGUAGUAACUUUUGGUUUGCGUCAUUUGUCUUUGUUGUUUGUGAUUUCCUUAGGAUUUGGUGGAGGAUCUAUGGGAUCGAAUACAGUCUCUGGCCUCUAAUGGAUGGAAACUUGAUAGUGGUAUGCAUUUUUUUUGUAUGGUUUACAUUUCUCUUUGUAUCACACAGACUGCAACCCACUUCAACCCUCUCCUUCAAUAUCCCUAUCUACCUUCCUUUAACUUACGAGUUUAUCAAUUCAUAUGACUAGAAAUGUUAGCUUUAUAGUACUAUUGAUGACAAUUUUAUGCUUGUUCAAUUUGCUAGUUCCGAGGCCUCAUCUCUCGUUCGAAGCUCAGCUUGUUGCUGGAAAAUUUCAUGAGCUACGCCCCAUUAAAUGUAUGGAACCACCGAGUCCACCUUCUGAUCUUUCGAGAGCACACAUUGGCAAGCAAAAGCAUGAUGCUUUGAUGAGAUAUCCUCAGAGGACUCGCAGAUUGAAUAUAUUUCCAGCUAAUAAGACUGAGGUGAUACUCUGCUUUGUGAUGACUAUGUUCAUUGGAUAGGACACUUUCAAAAUUUAUUACACUCGUUACAAUCUUAGUCAUCAACAUUUUUUUUCCCAAUCUAUAAUAUAUGUAGAUUGAUAUAUGGGUUGUUUGAUGUCGGUUCGUAUUCCCUUUCUUUUUCCUGUAAACUCGCAGGAUGUACAACCUAUCGAUCGCUUUGUCGUGGAGGAGUAUUUGCUGGAUGUGCUCCUCUAUUUAAAUGGAUGGUAUGUAAUUUUGCAAAAAUGGAGUGUUCUUGGUUUUCUAUGUUCCUAUUAUAUUUUCCUUGCACAGUGGACUGUCGUCCAUGUACACGCUGGUUAUGGUGUAGACCUUGGUCUUGUCCUCCCAGCCAUUAACAAUUAGUCUAGUACUCUCUCAAUUUCUAACCUUAGCUUAAGGUGCAUUGAGCUAAGUUAAAGACUUGCUCUUCGAACAAUAUGGUCACUGAAUUGGCCGGGCGACAGUGUUUUUGUGUUGAGUGUCUAAUUUAACCUUCUCUUGUCCAUUCUUAUGGUUCUGAAUUACCUAACAUAUUGUUGUUUCUUAUUCUAUAUCAUAGCUUAUGCUGAGUUUCUAUUUUUUUUUUUUCACGUGGUCACCGUUUAAAAUUUGAUUGCCUUCUUAAAUUCUAUAGAAUUUUGUUUCACUAAUUAAUUUAUUGCAAAGCUAGUCGGAAGGAGUGCGCGUCCUACAUGGCGAAUCUUCCUGUUCCUUUUCGGUAUGAGUAUCUUAUGGCAGAGACAUUAUUUUCUCAGGUAAAGUUCUCCUAUUGUUAAAUUUGGAAUUUGUCUCUCUAUUAAGUGUUCCCAUUGUAUAUGAAAGCAUAAUGAUAGUCUUGUUCUGGCAGACUUUACCAAUUUUUUCCAAAAAGUUUUUCAUAGAGCAGUGGUUUUAGAUAUAACAAUUCAAUCUGCUGUUUUUCAGAUACUUUUGCUACCACAGCCACCGUUUAAGACUCUUUAUUAUACACUCGUGAUUAUGGAUCUUUGUAAGGUAGCAACAAAGGAUUUCUCUGAUCAUUUGAUGUUUGUUAAAUCGCUGGUGUCAUUUCUUCUACCUGAUUACAAAUAUUCAACUAUUUUAGGCUCUUCCGGGUGCUUUUCCUGCUGUUGUUGCUGGCGCUGUCCGUGCACUCUUUGAGAAAAUUUCCGAGUUAGACAUGGAAUCUAGGACACGCCUUAUCCUAUGGUUCUCUCACCACUUGUAAGUAUAUGUUUUACUUUUUCUUACCCCUUGAUGAUCUGGAUAACGUACUUCAAUGUAGAAUAUUUGUGAAUGUUCCAUAUAUGAUAGAAAAUUAUCUAGCUUAUCAGUUUUUCUUUUGCCAAGUUGAUGAUUGUUUUGAAAUCUAAACUACGAAUUUUCAAUAGACAUAAACUUGGGUAGACUUUACUCUAUGAUGGAUUUUCAGUAGACAUGAAACAUAAACUAUGGAUUUAGGCUUUAGGGUGGGUUUAUUAUCUUUUCAUCUGACUAUCAGUUUAUGUGAUGCAAUGUAGUGUUUGAGUCUUGGUUAGUAGACCAGUUAUUCAUCACAUGACGUUAAUUACGUAUUUUGUUUUGUUCCCUACUUUGAUGGUUAUGAUUCCAUGCCUAACAGAUCCAACUUCCAAUUCAUCUGGCCAUGGGAAGAGUGGGCUUAUGUGUUGGACCUUCCCAAAUGGGCCCCUAAGCGUGUAUUUGUUCAGGAGGUUUUGCAAAGAGAAGUACGCUUGUCUUACUGGGACAAAAUUAAGCAGGUAACAGAGCACCUUCUGUAGAUGAGUUUUGUCAUGAUUUAUAUAUUCUGUUAAAUUUUUGCCUCGACUGUUUUUUACCGGUUUGGGUGGUUAAGUGAAAUGGAAUUGGUUUUCUUUUGGGCGUAAAUGGAGGGUCAUGCCCCUCAUUUAGUUCAGGUAAAAUAUGCAAAUCUUGAAUGGUUCUGUAGAACUGGAUAAAGUGAGGUCUUAUUGAGUAGAAUAUUGGUUGGCUGGGGAGUUAGUACUGUAUUGGUUCUUAAAGGCAUAUCCAGAUUUUUUUUUUCUCCAGCUGGAAAGGAAAAAACAUUAACUAGUUCUUAAAUUAGAAAAAUAUGCUCAGGUUAUAUUUCUUAGUCCAAUUCCAAGGACCUAAUGUUUCAUCUUCAGUUCCACAUGGCUUUAGUUGUCCACUAAAGCAGUAAUUUUGUUUUCUAUGUGUGUGUGUCGAACAGAGCAUCGAGAGUGCGAGUGCCCUAGAAGAAUUGCUUCCUGCAAAGGCUGGUCCGGCUUAUAUGUAUUCCUUGGAAGAGGGUAAAGAGAAAACAGAGGAACAGCAAUUGUCAGCUGAAUUGAACAAGAAGGUCAAGGAAAAACAAUCUGCACGUGACAUGAUGUCGUGGAUUGAAGAAACUAUAUAUCCAGUUCAUGGUUUUGAGAUCACUCUCACAGUAGUUGUACAGAGCUUACUUGACAUCGGUUCAAAAAGUUUCACUCAUUUGGUCACUGUCCUGGAGCGAUACGGCCAAGUAUUUGCGAAACUUUGUCCCGAUAAUGAUAAACAGGUGAUGCUAUUAUCUCAAGUGAGUACAUACUGGAAAAAUAAUGUACAAAUGACGGCGGUGGCAAUCGAUAGGAUGAUGGGUUAUAGACUCGUAUCUAAUCUGGCAAUUGUUAGAUGGGUCUUCUCCCCGGAAAAUGUUGAUCAAUUUCAUGUGUCUGAUCAGCCAUGGGAGGUCAGUUGCGUUCCAACUCAUUCGUCUCUGCUGUGCAAGUUUGUUAAUACUCUGGUUUUUAUCUGCUUUCUAAAGAGCUUGUUUCUUUACACACUGAUUUUUGUUUCUUUCUCUGCAGAUACUUGGGAAUGCUCUUAACAAGACUUAUAACCGUCUCUCUGAUUUGAGGAAAGAAAUAUCAAACAUUACUAAAAACCUUUUGGUUGCUGAGAAAGCAUCAUCAAACGCACGAAUAGAGUUGGAGGCUGCUGAGAGCAAACUCUCCCUAGUGGAUGGUGUGCCCGUUCUUGGUGAGAAUCCAGCGAAGAUGAAGCGUUUAAAAUCAACGGUGGAGAAGACAGGGGAGGCAGAGGUAUCUCUUCGGGAGUCCCUCGAGGCAAAAGAGGCCCUUCUUAAUAGAGCUCUCUCUGAAACCGAGGUGUGUCUCAAAUUUUGUUGUUUGCCUUAUUCCUUUUGUUUACUAGCAGCUAAUUGACUUUCCUUGUGCAUAGGUUCUACUGCUCUCGCUAUUCCAGAGUUUCUUGGCCGUCUUGAAAGAACGUCUCCCAGAAUCAACAAAGGCGAGAUCAUUGCAGGAUUUAAAAUCUAUAGGUGCGGAAGACGAAAACUCAUCUGCAAUGGAGGUGGACAGUGAAAAUGGAAACCCAAAGAAAAAAUGCGAAAUCGGCGAGAGAGAACAGUGGUGCUUAUCAACACUUGGUUAUCUCACGGCGUUUACCAGACAAUAUGCGAACGAGGUAAAAACAACUUAAAAGUAGGGUGUUGUAAGAGCUUAAGGAUAUGAUAAAACGAUGAAUCUUACUUGUUUCUUAAUGUCUUGUAGAUAUGGCCUCACAUGGAGAAGUUGGAGUCGGAAGUGUUCUCUGGAGAUGAUGUUCAUCCUCUCUUUCUUGAAGCCAUAUCUUCUGCACUCCAGUUCCCGUUACAAUAAGGCUGAUCUUUUCAUCUGAAACCUGUCUUUUGUAUUUGUUAUGAGAUUUUUUGACGUUCAAGUUUUAUUAGUAAGUCGAUGAGAAUUACAAAAUUUAAAUUGGAAAACAAAGAGAAAGAGUAAACAGCAGUAGACCCUUUUCUGGGAAACAAAAUUCAAACUGUUCGGAAUUAUAAUUUGGAAAGAGGAUAUGUAGGUGAUGUUUAUCUUUAUUAUGAGUGUAAAGGAAAAAUUAGGGGGACAAUAAGGGCAUGUUCGUUUGCUCAUCCAAAGAGUCAAAUGAUGUUCAAAUGAUGUUCCUUUAGUCACAACUCAUAUAUGGAUUAUCUAAAUCAAUUAUCUGAAUGACUUAUAAAUUUAUAAAGAAAUUUAAAACUCAUCCAACUGAUUCAAAUUGAAUCAUCUGAAUGAACAUGGCUUAGUCCAAAAAAUCUCAUUUUUUUUGUUAAAAAAUAUGAAAACGUAAAAUCUCGUUUUCACAUAAAAAACAUAAAAUUAUAUUUUCAAUUUCAUUUUCUUGUAAAAUUUCAUUUUUUCAUCAAAAACUUAAAAUUUUGUUUUCCCGUAAAAUCUCGUUUUCUUAAAAUCUCGUUUUCCCGUCACAAACGUAAAAUCUUAUUUUUCCAUAAAAAACGUAAAAUUUUUUUUCUCUUCAAAAACGUAAAAUCUAGUUUUUCCGUCAAAAAACAUAAAAUCUCGUUUUUCCGUCAAAAAACGUAAAUUUCGUUUUCCCGUCAAAACGUAAAAUCUCGUUUUCCUGUAAAAAAACAUAAAAUCUUAUUUUCCCGUUAAAAACGUAAAAUCUCGUUUUCCCGUCAAAAAUGUAAAAUCUCGCUUUCCCAUAAAAAGAAACUUAAAAUCUCGUUUUCCCGUUAAAAACGUAAAAUCUCGUUUUUCCAUCAAAAACAUAAAAUCUUGUUUUCCCCGUAAGAAAAGUAAAAUCUCGUUUUCCCGUUAAAAACGUAAAAUCUCAUUUUCCUAUAAAAAAAAACGUAAAAGCUCAUUUAAUAAUUUUGAUUAAAUUUUUUUUAAUAAUUUUGUUAUUAAAACAUAAAGAUAAAGAUAUAUAUAUAUAUUCAGAUUAAUGACCAAAUAAAUAAAGAUUCAUUGCUCAUUUGUCAAUUUCUUAUUUAAAUGUUUGUUUGCUCAUUUGUUAUGUGCAUCAUUCAGAUGAUUCAUCCAGAUAAAUUAUUUAAAUGGAUCAUCUAGAUGUAAAUGACAAAUGAGCAAAUGAAUAGGGUCUAAGUUAUAUUUUCUCUUAAGUUUCUUCUAUACAUGGAAGAACAAUUUUCAAAAGACAAAAAGAGUUGUUUCAUGUUGAAAUUAUUUGUUUCAUGUUUAUUAUAUGGUCUUUGAAGACUCUGAUAUAGAUUAAAAAAAUAAUAGGAUUAAACACAUAAAAGCCUUGUUUAAAUGUUGUAAUGCAAAUUUCUAAAAUGCGUGUUUGAUUUUCCAAAAAUUGGCUAAUUCAUGCCGCUAGUUGUAGCCGCGUUGUUUUCUAAUCUUAAUCUUCCCCGAGUUAUCGUCUCUAUGUGACUGUUGAAUAGCUAUCUCCCAGCUAUCUGCUCUUUAAACCUCUUUUCAGAUGAGCGCCUCCGUCUCCGCCUCCGCCUCCGCCUACCUCAGUCUCCGGCAUCUCCGCAGCUUCCCUUGUGGUGUCCAGUCUCUUCUCUUCUCAUCCUACUCCUCCAUCUCCUUCCCUCUCCACUCUCCUCGUCUCUGCUUCUUCCUCCGCCGCAACUUCCGCCGUCGCCAACUCUUAGUCAACCGUCCACACGCUACAAGCUUCAGUUCUUCUCCAGGUCACAAUCACUACAGUCUCAUCUCCACUUUUAGGUGAAUUUUGUAACGUUUCUGAUUAGACGAAUUAAUCUCUCAGGCUAUACGUCUGGUUCGAACUACGACGUUAUUGUAGUUGGAGCUGGACACGCUGGAUGCGAAGCGGCUUUAGCCUCUGCUCGAUUGGGAGCUAGUACUCUACUUCUCACAUUAAACCUAGAUCGAAUAGCUUGGCAGGUUUUGAAACGGUUUUUUCCAUUAUUAGUUACCUUUUCGUGUGUACACACUGUCUUAGAAUUGUGGGAAAAUAAUGCCGAGAGAAAUGUAUUGUUUGGUGAAGCCUUGCAAUCCAGCAGUAGGUGGACCAGCAAAAUCACAAUUAGUACAUGAAGUUGAUGCACUAGGAGGUGAUAUUGGCAAGGUUGCUGAUAGGUAAUUGUAGCCAAUUUCUUUUCUUGUAUUCUGUUUUAUUGCUAUUGUGGUAUCUAGUGACACUUAUGGCUUAUUCAAUAAUUGUGGGGCUAAAUAUCUUGAAUAUAUAUAGAUACGCAUGUGUUUUCCUUGUUCUUAGCUUAGGCAUGGGAAUUAGAGGAUUGCUAUUAUCAGAUAAAUUUUUAUUGACUUGAACGGUGAUAGAGACGAAUAAGAGUUAUGAAAAGGAGAACAAAUUUGAGCGUUUAUAGCUCUGUCUCAUUGCAAUGGCUCUGAUAUAUCUUCACUUAUCUUCUCUAGAGUGGUCGAGUCUUGUUUUCCAUAUUUUGUCAAGCAUCUCAAACCUAUUUAGACAUUCCUGCAUUGUUGUAAAUAGUUUUGACUACAAAGAACACCCACUCUCCUUUACUUUGUUAACUUAUAGGUGUAAAUAUAAUUACUGAUAUUGUUUCUUCUUCGUCACUGUCACUGAACAACUUAACAGUGCAGAUGCUAUUUACAGAAGCGUAUCCUAAAUGUUUCAAGGGGACCUGCUGUAAGAUCAUUACGUGCUCAGACCGACAAAAGGGAAUAUGCCAUGGAGAUGAAAAAGAUAGUGGAAAGGUUAGCUGAAGUUUACACACUUGCUUACAGUUUAUUUUUUUGGUGACAACUUUGACUAUUGUGCUAUGGUUUACAUAUAAUUCUCGAGCAGAUGUAAGAUGCUGAAAUUUAAAAUUUACAAGAUAUGGCAAUAAUACAAUCUUGAAUUACGAGGUGUAUAUGGUCUUUGUUAACAGUUUUCCAUGGUUUCUUCUGUUCUGGCUUAUGACUGCAAUUUUUCUUUGGUAUGGCAGCACUGAAAAUCUCUGUAUCAGAGAGGCAAUGGUAACAGAUAUCCUAACUGGGAAGAACGACAACGUGGAAGGCGUAGCCACAUUUUUCGGGAUGAACUUUUAUGCACCUUCUGUUAUUCUCACCACUGGAACCUUCAUGAGUGGGAAGAUUUGGGUCGGUAGAAAGUCUAUGCCAGCUGGAAGAGCUGGCGAGUCAGCUUCACAAGGAUUGACAGAGAAUUUGCAGAAACUUGGAUUUGAAACAGAUCGCUUGAAGACUGGUACUCCAGCGCGUGUGGAUCGCCGGACUAUAGAUUUUUCCAAAUUGGAGGCUCAACAUGGAGACGAAGAGGUAGUACUAUACAAUUAAAUAAGUAGCCUAUCCAGGAUCAAUAUCGCAUGGUUGCAUAAGUUAAAGCGAUCCAGUCAGCGAGUAGCCAGUUAGACAGCGCACAAACAAGUUUUUGAACUUUCUUGGCAAAAUUAGUUCGAGCAUUAUGAAUAUUUUUCACCAGUGGAACAAUAUUUCACUUGUUUCUCUGGUAUCACACCAAAAGGAUUCAUGAACCUUUUUUUAAUUGAAGAUGCUGAACAUUAAUUUUCUUUUCCCAGGUCAGCUGGUUUAGUUUCGACCCGGAUUUUCAUAUUGAGAGAGAGCAAAUGUGCUGCUACCUAACUCGCACGACCGAGUUUACACACCAAUUGAUCAGGGAUAAUUUGCAUGAGACCCCAACUUAUGGUGGAUGGGUUGAAGCAAAGGGUCCUAGGUACUGCCCCUCUAUUGAAGACAAGGUAAAUUCUUGUUUAUGCAUAUGCUUUACUCUUUUUAUUUGUAUUAUCUCUUUCUUAGACCCAGGGGAAGUUACACUGGACAUGGUUCAUCUACCUUACAUUUUACUAAGCUGAUUUUUAUUGAUAUACUUGUCAAUGUUAUGACACAUUGUGGAAGCUAAUUGUGAGCAGGACCAUGGAUUUCCGGAUUUACUGGAUAAAAGUAAUUAUAAAUCUGGUUCCCGCUCCAACAUGCAAACAUAUGCUGAUAUGUCUUUAUAUGAGACAUAAUAGUUAACAAAAUAGUUAGAGCCUCAGAAGGAAGCAUGAGUAUAAAUAUGGGAGGGAACAGAUCACUGUGGCUAUUUAGUGUAUAUGAUAGAAUCUAGACGGUCUCGAAAAAGAAUAAGAAGAAGAGUGGGUGAGUUUAGGUUAUGUAGAACAAACCCUUAGUUUAGGCUAUGUAGAGCAAUUGUACGUUGUUUCUGACAGUAAUAAAGCAGUAAACUUUUCUAAAUCAUUCUGAGUCUUAUCAUAUUCCUUUGUUUCUCUUUUGGAUGAUGUCACAGUAGCAAAAUAUAUAUGCUGAUUUUCUGCAAACUGCUCUACGUUUUUCAUCAUUUUCAUUUGCAAGUCUUGAUGGUCCCUUCUAGUGUUGUGUUUACGGUGGUGUUCUUCUAAUUUCUUAAAGCAAUCUUGCAUUCACUGUUUCUACGGUCGGUACAAAUAUUAUCUCGAACCAUCUUUCUCUUAAACUACUUUUGAUGAAAUUUAUGAAUUCUUCUUCUUAUUUUAAUUUACCACCCCUCUAUAUUUUAAUUGGUUUCAGAUUGUUAGGUUUAAAGACAAAGAGUCGCAUCAAAUAUUCCUCGAACCAGAGGGCCGAGAUGUUCCUGAGAUUUAUGUGCAGGUUGAUACAUGUCUUAGUUUUGAUUUCACUAACUGUUAAACAUCUCUGGUAGGGAAAAAGUGUAAGGAUGAUAAAUGGAAUCUAGCUUGUCCAGAAAAUUUCUUUAUGUAUUGUUAGAGCAAGCCCGAAGUUUGUUACUGCUCAGAAUGUUUUUUAACGAUUUCAGUAGAUAUCAUAGCUUGUUUGCUAUGUAUUCAGUAGCUAAUUUGAUACUUUGUUUGUUUUCAAGAAUAGAGCAGAUAUCCUAGCUUGUUUGCUAAGUAUGUAGUAGCUAAUUUGUGCAUUGGUAUUCAAGUCUUUCAAGCUAUUGUAUAUAUAUUCGUAUGAGUGAUUUGCUAGAAUAUCGAUUGGUAAAUUCAACAGGGAUUUUCGACCGGCCUGCCGGAGAAUCUCCAGCUCCCACUUCUAAGAAGUUUACCAGGACUCGAAAAUUGUGCCAUGCUAAGGCCUGCCUAUGCUGUUGAAUAUGACUAUUUGCCGGCUCAUCAGUGUUCCAGGUCCCUUAUGACAAAGAAAAUUGAAGGUCUUUUCUUCUCUGGCCAGAUCAACGGUACAACUGGUUAUGAAGAGGCAGCCGCACAGGUGACUGAUCUGUAGGAGACUUUAUUUUCCUUAAUGAUGGACCUUGAUUCAUGAUAAUAGUUUUACUAAGAUGAUAUGGAAAUAAAAUACUGUCACAACAAUGAAAACUGCUGUUUAGACUUUGUGAAUACGUAUCAUUGAACCAAUCUCUCUUAUUUCGUUCAAAUCUAGGGUAUUAUAUCUGGAAUCAAUGCUGCCAGACAUUCGGAUGGUAAGAAACACGUGGUUCUUGAGAGGGAAAGCAGUUAUAUAGGUACAUUGAUUGACGAUUUAGUCACAAAGGAUCUCAGAGAGCCAUACCGCAUGCUAACAAGGCAAGUUCCAUUUCUUUUUCUUUUUCAGAAUCCUAGUUCUCCUCCUUUCUUUUAUGUUUUCGAGGUCAAUCCUUCAUUCUUCUUUCGAAUUAUGGGUUGGCUAGAGAUAUGAAUCAUGAAUUAUUAUUCCAUGAAAACUUUCGUAGAACGAGACAUCUGUAGAAAGGAUAUAAGUCUUUUUGUACUUCCGCCUUGUAUGUGGCACCCAUAUAAAGUCCACCUGAUGAUGGUAAUAACAGUGGUGCUUUUCAUCAUCAGUUUUUCUAAAUAAGCUUCUCGUCUGGCAUCGUUAUAUGUUUAUGAAAUUUGAUUGGUUAGAUUUUCUGAUAACCUAUCUGGCACUCUUAUGCUGUAGAUUAUUUUCAUUUAAAAUCUGAAUGAAACAUGACGUCUUAUCUUUUCUUGAUGCUGCUCUAUGGCCAUGACUUGCUUGAAUUUCUUUUUUUUUUGGUUCACAUGAACUAUUCAUGCUUUAUUGUCAAAUACCUUAAGCUCUUGAUCACUACUUAUGUAUGUUUGAUAAUGCGGGGUAGUCAAAUAUGUUUUUUUCUUCUCAAUGACAGCCGUUCAGAACAUCGGCUUCUUCUUCGAUUCGAUAAUGCGGAUAGUCGACUGACACCUCUGGGGCGUGAACUUGGAUUGAUAGAUGAUAGACGAUGGAAGCUAUACCAAGAGAAGCAAGCAAGAAUUUCAGAAGAGAAGAAGAGACUGAAAACUGUCAAGAUUUCAGGUUUUCUCCCUAUUUCAUUCCUCCCCAAAAAGAAAUUUUGUUUUUAGAACAAAGUUACGUUAUUUCAUCUCUUUCAACAUGGGAUAGUUGUUUGGAAAAAUCUGUGGUAUGAGUAUCUACGGACAAGAAAUUUGAUAAACUUCCUGAGUUUUUCUUACUGAUAUUAAAACACAUAGAGUUCAGUUUCUGUCUUUAAACAAACGUAUUUGAGACUUGACGAAAACUGGACUUGUUGCAUCGCAUAAGUUGAUGAUGCAUUUGAUUUGCAGCUGCAGGAGGUGAUUUGGCUGCUGAAGUUACUAAGGUGUCUUCUCAGCCAGUCAAAGAAUCAGCGACGCUUGAGAGCUUACUAAAGAAACCACAUAUCCACUACGACAUUCUUGAGAAGCACGGCUUUGGAAACGAGACAUUAUCUAGAAUGGAGAAAGACUGUGUAGAGAUCGAUAUAAAAUAUGAAGGUUUCAUUGUGCGCCAACAAAACCAACUGCUGCAGGUAUGUUUUGUCUGCUUCAUUACUCAAUUAAAUGCUUCUUGCCUGCUUAUAUAUUAUGACAUGAACUUAAAAAUAAAAAAUCCGUAAUAAUAGAUGGCCAAACAAGAACAUAGACAACUUCCAGAGGAUUUGGAUUACUUUUUGAUGACGAAUCUAUCCCAUGAAGGGCGUGAAAAACUUUCAAAGGUGUGUUUUAAAGUAGUUUUCAGUAAAAUGAAUGUGCGUUUAUUAAAGAUUUUCGUCUUAUGCUGUGAGCAAUUAUAAAUUUCAGGUGAGACCGCAGACGAUCGGGCAGGCAAGCAGAGUGGGCGGAGUCAGUCCAGCGGACAUAACAGCUCUGCUCAUAACACUUGAAUCGAACCGAAGAAGAAGUCAAGAUGAGAAGAGAGGGAAAAUAUUGGAGCAUGCCUUGGCAGAAUCCAAUCUACAAUUCGUUGAAGAUAGAGAGCAUUUAAUUAAAGAGUGAAUAAUAAUUUUUCAGGUUAGCAUCAACUCUCUAAGAUUGCGAAACCUUUAAAACUAUUUUGAUCUAUUCAGUGUUGUAGUUGAUUUUUAUUUAUUUUGUUUUAUUUUUUUUCUGUUUAUAUGAUUCAAGCUCCGCAACAAUGCCCUUAACGUUUAUUCAUUCAUCAUCUUCGAUCUUUCUAAAAAACAAGGUUCGAUGGCUAUAGUCAUAGCCAUAAUUUAAGCUUGAUAAUUUUCAGAGAACCGAAAACUUGGGAGAUAAUUAUUCAACGAAUUAAUAAGGGGUAGUGCAGAGAACAGCUCUCGUAGUAAAUUAACCAAAAAAAAUCAACUAAUUUCACGGACUUCUGCUUCUUCCGAUGACCACGACCAAGAAGCUCUGGCUCAUCUUCCAUAAUCGUGAUCUCAGUUGUAGGCAAAACUGGUUCUGGAACAAGAGUUGGAGCAUAGUCUUCAUCGGCCAAAACAGAAUCAUAUGUUGAGCUCUGAUAUCAUCUUUAAAAGUUGUAAAGAAGAUUCUUGUGUAUUAAGGAUGUACCAGAUACAAAUAUUGAUCUAAUCGUUAUGCACAAACGACUAAUUACACAAGAUAAAAGUUGACCCAAUUAUGGCCCGAUAUUGCUUAAUCCUCAAAAUGCUGUCCACUACAAUAAUAUUUUAUUUUCAAAACCCUGACCUUUCUUCUUCCCCAUGCGAUUUGAAAAAUCUGACAUUACAGUUGAAACUAGAAAAUACUAAUAGUCAUUAAUCACAUGCGUUUAACUGUAAAACCUCGAUCUAUAUCUAGACUUUACAUAUGCGAAGUGUAUCUUCAGUUCAUUGAUUACUAAAUUGAAUUAAAUAAAUUGAAAAGAAAAUAGAGUUCCUUUAAUAGGAUUUUCUUGAAAAAUGUGGAAACUUGAGAUCAUUUCCAAAGUCUGUUUGAACUUUGAAGUUUAGACCUUUGGCCUUCCACUUCAUUUAAAGUAGACCAAACUCAAUAUCUCAUUGUGAGAGAUUCAUCAGAUGUUAUUCUUUGCCUCCAUUUGAUUCUUCAUCACCAAUUUUCUAAACGAGUUGUUUGCCUUGUGAGAUAAGUCUUUUGGUAAUUUCUAACGUAAUUCGGGUUCUCGCCGUUGCUUUGAUGGACACUAGAGAAAUACGAAGGCUCAUGGAGAAAAACGAGAAAACAAGUCUGUUCGCUAGAGUAUGUUCUUGGUCUAUCAAAGAUAUUCUCAACACAGAUCUCUACAAGGAAAAGGUUAAUGAUCUCUUUUUGCUCUUUCUUCAAUAGUUUUUUAUCUUUGGUAUAUACUUAUACGUUAUAUUCCUAAGCAGUGGUGUAUUUUUGUAUACAGAUAAAGACAAUACCAGACAGAUUUAGUUCUGUUGAUGAAUACUUUCAGUGUUUUGUUCCUCAUCUACUCGAGGAAACCCGAACCGAGUUGUUCUCGAGCUUCAAAACUUUAUCGAAAGCUCCUUUCUUUCAAAUACAGUCUAUGGAGAAAAGGACAAAUGAAUUUAGUGGAAAGUCACCAAUUAAGUUGUUCCAUGAUAUAACAUUAGUGAAUGCAUUGUACGAGCCGAAUUGUGGAGAUAAAAGUGCAAAGUAUGAGCCAAAGUGUGGAGAUAUUAUUGCUAUGAGUCUGACGGAGGAAAGGCCUAGUCGAAUCGAUGACUUGAAUCCCUUACUUCUAGCCUACGUUUUCUCUGUGUUUGGUGAUUUUAAAAUCUCUGUUUGUUUGUCUAGAUCGAUAUCUCCUGAUGAGAAACGUUCAUUUCGUUUUGGUGUUUUUCUCAUGACUCUAACCACAAACAAUCGAAUUUGGAAUGCUUUGCACAACGAAGAUGCCAAUUCCACUCUAAUCGAGAGUGUGCUUCAGGAAAAUGCUCUGGUAUGUGUUAAGAAAGAGUCUUCUUUGAACCAGUUCAGAAUACAUUUUCUCUAUUUUGUGCUUUAAUUGAUGAGUGAGUUGGGGUUUUGCUUAUGUUGCAGGAUACAGAACAAUGUGUUUACUGUGAGAAUGAUGUUGAUGGUUCUGAAUAUGAUCAUAUUUUGAAUAUUAUCCGCUCAGCGAAAUUGAACUCUUCCCAAGAAGCUGCAAUUUUGGGCUGCAUUAAGACAAGGAACUGUAAACACAAGAAGAGUGUGAAACUGAUAUGGGGACCUCCUGGUACAGGCAAAACAAAGACGGUGGCCACUCUUCUCUCUGCUCUUGUCAAACUAAAGUGCAAAACAGUUGUGUGUGCUCCAACAAACACAGCUAUUGUACAAGUUGCAUCGAGGCUAUUGGCUUUAUCUAAGGAAACAGUUGUGUGUACUCCUAGAAACAAAGCUAUUGUUGACGUUGCAUCGAGGUUCUUGACCUUAUUUAAGGAUUAUUCUACAUUAGAACACACCACUUACGGGAUGGGGAGUAUAGUUCUGUCUGGAAACCGUGAGAGAAUGGGGAUUAGGAAGAAGAGUGUUCUCGAAGAUGUGUUUUUUAAUCAUCGCAUCAGUAAACUUAGUGGAUUGUUUUCAACCUCUUCUGGCUGGAAGCAGCGUUUGUUCUCAAUCAAAGAUUUUCUUGAGAACACAGAGGCUAAGUACGAGCAACAUGUACAUGAACUAGAAGAAGAAGAAAGGAUCAAGAAAGAAGAACAAGAAAAAGAAGAAAGGAUCAAGAAAGAAAAAGAAAAAAAGAAGAAAGAAGAUCAAAAGAAUAACGAAGAAGCUGAAAAGAUGAAAGAAGUUGAGAGGAUGAACGAAGAAGUUGAAAAGAAUAACAAGAAAGAAGUUGUAAAGAUUCCUACAUUUGGAGAGUUUGUGAAGAAAACGUUUAAUGGCUUAAGUGGAGCACUGGAGAUAUAUAUAGUAGAUUUGUUCACUCAUCUGCCUAAGCCUUUCGUUUCAUCUGAAGAUGUGAAGAAUAUGAUCGCAGCCCGCCAAGCUCUUCAGCGUGUUAGAUAUUUCUUGGAGGAGAAUUUCUCUAGAGAUGAUUUCAAGAAAGGUAGUUUCAAAUUCAAUUGCUUCAUCAGAUUCAUCACUGUAGAUGCUCUUGAGGCUCUAAGUCUUCUUCCAGAAAGUUUUGGGAUAACAGGCUUGGAUCGAUACGAAGACAUUAGGAAAUUUUGUCCACGAAAUGCAGACAUAAUCUUCUGCACAGCCUCAGGUGCUGCAGAUAUGAAACCGGAAAGGAUAGGAUCAAUCGACCUUCUUGUGAUCGAUGAGGCGGCUCAGCUUAAAGAAUGUGAAUCGAUUGCUGCAUUGCGACUUCAGGGACUUCGCCAUGCACUUCUAAUAGGAUAUGAGUUUCAGUUACCUGCAAUGGUUCAUAACGAUGAAUGUGAAAAGGCGAAAUUCGGAAGAAGCUUGUUUGAAAGAUUGGUUCUGAUUGGUCAUAACAAACACUUGCUAGAUGUUCAAUACAGAAUGCAUCCUUCCAUUAGUCGUUUCCCCAAUAAGGAGUUUUAUGGUGGGAAAAUCAAAGAUGCUGCGGUUGUUCAAGAAAGCUUUUAUCGAAAGUGCUUUCUUCAAGGAAAUAUGUUUGGAUCUUUCUCGUUUAUCAAUGUGUGCCGUGGAAAAGAAGACUUUGGUGAUGGACAUAGUCCUAAGAACAUGGUUGAAGUUGCUGUGAUUUCUCAAAUCAUAUCCAGUCUUUAUAAAGGUAUAAAAAAUCUUUCUUGAUUUGUAGUAUGUUUCUUGAUUCCUUGAAGGUUAAUUUCCUGAAAGUUUUGAAACAGUUGCAAGUGAAAGAGAGAAGAAGAUGAGCGUUGGAGUUAUCUCACCUUACAAAGAACAAGUCAGGGCAAUCCAAGAGAUGAUCGGACAUAAGUACGGCUCCUUAUCAAGCUGGCGUUUCAGUUUAAAUGUUCAGUCGGUAGAUGGGUUUCAAGGAGGAGAAGAGGAUGUUAUCAUCAUCUCUACCGUUAGAAGUAACGGUAAAGGAAAUAUUGGAUUUCUCAGUAACCGUCAAAGAGCCAACGUGGCACUGACUCGAGCAAGGCACUGUUUAUGGGUGAUUGGCAACGAGACGACUUUGGCUCUAAGUGGUUCGGUUUGGGCAAAACUGAUAAGUGAGUCGAGGGCACGUGAAUGUUUCUUUGAUGCUAGAGAUGAUAGGAGAUUGAGAGAUGCCAUGAAUGAUGCUCUUCUUGAGGAUGUGUCUUCAAGUUUUGCAUCAAUUUCGAUCUGAAUGGGAGACGAAAUGCUUGGUAGUUUUUUAUUUUUGUCUCAUUUUGUGUUUUGUUUUUGAGUUUCUCCAAUGAAAACUCUGUAUGGGAUUUUUAUGAUUUCUUAUGGUAUUUUUUUUUGUUUUCAGUUCACAUAUGAAGUUCCAUAUUUUAUAAACAGAGGAAAAAAACUGAUUAGUUCAUGAAAUAGCUGAUCAUGAGAUUUGGACAUUUUUAACUCAGACUGGACAUGAACCAGAUAGUAUGAAAUUUCAAGAUAUCCAUGUCUCUGUUCGGAUUUGCCCGAUCUGUUUUUCAAUUACACUCAGAUCCAUAUGGAUACCCAGAAAAAUUUGCUCGAACUAUAUCAUUAUAGUUGCUUUUUUCUUUUAAUAUCUAUCUUUAUUUAUAUAUAAAAUUCAAGAUUACAUACAAAUUACAAACGUUUAGAAAACAAGUAAACAAAAGAAAUAAAAAUGACGAUUCUUUUCGAAGAAAAACCUUACUCGUUUUCAUUCUCGCAUUAAAUCUGAUGCGAGUUGUUGCUAUGUCGUUUAUUUCAAAGUCCAACGGUAAAAGUGUACAGGUGAUGAUGUUUAUUUUGAAAAAACAAUCACAUUUAAAUUAGCUUAAAAACAAAUUGCCAACAAAAAAUCAAAAGAGUGAGAAAGACAUGUUGAAGCAAAAAAUCUCACCCACCUUUCCUCUCCUCCUCCUCCGCCGUCUCUCCACCAUUUCCGACGCCGGAUUCACUCUCAAUCUCCCAAAACUCGAACCUUCAAAUGACGCCGAACUGAUCUCCCAAAUCCUCGUCACCAAUCACAACCCUUUCCACUUUAUGGAAUCAUCUCUGCAACUCCAAGGAAUCUCCCUCUCUCCUCACCUCAUCAACCAAACCCUCCUUCGUCUCCGUCACAAUUCCAAAAUCGCCCUCGCUUUCUUCCAGUAUCUACGAUCCUUACCCUCUCCUUCCACUUCAACAACACUCACCUCUUUCAACUUAAUCAUCGACAUCCUCGGAAAAGUUCGUCAGUUCGACGUCGUUAGGCAGCUAAUCGUGGAGAUGGAGCAGCAGGAAAACGUUAAACCUUCUCCGGAGACGUUUCUCAUCCUCAUCAAACGUUUAAUCGCCGCCGGACUCACGCGUCAAGCCGUACGAGCUUUUGAUGAUGCGCCUUGUUUCCUCGAGAGUCGUCUCGGUGUAGAAGAAUUCGGGUUUCUUCUCGAUACGCUCUGUAAAUACGGAUACACGAAAAUGGCUGUUGGGGUUUUCAAUGAACGGAAAGUUGAGUUUGGGUGUAAUGAGAAGACUUACACGAUUUUGAUUGCUGGUUGGUGUAAGCUCGGGAGGAUUGACAUGGCGGAGAGAUUCUUGGCGGAGAUGAUUGAAUCUGGGAUCGAACCAAACGUUGUCACGUAUAAUGUUUUGCUCAAUGGGAUUUGCCGGACGGCGAGUUUGCAUCCGGAGGAGAGGUUUGAGAGGAACGUGAGAAAUGCAGAGAAGGUGUUCGAUGAAAUGCAUCAGAGAGGGAUAGAGCCUGACGUCACGAGUUUCUCUAUUGUGCUUCAUAUGUAUAGUCGAGCUCAUAAAUCCGAGUUGACGUUGGAUAAGUUGAAGCUGAUGAAGGCGAAAGGGAUUAGCCCGACGAUGGAAACGUACACUUCGGUUGUGAAAUGUCUCUGUUCUUGUGGGAGAUUGGAGGAAGCAGAGGAGUUGCUUGAAACAAUGGUGGAAAAUGGGAUAAGCCCUUCGUCUGCGACAUACAAUUGUUUUUUCAAGGAAUACAAAGGAAGAAAAGAUGCUAAUGGGGCAAUGAAUCUUUAUAGGAAGAUGAAAAGUGGAUUGUGCAAGCCGGAUACGCAGACGUAUAAUGUUCUGUUGGGUACGUUUAUCAAUUUGGGGAAGAUGGAGACUGUGAAAGAGAUAUGGGAUGAUCUGAAAGCAAGCGAAACGGGUCCAGAUUUGGAUUCGUAUACUUCCUUAGUUCAUGGGUUGUGUAGCAAGGAGAAAUGGAAAGAGGCUUGUGGGUAUUUUGUUGAGAUGAUAGAGAAAGGUUUCUUGCCACAAAAGCUAACUUUUGAGACAUUGUAUAGAGGAUUAAUACAAUCUGAUAAGUUGAGGACUUGGAGGAGGUUGAAAAAGAAACUCGACGAGGAAUCUAUCACCUUUGGCUCUGAGUUUCAGAGAUACCCUUUUGAGCCCUACAAGAGAUGAUAUUGAAAGUUUUGUGUAACUGAAUUGGCGAUGAAGCAUUAUGCGCAAAUCAGCUAUGGCCAAAUGUGAGGCAAUGAAGCUUAGGCCAUGAUCUUCACCUAAGAGAUUGAUUCUCAGCUGCUGAAAGCUAGGAAGGAAGAUCCAAGACUCCAUUAACUCAUCGUUAUCAUGACAGCUUUGAAUGAUCUGUACUUGUGGUGAAUACUGUAACUUCGUCGUUUGAGACUCAAAUUUUCCUGAGAAACUCUAUUGUUCCGAGUCUAUUAGUCUGGUUCACAAAUUCGACACAUUGUGGUCCCUGAAUAGAAUUAGAGUAGAGAGAAAGCAAGUUAAAGUCUCAUGGAAACAACAAACACAACAUAUUAAAAUUGGCCAACCACAUUAAGCUAUCCGUUGGAAACUUAAACAACCCAGCUAAGUUAUUACAUAAAACUUAAACCAUUAAACCAUCAAUGUCUUUAUUCCCGUUCACUGUCUCUGAACCAUAAAAGUAAAAAUCGUACUAGAAGAAGCCGAGGAGGCCAUGGAUUGUUGAGGACGGACCAUCUCCAAGCCACCUUUCUUGAAGAUCUUCACAUUGAAACAUAUGAUGCCUUGGUGAGUGAACUUAAGCAAGUUCUCGUCUCCUAAAAAGUUUUCCUUCACGAACUUCUCCCAUCCAGAUUUCUUCAGGAAGUAGAAUCUCGGAUUUUUGGAGAUUCCUAUAUCCAAGAGCUGCCCCAUUCAACUCUUAUCUUCAUCUUACUCGAGAGCUCAUAUUUGGAGAGGAUUCUCUUCAAGUCAUGAAGUCAUAAGGAAGUCAUGGAGAGGCUUCUCAUGAAAAGAUAUCUGCGCCCUGAAACUUUGAAGAAGUUCUCAGUUCUGGCUGUUCCUUUCUUCUUUGCGCAGACCAAAAUCACGGUUUAUAGCCAUUGUAAACCUUCUGGAUUUAAGUUUAAUAAUGUCCAAGAGAGACUUUAUAUUUGAAGUGUAUAAAUCGUUGAUUGUCGUUUCAAUCGUCACUAAUCGGUGCGUUGGUAUCAUGUUCCAAUUAUCAUUAUAUAAUGUUAUCAUAUUUUGGUGAUCUUGGAGGUGAGAUCAAAUUUGCCUGAAUAUUAAUAUUGUUGUUUUUUUUGACAUAAUAUUGUUGUAGUAUUAUAAUUUGUAUAAUAGUUAUGUGUUCUUGUAAUUUUAUUUUCUAGUAGAACUUUAUGUUCUAUUAAAUCUGCUUAAUUAUGUUAUGUAAUAUUUAUGUCUUCUUUUAAUUUACUUUUAGUAUGCUAUGUAAUAUUUUUAGGUGUUAAUAUAUUUUAUUUUAACCUUAAGCUGUUUUUUUUUUAAUUUUUAUGUGAAAAUUAAAAAAUAAAGAUAUAUGCAAGAUAACUAUGAAACAUAAAAUUAAACAACUAAAAUGAUAGAAAAACAUAACUAAUAAUAUUCUUAAUAAAGAUAGAUAAUUAUAAAGACUAAAAUGUAAAAGAAAAUAUGAAACUUCAAAUUUGGAGUGUCAUUAUUCAAAUCUUCAAAAUUUGAAGUUUUGAAGUGUCUCAGUAUAUAAAUCUUCUUUUUUUGAAGUGUAUAAAUCUUCAAAUUUGAAGUUAUGAAGUCUUUUUUGUUCAAAAUGAUCUUUUAGCAAGAAGAUUUUUUUCAUCCUUCAACUCUUUCUUUUUACUUUGUUUAUAUCUCUUGCUCUUUGAUAAUGAGAAUUUUGAAAUACUUAUGUUCUUUAAUUUCAAAACUUAGGUUUAAUUGAAAGAGAAAGUUUGUCUCUUUGACUUUGAAAACACACGAAAGAAGAGUAUUUUAUUUUUUUUAGAGAAUCUCCAAUGUAUUACUUUAUUUGUAACUCCAAAAUGGGUUUCUUGCAAAAUAAAGAUGAUUUUUGCUCCAAUGUAUUUUAUUUUAUUUUUUUAUUCUAGAAUAUUUGCAUCCUUUAACGCAAAUUAACAUCAUAUUUACAAAACUAACAAAGAGAAAAUUUGGUUACUGUUUAUUUUUUUAUAGUCCUAUUAUACCCUUUUUCUCCUUCUCUUUUCUUUCUCUCCUUUUAAAUCAUUGUUCUCUUUCUCUCUCCCUUAUCUCUUUUCAUCUUUCUUUUCGUUUCUUUUGCCUGUUUCUCUCAGAAUUUUUUCUUCUCAAUCAAAUACAAUCUCUUAUUGUUUUCCAAAACGAUCUAAUUUAUUAAAAGAAACAGUCAAUUAAUCUUCAACCCAAUUUAUUAACACAGUUCCAGAUUAAAAUUAAUUUCUCGAAAAGCUUGAAGAAAGCUUUGGGAGCUGCAUUGAGAAUGAUCGAAGAUUUCCACGACGAAGAAGAAGACGACAUGGAGAAACUACAUCCACGGAGACAAGAGAGGCAGAUUCCGAUGAAUCUCUCCUCCAGGUGAUAGUCGAUGUUGGUUGAGAGACGACGUAGCUGCAAAGCUCGAGUUACUGUAGCAGCCGCGGUGGUUUAUUACCACGGUUCAGAUUUAGUUGACUGAUCAAUAAUAUUGUUAGAGAAGUAACAAUUAGAAUCACUUAUAAUACUUUUAUAUUAACAUGUUAAUGAUUUAUUUGACUGAGUAGUAAAAUUGUUAGAGAUACAACUAUAUUGUUAUCUUUGAUGCCUCUUAUCUUGUAUGCAAGAAUGCAAAGUCUAUUGCAUGGUUCAUCUCAUAACUAUACCUAGAUACACUAACACAUGAAUAGAUCUCAUUUUUUUUUUUAAUAUCUUUCUUUCCUUUGUCUCUCUCUUUCUCCCAUCUUUCCCUCAUCCGAAGACAAGCAUUUCUCUUUGAAAAUCUGGUUAAGGAAAUAAGUUUUUUUGUUUCUCUGAAACUGAAUUAGUCUUUCAAUUCAUUGUUAAACCGCUAACAUAUUUAAAUAAUGUGUUAUAUUUAUUUGUAUCGCUCUAAGCAAAAUGUGCCACCUUCUAACAAUCUAUAUAACUCAGUAUUGUUAUCAGUCUAACAUGUAUUUUACCAGGCACAACAAAACAAUUAUAGGUAAACUUAUAUGUAACGUGCUAAACAAAUCAAUAACACCUUUAACAAUCCAUACAACUUAUUAUUGUUAUCAAUCUAACAUAUUCUUUAUCGUGAAAAUAAUAAUGUUAGACGUUAACCUACUUGUUCAUAUAUGAUAUAAUAAUUGUUAAUCACUAACUUAUUUGAAUCCGAUGUAGUUUUUUUAAUUUUACAUAGAGAGUGCUAACAUGUGUAGUAGUCGAUAAUAAAUAAUUUCUCAGUAAUAUCAAUUGUUGCACAACUCGAACAGAGAUUAGAAGAGAGAGAAUAAUAUAUAUAUCGGAUGUUCGAUGCAACUUGCAUAAGUGGGGUCUUCUAUUCUCAAAAAAUGGCAGAUAUAAUGAAUGAUAUAUUGGUCAUUCGUAAUAACCAUACAAAUAGUAAAUUAUCAGUUAUGUCACAUCAACAUUAGAUCUGCAAAUUCAGCUGUCUUUAUGUAUAUUCAAUUAAUUGAAUCUUUAUUCUAAAAGAAAAUAUUUUUAAUUUUUUUUUUAUUUUUAUUUUAUAAUGAAUAGCUAAUAAUAUACUUUAUAUUUAAAUUUUGCAAAUUCGUUCUAUUAAUUUAUUAGUGAUUGUUGUAUUAGAUUUAUUUUUCUUAUUUUUCAAUUUCAGUAAUUUUGUAUAUAUUUUUAAAUUUAUUUUCAGUUUAUGUUAUUGUAUUUUCUAUUUCAAUUUUUGAAAUUUAUCCAUAUUUUAUAUAUAUAUAUAUAACAAAUAAAUAGAAGAGAAAACGAGCUCAAUAUUCAUCGCCGGUGCAAUAUUUAGUUAUCUAACUAUGAUCCCACACGAAUUCGAGUUUACUGUGUUGGUAGUUAUCGGAGAUUACCAAAAAGUCUUUAUAUUAACAUUCCACGUAAUAUCAGCUCUCCCGUAAUAGGGAGCGUAAUGAUGGCAUAGGGUGCCUAGACCAGAUAGAGUAGGCAGAGGAAAUAUCUCUGAAAUCUUUGGUGCAGUCGAUCUGAGCCACACAUCUUCUUCCCGCAUAGACGAGCAUUUAAUGCCGGAUAUGCUCAAUAUUUUCUAGACAACCGUGCGAGAAGCGAUGUAUCACUGUAUGUAUACAACACAGGCUUUGUUGCUCCGCUAUAAAAGGUAUCAGCUGUGAAGUGUUAUCUCUCGUUGAAGUUAGAGGUGUAGUGAAGCAGAAAUAUUUUCCAGAAAUCGAAGAACAGCUAACAAAAGGGUUUCCAGAAGCUUACUUCUCACCCAACCGAAACAGGUAGGACCACUUACUUCUGAUACUAUCCAUAAAUGUCGAUUUGGUUUUUUCUGAUUUGUUGCUUGUUAUAGUAUCUCUAUAGUAUAAUCUAAAGCUUUAAAGACUAAUUUAUCACAAACGAUAACUAACUUCCUCGUACGCCAUUAAUGCUCAUAUGAACUUUAAAAAACUAAAGAUUGCAAUCGCAUUUCCAUGAUAACAAUAAAGUUAGCGGUGUUGUAAAAUUUUGAAAGCGUCAACUUACUGGAUCUGUGUAUUGACAGAAAGAUGGGUCUGGCCGUGAGGUUUUUCCGAGGCGUUUGGAACAAAUCUGCUGACGGAGAGUGGAGUUUCAAGGCGGACGACGGCGAGAGAGGACACUCACUGAUGAUGAGCGAGCGGGAAACGUUUGAGACGGUGGACCGGAUGGCUAGGACACGCUACCUACUGAGCCCCUACGAAACAAUGGCUAUGGCAUUCCAGCUCCCGGAGUGGAUGGCGGAGCCACUAGGCCGAAAGAGUCCCCCUGUAAACAUUUUCAAUGAUGGUGACGUCGAACUCUUCAUGGCGGUGCGUUUGGAGUAGGACUCACUGGCACUGUAUGUCACCGUGGGGGCUGACAAUGUGGAGCGCUACCGAUUUCUGACCAGGACCACGCUGUCAUGACCGGACCACCACCAGGUUUUACUCAACCAAACGUUGGGUUGGGCGCCAACAUGUCGGGUACGGGAACUACCAUGUUACGUACCGUUAAAAUCGAAAAGUUAAAUGAAAAUACGUGUGGUGGACUUGACGAUGUUUACGCUUUUUGGGAAGGACUCUUGGAAGGACGACGGGUGCAUAUUGCUGAGAGUAUUCUUCAUGAAGUUUUCAAUGAAGAUGAGAGGCGUUUCCUCCAAGAAGUGCAUAACGCACUAACUGAGCUAGAUUCCUCUCGUGCCAACGCGGAAGGAUCCUCUACCAACUCAACUGGACAGCUUGGAUUCCUGCUGCCUGAACCAAGUUUGCAGAUCCCAACCGGGUUUGCGGGUGAGAGACCUCCAGCUGGAGUAACUGAAGGUGUAGCGAACAUGACUCUCCGGACCGCGGCUGGUGCAGGUAACAUAUCCAUUCAACUAAUUCCGGUAGCGUUCCUGUGUAAAUCGAUCUCUAACAAUUUAUUCAAAAUAUACAGAAAACCAGCUGGGAAGCCAACUUCACCCUACGGUGGCGAUAAGGGGAAGGGAAAAAGGUGCAUUGAAGAUGGUGGUCCCUAUCUUGGUUUGACUAUGGCUUGCAGUGGGGGUCCAAGUCAAAAAUCUCAGGCAAAACGAGAGGAGGACGAGGAGGACUCAGAUGAGGAGUCUGACGAUUAUAUAUGUGAGUAAUAAACUUGUUAGUUUGAUAAGACAUACGUUAGUGGUGCAAUAAAUGACUUAGUUGUGUUCAGUUUAUAUAUUACUCGCUCCGAUGAAACUGAUGAUUAUAUCAUUGUGUAAUAAACUUGUUAGUUCGAAAACAAAUAAGUUAGUCAUGCAAUAAAUUACUUAGUUGUGUUCAUUUUAUAUAUUACCCCCCUCCGAUGAAGCUGACGAUUAUAUCAUUGUGUAAUAAACUUAUUAGAAGGGUAAUAUCGAGUUUAGAGAUGCAUCAAUUGUAUUAUAUCGCCAACGAUUUAGAAUCCUUAUGCGGUUAUUACCUAUGUGAGUAAUAAACUUGUUAGUUCGGUAAUACGGAAAGUAUUGGUGCAAUAUAUGUCUUAGAUUUCUGGAAUUUGUAUAUUACAAACUAUGAUACGGCUGACAUUCAUAUCUGUCUGUAAUGAAUUUAUUAGAAGGGUAAUCCUGAGUUUAGAGCUACACCAAUUUUGUUAUAUCGACAACGAUUUCACUAUCUGAAACAUUGGUUGACUAAUAUAUAUCUUCCUCCCGUGUGUCCGGUUCAGGCGAUGGAGUUAACAAGCCCGGCGUUCUGUAUGUCGGCAUGGUGUUCAAGGAUCAGGACUCGUUCAAAUUACACAUGUCUCUUUAUGCUAUAUCUCAGAAGUUUCAGUACUAUCACCGUCGAUCAACCCCCAAUUUGAUGGUCCUACAAUGUGUGGGUCAGAGUUGCCCAUGGCGGAUUUACGCUGUGAGGAUGGAGGGCAUUGAGUGGUUCCAAAUUAGGUGUGCAUCACUUCAGCAUACCUGCGCCGUCGACGAGCGUGGGGGUUUCCACAAACAGGCUACAUCAAGUGUUAUCGGCGGAAUGAUGCGAGCCAAAUACGCCGGCGGAGCUGUUGGUCCAAGGCCAAAAGAGUUGAGGGAGAUGAUGAGAGAUGAUCACGACGUCCCAAUCUCUUACUGGAAAGCGUGGCGGUCAAGAGAGCUGGCCCGCGAAGGUAGUCUCGGAUCAGCUGGCUCCUCUUACAGAAUCCUCCCAACGUUCCUCCAAAGGUUCGUGAUUUUGAAUCCAGGGAGUGUUGUCUCUCUUGAAACCGACUUCGAGGUGGAUGUUGGCUAGCGCUUCAAGUACCUUUUUUCGCCUUGGGAGCAAGCUUGAAUGGGUACCCUUACAUGCGGAAUGUUGUUGUGAUAGACGGCGCACAUUUGAAGGGUAAAUAUGGCGGUUGUCUGUUAACCGCGAGCUGCCAAGAUGGAAACUACCAGCUCUUCCCUAUCGCUUUCGGGAUUGUCGACGGCGAGAACGACAACGCCUGGAUCUGGUUCUUCCGUAAGCUGAUUGAGGUGAUACCAGACAGACAUGACUUGGUGUUUGUCUCUGACCGUCAUAAUACACGGGUAUACGGAAGGUAAAUCAAUCGUGCCCCCAUAAUAUUUAUUCAUACCGUUAGUACUAUAUCAAUUUGGUUUAUGCAUUAACAACGUUGUUACCCGUCCAACGUCAGAUAUAUAUUUUCUAGUUAAAACGCGACCUAAACAAUUAUGCCUAAAUCAAUCGCGCCCCCAUAAUAUUUAUUCAUACCGUUAGUACUAUAUCAAUUUGUUUUAUGCAUUAACAACGUUGUUACCCGUCCAACGUCAUAUAUAUCUUUUCUAGUUAAAACGCGACCUAAACAAUUAUGCCUACAAACAUUGUUAUCUCUGUAGACAUUUACAUCUUUUGAAAUCAUACCAACUGCAUGUCUAACAUUGUUAAUGUCUGUAGGUGUAUCCCAUGGCGCAGCACUGCGCGUGCGUGGUCCAUCUGCAGAGGAACAUCCAGGCCAUUUUCAAAAAACGUCCCCUCAACUACAUGGUAUCCAAAGCCGCGCGCGCUUUCCUCCAAUCGGAUUUCUACGACCACUUUGAGGAGAUCCAUGAAACGGAUGAGGGUUGCGCCAGCUACCUAACUGCGAUUGGGUAUGAACACUGGGCGAGAUCCCAUUUCCCAGGGGUGUGCUACAACAUAAUGACGAGUAACGUCGCUGAAUCUCUCAACAAUGUCCUCCUCGGUGCGCGUGACCACCCAAUUGUCCCAUUAAUCGAGUGCAUCCGGGCAACACUGAUGUGUUGGUUUGCGACGCGCCGCGAAGAUGCUAAUAGCUGUGGUACCACUUUAACCCCCAAGAUGGAGGAGUUGCUGGCAAAGAAUUUCGAAAUGUCAACUGGGUUCGCGUAUCACAAAAUUAAUGCUGGCGAGCAUGAGAUUAGGAACAAAGAAGGAGUUCCUUACAUGGUUAAUCUGGAAACCCAAACCUGCAGUUGUCAGGAAUUCCAGAUGCUUCGUUAUCCAUGCUCCCAUGCCGUGGUGGCCGCUAUCCGUUCAAAUACAAGGGUCGACUCUUUAGUAGUGGCGGAGUACACCAAGGCUUUCUGGAUUAAGGCAUACGAGUGCAACAUUUAUCCGGUGACUGCGACUGCCCCAAUUGAAACUGUCGGUGACGACUUUUCCGGGCUCAACCUCCUUCCCCCUCGAACAAGACCCCCCCCUGGAAGGCCACGCAAGACAAGAAUCCGCUCCUGUGGAGAGAUAGGGGUAACCUAAACUUUAACUAUUUACAAUUAAGUUUAUCAUUCUAUCAGUUUUGUUAUUGUGACUAAAGAUUUUGUUGGAUUUUAUCAGUUAGGACAACCAAAACGUUUCACCGUCUGUGGGCGCUGUGGUGGCUUCGGCCAUAACCGCGCGACUUGUAAGAUGCCUAUCUAGUUUUCAGAUGAAGGAUGGGAGAACCGGAGAAAGCAUGUAGCUGGUUUUUGUUUGCUUCUCCGUAUUUUGGGUCGGAUGUAAUUUGUAAUUUGCUUUUAAAUCUGUGUAAUAUGAACUAUUUCAGAUGUUUCCUCGUGGAAACUGUCUUAGAACCCAUAUGUUCCUUCAUGUAAUAUAACUUGGGAGAUGCAGUCGUUUCUCCUAUCUGCUAAGUUAAUGCAUUGGUCACUUUGUAUUAAGUGUGUUGUCACCUGUUAAUUGUAGAAUUACCGGGAUAACUUGGAUCAUAACUGUUAAUGUCUGUAUUACCUAUUAACUAUAACGCUACACAGUAAACUUAGAUUUACAUUGCUCCCAUUUACAUCAUCGGCUUGGUAAACUGAAGUCAUAGUCCUAACGUUCCAUGAACUGUUAACGCAGUAGUCUUUAGUAUUUGUCAUUUUAAAUGAAGUGUGAUGUCACUUGUUACUUUCAGGAUUAGCGAGAUAACUUUGAGAUGAAUUGUUAAAGACUAUGUUACCUGCUAACUAAAAUGUUAUGUAGUAAAUCUUUGGAUUACUUUGUUACAAUAUGCCUAGUUAGCUUGGAACAGUGAAGUGCUGGUCUUUUUACAAUUUAAAGUUUGCGGCACUAUAUUGUUACAGAUAAUUACAGAGUUACUCUGGUAAAAUGUAACUUAGUUAUAAGUAAAUUAAUGUGUUUGUUACCUGUUUGUGAAAUAGCUUCGGAAUGAAACUUAAAACUACUUAGGUAAAGUUUCGUUAAUACGUUAAACACUCUACUCUAGUUAUCAAUGUCGCAAGGUAUAUAAGACCCAAAUAUAAAUCCAAAGAAACUAAGUUGACGUACUAACGUACCAGGUUCUGGUAACAUGAUAGUUAUACCCCCGUUCAAAUAAAUUAGUUCUACGCAGCGAAAACAUAAAAGUAUUAAUACAUCUACCCCCGACUUCCGUUACACACCUUCAGCAAACUCCUCGUAAAACUUGACCGCCAGGAUUUGGCUAUCCUUGGUUAGUUCCUCAGGCGUAAGGGUCCUGCAUCUCUCUGUCCCUCCAACGGAAUGUACCAUCAUUAGCAACGCACUCGUCACCCCCGAAUCGGUAUAGAUGAAGUUCUGUGGUAGCCAUUUUGUCCUGUUAAACGCGAAAGGUUUGAAAUCAUUUGUUCGCUUAUGUCCCGGGAUCUGCUUCAGCACAUAAGGCAUCAUUUUUGCAAGGGGCAUGCAAUCCUUUUUCAGAGCCGCAUCAGUCCGAAAUGCUUUGUUGCAGUCAAGAAUAUGCAUCGCCGCACCGGGGACGUCAACAAAAAUGGCCACCCAAUGUUCUUUGUCCAAGUUGAAUGGCAUGUAGAGUCGCUCCGGAAUAGCAUUUUCGUGGCUCCGAGGCUCUAGAUAAUCCAUUACCCCAUCGCCAAAAACAAAUCUCGGCCCAUCUUUAGUCGCUAAUCUCGAAAACUUGCCCCAACAUUUCAUCAGUUGUGCCACAAAUUUUGUCUCCAUGAACUCUGUCCGGUUUUGCGCUGGGUCUGAGAACUGCCUACCAUGCACCGCCCUCGCAUACAACAAUACCGCGUCCAUCAUCUGCGAACGAACGUUGCAGCCGUUAACAGAAAUGAAAACAUUCUAAAUUUGAGGUUGGAUGAUGUAACAGCAAGUGUAACUUGUUAGCGACUACAUUGGUUUGUAAACGCUAAAGUUGGUCAAUAAUUCUAGAGGUAAUCAUUACAGACAAACCAGUGGAAAACAGUUACCUUUGACGGCAUUGGCUUAGUCCUCUCAGCGAUGUCUAAAACAUCUUUGCUGCUUACAGAAGUGCCAUCGCCGAGGCUAAUAACACUGACACCCAAAAAUGUCCUGUCAGCAUUCCAAAAGAUUAAUAGUAAUAGUUAGAUGAAAUGUGGCGUACUGAUUGGUCUUCAGCAAUGCAUGUAGCCUAACAAACUUCUCGAAGAAUUCCCUCUGCUGCUCCGGCGAACAUAAAAACGGGUUCGUCCCCAUUGUGCAUGUUAGCAGCCUCUUGUCAACCUCAUAGUCAGUGAAAGAAGAAUUUUGAAGACGGGGUCUUUUGCCCCUCCGUAGCAAGACAUUGCCAUUCGCCGCAUCCUCUACGAAAUCGUCUAGACCGUCACCAUCCUUUAUUUUUGCCCCCGUAUCUACGACACUCUGGCCAAGUUCGCGAUCAGCCUAGGGGUCCUGCAGUAAUCAAAUAUGCAGUGAAAAGAUAAAGUAUCAUCGAUAACUAAUAUGUUAUCUAUGUAUCAAUAUUGUUGGUCGUUAACGAUAAAUAUAACUGUGGUACCGGAAUAUAUUACACAUCAAUCAUAACGAAUGCUUACUGAUUCAAACGUAGAAGCAACAUUGCUCUCGCCCACCUCCGAUGAUGCUAUCUGAAGCCGAAAAUCCGUAUUACCCCUAUUUCCCAUUCGCAGCAUGCUCGUGGAUGGCCCUGCGUUGGUGUUGGGCCGGGUAACCUAACAAAUAUAUAUGAAUGAAAAGUACAUACAAAAUACUGUCAAUUUAAUCACCCACACACGCUCACCUCGCCUCCGAUUUCUUUAACCAUAUCCACUGCGGCCUCAAUUGCUGCGUCAGCAUCUACUUUAGCGUCUUUGGUAGUUAGUCUACGACUAUCCGAACGCGCCUGCGGAGCAGGGUUCACGAUCGGGUCAUGCUGACGGCUUUUGCAGAAUCCGUUUUACCUCCACCUGACAGAGACUUAUCCAGAAAUCCAAGGAUGUUUGACAAGAGUUCUUCUUGCAUAUCUUUCAGUUUCUGAUCAAGGGUAUUCUUCAAAUUCUCUUCAUACCUAGAGACAGCUUUCUCAAUCCCAUCCAUCUUGCCGAUGGCAGAUUUCAAAGAAGAUUCGAUUGCAGCAAGCUGAAUCCUCAUCUGCUCACCCAUCGUAUCCCCAACACCCGGCUGCCCUUGGUUACCUUUUUCUGAAGCCAUUCCCGAUAUAGACUCCAUCAACUUCUCUUUCUCUUUCUUUUCCCGUAUCUCCUUCUUCUCAUUCUUCAACUUCAAAAGCUCGGCUUGCGUCAUGCCUCCUUUGAACAUAUCUUUUGAGAAUUGGAACCCCUCUCCAAUCAGUCUAACCAUGUUGUCAACCUUGAAGUCCUCCUCUUCAUCGGACCAGCAUAAUUCCUCAUGGAAACUUACGGCAUCGGGGGCUUCCGGUAUGAUACAAAACACGUCAACCUGUACAUGUGUUCUUUAAUGGUUAACAAAAAGAUUAACUGUAUAUCAUAUAUUGAAACUUACAUAUUAGUCGGUUAUCCGUUAACGAUAUGGUUAUUCUCUAACAUUCCAUUUAUAUGCUACUAUUUUGUUUCCCUGGCUAACUUAUAUAACAUUUACCUUGCCCUCCUCGUCUACCUCACGAGCGUGUCCCGGACUGAGUCCGAGUUUGGGCGCAUCCGACCGAUUUGCUGGUUUUGGGAGAGCUUUAUCGGUGUCGUUUUGGUGUUCCUUGUCUGUUGUGUUAUCUUCCACCCUAGCCGCAUCGGUGACCUCGUCUGUUUUGCCGUCAUCGUCGUCGCCAUCCUCGGAUUCCGAUGAAGACGACGACUCGUUUACUUGUAUUACCUCCAUCAAUGCAGGCACCGCUUCGACGAGUAUUAGUUGCAGUACUCUGGGCUAGCGCAACCUCGUCUUUAGCCUUAUUGCUAGACAUCAGCAUUUCAAACCCAAGCCGCCCCCAUGGAUACGCAAAGAACUCGUCCAGAUCUCGGAUCAGUUCGACAUGGUCGUGCAUAAUCUUGGACCUGUAGUUGGUGGGGCAUAGAACUGCACCGGUAAUGGCAAGACAAACAUAUUUUAGCGGGUCGUCGUGUCUGCAACCGUCCUUUUUUUCAGUAUCUUCGUCGCCAUCUCAACACUAGAAACUUUGAGGUUACUAAACAAGUCCGGCAAGUACGGUUUCUCCUUCACUGGGUUUCGUUUCUUCUUCUUCGGUCUCGGUGGGUAUUUACCGCACGGCAGUCCGGUGACUAUCGCGAACUCUCUUAGCGAGACUCUGACCGGUCUUCCGGCAAACAAAAUCCAAAUUUCGUGUCUCUUCUUAACUUGCAGCAGACGAGUUAUUAUGUAAUGACCAAAGCUCCUGGAAAACGCCGGUUUUUCUGCAGUUGCGAUGAGUUUGCCAAAAGGUGAAUUCCGCAGGUACGCUCGCUCGUCCUCGGUAAGAGCAUCUAGAAUAUUACCGAUAGUCUUGGUUUUAUGAUACAAGUUGACUCGUUCACCGGAUGGUUCAUCACCGGCGGUGAAAAUCCUCAAUGGUAAAUCUAAAUCUGCCAUGAAAUCCUGUGGGAAAUGACGGAUUACUCGGGAAUGUGCGUUUGUAUCGCUAUAAUCAUAUAGAUGUGUGAUUAAAACUUACCGACUGUGAAUACCGAUCUCUCUGGCCAAAUACUUCUACCGCUGCGCUGUCAACAAAUCCACACCGUCUGUGUGGUGUUAAUUACAGUGUUGGAUUUCUGCGAACCCUAAUCCCUUUCAGAGAUCGAUAAAAAACUGGUUCAGCUAAUAUUAAAACCGUAAUUCGGUUAUUCUUGGUUUUAACUAAUAAAUUAUUUAAAAAAAUCAAAAAUGGCCGCUAUAAUUACCACGUUUCUUCUGACAUAAUCUUUCUUAGAUAUCCCUAUAGUUGUAGGUUAUAGUAGGGGCUUUUUCGGUUUAAUAGAAAUUGCACAGUGUAGUGAAUAGUGUUUCGUCAGUUUUGCAAAUACAUCCUCUAUAUACGUUAAAGGCUGCAAUUUCUCUAAAUAGAAUAUAUAGUUGAAAUGAUAUGCAUAAUGUUUGAUAUGGCUAGCAUGAUACAAAAUCUGUAGAGAUAAACAAGAAGGAGGAAUGGGUUUUCCCAAUUUGCACAAAAAAAAAAAUGUACAUUCUUAGAGCGAAAAAUCUGCUAUCAUACGUAUUAUAUAGCGUUUUCAUAAAUGCUAUGACAUCAACAGCUAGGGUAGGUGCCAGCCAUACAAUAGCAAUUUUUAUGUAUGCUACGAUAGGUUGAUAUAACAUAAUAAUAUUUGUAUGCGUUUAUUUAUUUUGUCAUAGCACAUAUAUUUUUUGUAAAAAGAAGAAGAGAAUACAUAUCUAGUCCUAUGAUAGGUCCGUCUACAAUAACAAUCAAAUAUUGUUUUGAUACAUUUUGUUAUAACGUUGUUCUAUGCUGUAAUACUCUAUUUGAUAACUAAAUUAUUAUGUAACGAGUCAUGCUUCGUACUGUAAAAAAAGUUUAUGCAUAACUUUUACGAAUUGUUGUGCUUAUUUCUGUUAUGGCGUUCAAGUAUGCUGUAAUACACAGUUUCAUAGCUAAUUUAUUUCGUUAUGAUAUAAGAUUAUAACAGUUUUUUUUUUUUUUUUUGGCUAUAACAUGUGUUUUCGACAAGCUAUCUAUCUAUUCUUGUAAUAUGAAACUCUGAUUAUAUAGAAAUUAAACAAUUCAUAACAUAAGUUUGAAUCCAAUCCAACAGAAAUAACACAAAUCUACAACCAUUCUACAAACAUAAGACAAGUCUGAAUCCAAAAUACAUAAGAAAGUCAUAAGUUCAUAAGUUCAUUAGCCCAGUCUUAAACUAAUUAAAACUGGCUAACCUGGACCAAAGUUUCUUCAUUUCCUGCAACAAUAACAAUGUCUAACAUCAGUUCGGAAAUAACAGUAGUACAUCCGGUAAACCAAAAGUCCAAGCAUCACCCUAAAUACAAAGCUUACCUCAUUUUCGUGAAUUCAAAAAAUGACAAAUUUAUCCAUCGACCAGACAAUAGAUGAACCAUGUGCAUCUCUCAAAUUCUCGAUUUCAUCUGUUGGCCUACAACUGCUGCGUCAUCUACCUUCACUACGUCAACCCAAACUCUAGCUGCAUUUGGCACCAAGCGAACAAAGUAGACCUUUUACUCUAGAUCGAUUGAGUGCAUACGACCUUCAGCAACAACCCUCUUUGCUCCGCUAAUAUCCAUCAACUUGCACUUUUGAUUUUCCAAGAUGACUUCAGAUCCCUGUUUACGCUGCCAUGUUUAAUAUAUACACUAUUUGAUAUACAAGGAAUAACAAACUUCAUAAUAUAAAUAAAAAAAUUACCGGAGAUCUCCGAAGAGGGGACUGUGAAGAUUGCUGAGUUUUCCUUUGAGAGGAUUUUCCUGCAGACUUUAAACAUGUUGCUGCAGAUGUCUCAGUAGGAGUUUUAUAAACAGUUGCUGAAGAUUUUACACCUGCUGCUGCUGAUUUUCCUCCUGAUGAUUGACCAGCCGAUGCAGGUUUUGGAAGAGGAGGAAUCUGACAUAUUGUCUCUGUGGUAUUUUCGAAAAUCAGAUUAUUAGCAAAAACAGUUGUGGCGAUUAAUAGAAAAACAGCAAUCUCUGUUUGCAAAGGUUUAUAAAGGUCGAUACUUCCAAAAAUAGUAUCCACUGGAUCCUAUAAAAUUUUACUCCCCGUCAAAGAUGGCGUAGUAUCAUCUCAGCAAGAUCUCUGGUUAUUAAUGGGUUCUUAAAAAUUGGGUUCCAACAUUUUCAUCUCUGUAUGGAAUGAUUCCUGGAUACCUUAUUCCUAUCCUAGGUCUACCAUAUGUAAGGGUUAUAACUAUUAUCCGAAUUUAAAGGUUAAUCACUUGAUUAAUCCAAUGACAAAUACGUAGAAUCUGGGUUUAAUUAACGCAAUUAUCGAACCAGUGGAUGUGGAAAUAAUUUGUUGCAUGCCCAUAAGUGGUACAUAUAGAUCCGAUUCUCUUGGGUGGUAUUAUACAAGUUCGGACGAUACACAGUGAAAUCUGGUUAUCACGUGGAGAAUCAGGAAUCACAAAGAAACCAAGAAACGUUUUAUGAACCAGACAUAAAUAAGCUACAUGCACAGGCAUGGCAUCUGAAAUGCUCACCGAAAUUAAAGCAUUUCAUUUGGCAAGCUAUCACUGGCUGUCUGCCAAUGGCUAAAAUCUAUACUAUUAUUUGCGAAGUCAAAAAUCUUAGGUGUCGUCUUCAGAGCGAUCGUCCUACAUGUCAUUAAUAUGUGUCGUUUUAAUUAAUUUUCAUUGGUCAAUCAUUAAUCCUACAUGUUAAAAUCUGUGACAUGGAUUUAUUUGCUCUAAAUGGGCCUCAUAAGCCCGAAUAAUCUGUUAUGGGCCAGCAAUUUCGAAAACCUUCAUAAAUCUGUGUUAAUUUAAAAACCUAAUGUAUCCAUCCGGCUAUAUACAUACUAGAUAAAGACUCACAUAUAUAGAGGUUUAUAGUUCAUUAUUUUAUAGCCGGUGAAAAAACAAUAACUAAAAAACUCUUUUUCUUUUUUUUUUAAAUUAGUAAUUCAUUGUUUAAUUUUAUUCUUCUAAAUGUGAAAACUAAAAUAAAAAUUAUUUUCAUUUUCUUAUUAAUUUUACAUUUUAGAAUAAAAUUUAAGUUUUUUUUAUUUUUUAUUUUUUAUUUUUAAUUAGUAACAUUAUCUUGUAUGAUUAAAAUUAUAAAUAUGUUAUAGUUUUUUCUUAUUAACUUUGGCUUUUCUUGUAAUUGUAUUUUCUAUUUUCUUUAUAUAUUUGAUAACUUUGGAUUUUAGGAUUAAGAACCGAUUACAAUUUUUUCCAUUUAUUGUUAAUAUUGAAUAUCUGAAUCUAAUUGAAAAUUUAUUAAACACGUGUCGAAAUCUAAUUGUUUAUCUUGACAUGUGUCACGAUCUCGCGAAUUACUAACUUUGAAACAAUCUACUUUAUAUAUAUAGAUAGAUAGAUCUUUGUUUUGUUAGAUAUAACACUGAUGUUUUUUUUAGGUCUAGCGCUUUUUCUCUUUUUGUUUGUUCAUCAAUUAAUUAUUCUAUUAAUAAUUUGCAUAUAAUUGUUUUCGUACGUUUUGUUUUGUCUUUAUUUGAUACAUUAUUUCGUCGUGUGGACGCUUUUGUAUCACGUCGUUUGGACGAUCUAUAGCGUCUAAAAAUGUCAUGCUCUUUUGUUUUUUUUUUGAACGGCAUAUGAUUAGUUUCUAAAGUUUUUUUGGUCCCAAUUCGUAUAUUUUGUUUCUUCCGCUUCGUUUAUUGUUUUGUUCAAUGUUUGAUUGAUACACCACUUCGUCAUGUGGACGUUUUGUACCUCGCUAGGUGUGUGGCUCAUAAACAAACGAUAUAAUGUGUAAUUGGACAUGUUGUGGUUCGUUUGUUUAAUUUUUUUUUAAGUCGAAACGUAAUUACUACCUAAAUUAUGUACCCAGUUUGUAUCUUUUAUUUAUGAUUUGUAUAUUUUAUAAUGAUUCGUUUCACUUAUUUGUAUUAACAAAUUUUCUUAUAUUUUUUCUUUCGCUCGAAACUAAUUCGAACUAAAAUGUUUUAUUUUUUUUAUUGGUGUGGGUCUUUGAGUUGAUUAAGUGAGUAAAAAGAAAGGUAAUUAUUUAGGUUCGUGGAGUUUGUCUAAUCUGCCAUGUUGUUUUGCGGGUUUAAUUAUCGUGUUGCAUGUGAAAGGUUUUGUGGGUCAAGCCAUGGCAUGGAGCCAACACUUCUUUACACAAAAUUUCAUGUUCCACAUUAAUCUUCAUUUAGUAAAAAGUGUAUUAUCUUAAGAGUCUUAUAUUGCUAAAUCCUCAGGUAAAGGAAAAAGAGAGAGAUUCUUACGCUAGGACUGUCCAAUUAGAUUAUUACUGAAGAUUAUACCAGAGGAGUUGAUUGAUGGCACUUGUAUAAUCCAAGCAAGAACAACCAAUGCACCAAAAAAUUGAGUUCGAGAUCGGUUACUCUUGCAAUGGCCACACCUAGGGAUACUAUUGCUAAUGCCACAACCUGUGAAAGAACAAACUCUAAAACAGGGUUAGAACGAAAAACAUGUCAUGAGAGUUCUUAAUUGACCAGGUGAAAUAUCACAAUAAACUAGCAAGACCUUUGUGGAAAAAAAUGGGUUCUUUUUGAAGAGAACAAACUCUGCACGGGUAAUCGUUGGUGUCACCAUGAUCUUAGACAUUUGAUAGAAUCCAACUGGACAAAAACAAAAGCUUUCAAGUAUGAGAUAAGAAGAUAAAACAGAGUGCAAUCUCUUUAUCUACAUAGUUUGAUUAGUGCUAUCAAAGGUCAAUUUACAGUUUGAGCUAUAAUUCUUGAUGCAAUCAUUACAGAUUGGCCUAUGAACCUGUUGUGUUUGAGGCUGGUACUAGCGAGACGAGAAGCAAAGGUCAAGACAGAUCCAAAAUAGAAGAGAGAGAGAAGAAUGGUAUUGUCUUUGAUGUAAAUUGAUCAUCUCACCAUUUGAGAGAGAUUUAAAGCCUUCAAGAACAUGUAAUUGAUCAGUAUUUUAUCAUUGUUAGUUUGUCCCUUCUGUGUUUUUGAUAUCUGAUUAAUUUGGUUGACAAAAAUUUGAAGUCUUUAGGUACAUGUAAGUAUAGGUAAGAACUGGCUAGAAGGAGAGAUAAAAGCUACCAAAGAGGUUGUUAACCAAUGCACUGAUACCAUUGUGCCCACGCUUAUGAGAGAGAAAAUAACCUACGACAUAUAAAUGAUAAUGAACUUUGGCAAGAAGUAGAGAAUAAAGAAGGUUAACACAAACCGAAAAAGAAGAAGAAGAAGAACUGAGAUAAUACAAAGAUGAGGAAAAAGAAAUCAAAGACAAUGAUGAAGAUGGAAGAAAAUGGUGAGGAAUAAUAAAAUCGAAAGAUAUAUAAGAGGAAGAAGAAAAAAAAGUACAAGUCAAAGACAAUGAAGUAGAAGUAAAAUAUGAGGAAGAAGAAGAUGAAGAAUUUGGGGCAGAAAAAGAAGACAAAGGACUUAAAACUGGAUAAUGAACAAGAAGACGACUAAAAGCCAGAAAAAGCUAGAAAAUAAGGAAAAUACAAGGAAGAACUAAACCAUAAGAUUAAGAGUAAGAAGAAGAGUAGAACAAAACAGAAGAGGAAGAAGGAAAAAAAGACAAAUCCGAAGAGGGAAAUUAAAUAAAUGUUGAAGACGAUGAAGAAGAGAAAAGAAAAGAUAAUGAAUAAUAACAAUUGAAGUCAAUGAUAUAGAAUACAGAAAAUACGAAGAAGAAGACCAAAAAAAAUCAUAAUAAGAAAAUUAUGACAAGACAAAAAUGUUGAAGAAUAAGAAGGGGAAGAGGCUGUUGAAUUUGGAGAAAUAAGGGGAGAGAGAAAUUGAGUUAAUGUUUUCAGGGACAUGUUGAUGCUUUCAGGGGAAUAUAGAUGGAGAGAGAGAGUGUGUGAGAGAAAUAGAGAGAAAGAGAAACGGGAGAGAGUUAAACCUUCCAGGUACGUGAUAUUAAAUAUAUGUUACUUUGUCUUUUUAUGUUCCUUUUUUAUAUACGAAACACUUUUUAAUUUAAAUGUAGUUUUCUAAACCAUAUGAUAUAUACAAACUAGGACGAGAGAGGAAUGGAAAAGGUGAGAUAGAAAUAUUGAAAAAGGGAGAUGGAGAAAGAAAGAAUGAUAGGGAGGGACGCAUGGAGGGGGAUAGAGAGAGAGAGAGAGUUAAAGUUUUGAGGUACAUGUAUUUGCUUAAUAUAAAAGAGAAAUGAAAACAAGAAGAAUAUAAAGUCAGAGAAAACAAAGAAGACGAAGGCGAUGAUGAAGAAGAAGAAGUAGAAGAGGAAGAAGAUAACAAAAAGAUGUGGAAAACACGAAGAAGAAGAAGAAGACGUGACAAAAAAAAUCCUAAAGAAUAAGAAGUAAGAAAAUACUUAUAGAAUGAAGAGGAGAAGGAAGAGGAAAUAAAAUAAAAUAAAAGAAAACUAAGAAGUAGACGUGAGGAAAAAAGAAGAGAUAAAGAUGGAAAACGAUAAAGAAAGAUAAGAGAAAGACGAUACAGAAGAAAAACCAACAUAUAAAUAAGAGGGAAAAAUAAGAAGAUGAAAAACAAUUAUGUGAACACGAAGAAUUCGCUUUUGUCUUAGUUCAAUUGGUUUGUGAGUUUCAUACACUUAUUUAGUAGCAUUUUGGUUUUUAAUUUUGGAUGAUUUUUACUUUUGGGUUUGUUUUAUCUUAUCAUCUAUGUUUUAAAUGAUUUUUUUAAUUCUCUUCAAUCGUAAGUUUAUAACAUCAAGUUCUGUUGUACGUUUUUGAAACCCCUAUGCCCGUGCAAGGGGUUUAGGGUUUAGGACAAUACUGAUGAAAAAGUCUACUCCCAAGAAUAUUUUAAUAGUAUUAAGAUCUCAAAAUUGUCAAACCAUAAACUGAAAUUAAAAAUAAGAACACCUAUUAUGUUGCUUCGGAAUAUUGACCCUAAAGGUGGUUUACGCAAUGGAACAAGACUUUUGGUAACACAAUUGGCCAAACAUGUUAUUCAAGCUAGCCACAUAGCUGGUGAGUAUAUUGGUCAAAAAGUCUUGAUCCCACGAAUGUUUGUUUCUCCCCACCGAGAUAAGGUUCCCUUUUAGAAUGAGGCAUAUACAAUUCCCUGUAGCCAUCGCUUUUGCAAUGACUAUUAUAAAAGCCAAUGACAGACUUUCCAAAAGGUUGGACUGUAUUUACCGAAACCCGUAUUUUUCUAUGGACAACUUUAUGUGGCUAUAUCACAUGUUACUUUGAGAUCUGGUUUGAAAAUUCUGAUAACGGGUACUAUAGGUAAGCUACAAACCAAUACUUUGAACGUUGUAUACAAGGUCGUCUUUCAAAAUGUAAGGAAACGAUAGUUUAUUUUAUUUGUUUUGGUUUAGUUUUUUACUAAUUAAAUUGUCUAUUUUAAUGACAAUUUGGCUUACUUAAGCUUCAGAAUUGAUAUUUUUUUCUCUUUUUCUACUAAUGGUUUUCUUGAUUGUCGAGAAUCGAUAUUUUUAUUCAACAUAAAGGAAUAGAAUACAAAACCAUAAUGAUGUUUAAAAAAUACACACUAAAACAAACUGCAACUUAAAAAUCUGCAGUAUUGGAAUGUUGUACAUCAACAAAUAUGGAAAAUUCUUGGGUUCACCACUAGAGACCCCUUCUCAAUUUAGCCAAUGAGAUUCUGCCAUGUAAUAUUUUAGUAAAUUACUUUAAUUGAUUUUAUUAUAUGAAAAAUGUUUGGAUUCAAUAAAUAAAUAAUAUAUAUAAAGAUUAUAAUUUAGGGUUUAGUUUUAAUUUUAAUUUUUUUAAAAGGUUUAUAGAUUAUGAUUUAGAGUAUAAAGAUUAGAAUUUAGAAUUUAAAGAUUAGAAUUUGGGGAUUAGUGUUUAAAAUUCUGAAAAAAAAAAUAAUUAUGUGAAAAUAUAUAUAUAUAUAUAUAUCUAUUAAAAAUAAAUAUAAAUAAAUUUUAAUUUUAUGUUUGGGUUCACUAUUUCCAAUUUUUAGUUUAGUUUUUCUUCAUUUAAAAUUCCAAAAAUAAAAUAAAAUAAUUAUGUAAAAAUAUAUUUUUAUUAAAAAUAAUUCUAAAUAAACUUUAAUAUUAUGUUUGGGUUCACUAUUUCCAAAUUAGGUUUUAGUUUUUUUCCUUUUAAAAAAAUUAAUAGUAUGUUUGGGUUUACUAUUUCCAAUUUAUGGUUUAGUUUUUCUUUAUUCAAAAUUCUGAAAAUAAAACAAAUAAUUAUGUAAAAAUAUAUUUUUAUUAAAAUAAUUAUAUAUAAAAUUUAAUAUUAUGUUUCAGUUCAUUAUUUCUAAAUUAGGGUAUAGUUUUUGCCAUUAAAAAAACAAUAUUUAAAAUAUGUUGAUUUGGUAAAUUACCUUAAUUGAUUUUAUUAUAUGGCAGGUUCUCAUUGGCUAAAAUGAGAGGGGUGAAUGAAUUAAUUCACCUCUAGGGGUGAAUCCAAGAAUUCUCCAACAAAUAUUAAUGCACAUAACGAUAAUGAUCAUGGUUGAUAAAGUGAUGAGUUUUUCCAAAAGUACAUUAUCCAACUAUCGAAAUUUAUAAGUUUAUUAACGAUACUUAUCACAAUACCAUUAUCCAAAUAUCGAAACUUUUCACCAUUAUAAAAAACACUUAAAUAAAUGAUUCAUGAUAGUUAGUAUUGUUAAAACAAUAGAAUAUUAAAACAUAUCAUUUCAAAAGAGAGUAUAUAUAACUUACAAAUCUCUUACUUAUCAAUAAUCGUCUCUAUAAAUUUUGUAAUUAACUUUGAAUAUCUCACAAGUCCGCGCUUGGCGCGGAUCCCCACCUAGUUUAUAUAAUAGCAGAAUUCAAUGUGAUACAUCAUGCUUUUAGUGUGGUACAGAGGAAGAUCGAUUGAUCAUGCACUUUUUGAAUGUCCACCGGCGGUAUAAGUAUAGGCUCUAUCUCAGAUAUCCACUCCUGCAGGAAUUUUUCCAACAUCAUCAGUUUUUACAAAUUUUGACCAUCUCUUUUGGAGACUUCUAGAAGAGAAUCAAAAUUCACAUUUUCUAUGGAUUGUAUGGUACAUCUGGAAAGCACAGAAUGGAAAGUUAUAUUCAAAUAUAGACCAAGACCCCUAAAUCACUUUAAAGAUUGCGGAUACAGAAGCGAUCUUAUGGGAAGAGGUACAACGAAGUGAGCCAGAAACCUAUAUGCAAAUUGUAAACAACGUAUCUAUCACCUCCCAAUAUAUGGGAUGAUGGUGCUAUAUAAAUGGGUCUUGGAAAGAAACUGAUAAGGUGUCAGGUCUUGGGUGGUAUUAUUUCAAGGAUGGCAUAUAAGAAAACAUUUUAGGAGCAAGGAACGUACGAUGGAGUUUUACUCCACUCCAUGCAGAACUUGAAGCUCUCAUCUGGGCUAUGCUUUGUAUGACACAAAGGUAGCGUUCGCAACAAACUGUUCUGAAUUGGUGAAGAUGGUGUCGAUAGCUGAGAAAUGGCCAGAUUUUGGUCUACAUUUGGAAGAGUUUGUGAAGAGUAAGGAGGCUUUUACUUUAUUUUUGAUAUCACACAUUCCACGCACAAAGAAUUUGAAGGCGGAUAACUUAGUACGGAGUUCAUGGGUCUACCCUCAAGAUGUUAUGUAUGUAAACUUGAUACCACCAUUUUAGAUUGCUAAACCAUUCUAGGAAUUCUAGGCUAUUGACAAAAAAAGGUGAAGUUAGAGUAGGAUUGGAGAAGAAUUUACUCCAAAUUGGCAUUUGGAAUAUAAAAUGUAAGGUUGGAGAUACCCCUAAACCAUCUCCAAUCGUACUCCAAAUUUUACUCCAAAAUUAGUUUAAAGCAAAAUUCUCUGCAAUCAUAUUUCAUAUCUUACUCCAAAAUGGAGUGAAAAAUGAAGUUGCUUCAAAUUUAGAGCAAAAAAUAGAGUUAAUCUAUCUUUUUAGUCAUUUUGGAGUGAAAAAUGGAAUUAAGUGAAAAAUGGAAUAGAAUUCAAGUAAAACACAAUUUUUUUUAUUGAAAUUAUUCUAAAAUAUAGUAAAAUAUGGAGCUAUAUAUUAGAGAUGCUCUUAGUAAUGCAUUUUUCUAUAUGACCAAAAGAUUCUGACCCUAAACUUUGUUUCUUGUGAAUAUUGGCUCAUAUGCUUUGCAACAUAUUUAAUCUGUUUUAGCUUUGGUACAAUUUUCUUUGUAAGAAGCUAAGUUAUUGUAUCUAAAUCAAGUAUAUGUGACUCUAAUAUUUUCUUAUUCGAUUUUUUAAAAUUGAUAACCGAUUUUUAAUCCUAAAAGGUAAAAUUACAAGAUAAAAAAGAAAAUAGAAAAUGUAAAUUUAUGAGAAAGGCCAAAUUUAACUAUAAAUAUUUUUCAAAAUUAAAGAAAAUAUAUAAAUGAUUCAUAACCUAAAAGGUAAAAUUAUUAAAAAGAAUAAAAAAUAGAAUUUUUUCAUUUUAUUCUAAAAUGUAAAGUUAAUAAAAUAUAGAACUAAUAAUCUUUAAAAAAAAAUUAAUUUUUUUCAUCUAUAUAAACAAACUGGUACUCUUUCAAUUAGAAACCGAAAAUUCGAGUUCCAAAUUGAUAUGAAUCUCCCAAUGAUUGGCACUUGAAGUUAGCGAUUGGACAAGCUUUGAUUCUAAGAAGGGAUGAAACCUCUAACAACAAAGAAAAUGGAUCGAUAGGUCACCCAAGAGUUGAGGAAGGCUCUUGAUAUUCCUAACUUGACUCCUAGGAUAUGACACACCUAGACAAGCCAAGGAAGAUUGCUUGGAUAUUACACGCUAAGUAAUUGAAAAUGUUCACAAAGAACAAGAUUUCAAUAAAAAGAUGGUUGUUUUUUUUUUGAUCUUACAUAAGUUUAUAUAGAAGAGAAAUGAGUAGACAAAGUGUCAUACUCGAAAUUAAAAGACAUUAACUUCAAAAAUUAAAAACAAAGACUAAAAAUGUUGAAUACUCUUGAGCUUCUUUGAACAACCCUUGAUCUUCUUGUCUCUUUGACUCCUUGGACGAAUCUGAUGAUGGGCUAAGUCUUUAAUAUUCAUUUUGGGCUUGUAGAAUUGUCUCCUGGAUGCCAAACGUAAGCCUGAAGGCUUCCAAACGAAUUAAGCCUAGAAAUCUUCAAGCAUAGAACUAGUUUGACCAAUUUUGGAAAAUGAGGUGUACCUUUUCUGAUCUUGGGCUUGUUGGAUCCAUAAGAAACCCAUCACGAUUCUGAAAGUGGUCAAACGUUGAGAUCGUGUCUGAGUUGGGCUACCUGGGGCUCGAUAUUUGGCUCGGACGAGUAACUGGGUCUAGACAAAUCCACAGAUUUGUCAAAUUCAUAUCUUCCAAGUAUAAAUCGGUUUUGAUGUGAAUCCAAUUUUACAUGGUUCUGGGAUGAAUCAAGAUUCCAGAAUAAUUUGGUUCACAACUUGAUUUCUUCUAGAAUGGUCGGAAUCCACCAUUGAACGUGCGUUGCUCCAAAUGGAACAAGCUCGAGUUCGCCUGAUUUGAAAACUGAAUAACUUCUUCAUAUGAACUCGGAUUGGACUGAUUCCACUUCGAGGAGUGCUCUAAAUGAGGUGAGAAUAUAUUCCAAGUGGUAUUCGGCCUGUACCAGUUGAGCUUGGACCCCAUUUGUCUUGAACAAGGCAGAUAUGUCUUCUUGGGUGUUUUCAAUAUCAUAUUUCCCUCCCUCUUGAAAAAGUUUCGUCCUCGAAACUGUACAGCUUUGGAAAGAAAAAUGGUGAAGUGAGUUUGGCGGACUCUCCUUGAUUUGCAUGGAAUAUAUGACUCCUUUUGGCUGGCCCUUAUCUUCAAUGUGACAUCUUGUAUAAGACAGCUUUUCCUCACUUGGUUUCAUAACUUCAGCCAACAAAACCUUGUUUUCUGGUUUUGAAAAUGCUGAAUCCCCGAAAACAAAAUUCACUUCCUCCACAACUUUAAAAUCCUGAAUGUAUGAGUCAGGUAUAGAAAAUAAGGAAUACCUCUUUGUGAGUGCAUUAGCUGAUUCACCUGUGCUUCCAAGUUUGCUUAGCAUCAAGCUCUUCUUCUUGGCUUCUUCAUCCUUUGUCUUAAGUAGCAACUGAUCCUGACAGACUUCUCGUGAUGUCAUUGGAACCAGAGUGACUUUUCGGUCCUGGAACUCAAAAGAAUACCAAUUAGUAUAGCCAUUGUGAGACACUCUCCGAUCAUACUGCCAUGGUCGCCCAAGUAGAAUAUAACUUGCAUCCAUGGGUAUCACAUCACAAAGAAUCUCAUCCUCAUACUUGCCAAUGGUUAUGGGAAUCUUCAAUUGGCUGCUCACUUUCAACUCACCACUAUCAUUGAGCCACUGAAGCUUGUAAGUCUUUGGAUGCUUCUUCACCUGCAAUCCAAGCUUUUCUACCAUGGUAACACUUGCCACAUUUGCACAACUUCCCCCAUCAAUAAUGGUGCUACAAACAUUGUCCUUGAUAUUGCAUCUAGUGUGAAACAGAUUCUCUCUCUACUCUUGCUCCUCAGAUUUGGGUUGUAUACUUAGUGAUCUCCUUGAUACCAACAGCUUUCCUUGAACUGGCAUCUCCACAUGUUCUUCUAAAGAUGACUCUGAAUCAGGAACUUCUUCAGCUUCUGAUUUGAUAUUCCCAUUGUCCACGAGAAUCAUGACUUCUGUUUGAGACAUUCAUUGGCAUAGUGUCCUUUCCCUUGACACUUGAAACAUUUACAUUUUGAGCUUGAAGUAGAAGCCACGGCCUUGCCCUUUGCAUCUUGACUCGCAGUGUACUGAUUUGGCUCCAUUUUUGGCUUAACAACUUGUUUCUCUUCUGCUUGGUAACUCGGCUUAGUGUUAGAAACUCCAACACCAUAAGAUAGCUUAGUGGAACCCCUCCUCUUGAGUUGUUGCUCGACCAGAAGAGUUUUGUGGUGCAUCUAUUCUAAAUCAACAUAGUGUUGUAUCUCAAGUCUGUCUUGAACGUACCCGCCCAUGAAUCUCGCCAUGGUUGCUUCUCUGUCCUCUGAUACAUCAGCUCGUAUUAUGAGAGUCUCCAUCUCCUGAAAGUAAUCUUCUACACUCAUUUUUCCCUGGUUGAACUUCUUAGUCUGUGAUGUAGCUGGUGAUGGCUUGGAACAAACCGUUUCCUCAUAAUAGCCUUCAUCUCUGUCCAAGUUUCCACUGGAGCUUCUCCAUUUCGUCUCCUAGUUGUACCAACUGAUCCCACCAGCUAAGUGCGUAAUCAUAGAACUCUGUUGCUGCUACACGCACCUUGUUAAUCUCUGUAUAAUGCUGGCAAUUGAAAAUGAGUUCGAUUUUCUUUCCCCACUCCAAAUACGCAUCUGGGUCAUUCUUCCCAUGGAAGGGUGGAAUCUUAAGCUUAAGACCCCCAAAGUUGUCAUGUUGUUGUUGCUGCCCUCUGCCUUCUCUUCCAUGCCUAUGUCUUCUUCGACUACUUUGAGAUGAGUGACCAUCACAGCUGUAGAAGCUCUCUGCUUCUUCAUCUCUAGGUUGUCUUAGUGGAGCUCCUUCUGGGAGCCUUGCUUGCUGAAUCUCGUUUUGAAUUAGGUCUAAUCUCUGCUGCAUUGGCUCCAUCGCAGCUACCAUCAUUUGUUGAAAAUUGGCACACAACGCAUCUAACAACAAUUGGUUUGGUUAUUGAUUGUUGGUUUGAUCUCCGUUGUCAGACAUCUUGCCCUGGAAACUAAAGCAAACAAAUUACAAGUAAAAAGCUCUCAAGUGUUUCACUCAUAAAAGUGUUUCACUCAUAAAAGUGUUUCUCUCAAAGUGUUUCACUCUUCUCCCCAAAUACUCUCACAAGGCAGUGAAUUCUCACGAGUUCUAAGAGAACAAAUCCAAUCAAACCAAGUGAGAAAAUCCAAACAAAUUUGAGAAAGAAGAUGAAGAGAUAGAUAAUUUAGGAACACAUUUUUUUCUUUUUUUAUGAUUUUUUUUUAUAUUUUCUGGGCAGGAACAGAAGAUGAAUAGAUGAGAAAGAUGGUAAGAAACCAACUUCAAGUGUUGCUCUGAUACCAUUUGAUAUGAAUCUUCUAGGGAUUGGCCCUUGAAGUUGGCGAUUGGAUAGGCUUUAUUUCUAAGAAGUGAUGAAACCUCUAAGAACAAAGGAAAUAGAUCGAUAUGUCACACAAGAAGGCUCUUGAUAUUCCUAACUUGACUCCUAGGAUAUGACACACCUAGACAAGCCAAGAGAGAUUACUUGGAUAUUACACACCAAGUAAUCAAAAAUGUUAUUACACACCAAGUAAUCAAAAAUGUUCACAAAGAACAAAAGAGAAUCACUCUCAAAAGAGUUCAAUAAAAAUAUGGUCGUUUUAUUUCUGAUCUUACAUAAGUUUAUAUAGAAGAUAAAUGACUAGAUUAAUUGUCAUACUCGAAAUUAAAAGACAUUAACUUCAAAGAUUAAAAGCAAAGACUAAAAAUGUUGAAUAACUCUUGAGCAUCUUUAAACAACCCUUGAUCUUCUUGUCUCUUUGACUCCUUGGAAGAAUUUGAUGAUGGGCUAAGUCUUUACUAUUCAUUUUGGUCUUGUAGAAUUGUCUCCUGGAUGCCAAACAUAAUCUUGAAGGCUUCCAAACGAAUCAAGCCUAGAAAUCUUCAAGCAUAGAACCAGUUCGACCCAUUUUGGAAAAUGAGAUGUAUCUUUGUAAUCCAAUGGCCAUUUCUUCUGAUCUUGGGCUUGUUGGAUCCAUAAGAAACCCAUUAAUAUUCUCCAAGUGGUCGCACGUCAAGAUCGUGUAAAAUCCAUAUCUUCCAACGAUAUUUGGCUCAGACGCAUAACUGGAUCUAGAACAGAUCCACUGAAUUGUAAAAUCCAUAUCUUCCAAGUAUAAAUCGGUUUUGAUGUGAAUCCAAUUCUAAGUGGUUCUGGGAUGAAUCAAGAUUCCAGAAUAAUUUGGUUCACAACUUGAUUCCUUCUGGACUGGUCGGAAUCCUCUAUUGAAUGUGCGUCGCUCCAAAUCGAAUAAGUUCGGAUUUGCCUGAUUUUGAAAACUGAAUAAUUUCUUCAUAUGAACUCGUAUUGGACUGAUUCCACUUCAAGGAAUGCUCUAGAUGAGGGGAGAAUAUAUUCCAAGUGGUAUUUGGGCUGUACCUGUUGAGCUUGGACCUCAUUUGUCUUUAACAAGGCAUAUAUGUCUUCUUGGGUGUUUUCAAUAUCAUAUCACAAAUAAUAGAAGAUUUUGACACACCAUUAAUGAUAAAACAAUUAUUGGUUAAUAUGACAAACCGGAUUACCUAUUUGUAAAGGUUUUCAAGGGUCAAUAAUUUUGAAUACUGAUCCACUAGAGAUCAGAUAUUAAUCAUCGUCUUAUGGAUGGAGGAGCAUUAUAUCGAAAACCAAUUUAAAACCAAGGUAAUAAUAUAAUGACAUAAUUGGCAUGGUAUAUGGAGUUUUAUUCCUAAGGUCAUGGGUUCAAAUCCCCAUUUCACAUUAUGUUGCUUAUAAAAAAAAUGUUCAAAACGAUAUAAUUAUGAUAAUGAUAUACAAUUUUAUAUGGAUUAUGAAAUCUAUAGAUGACCAAUGGUUAUGUUGCGGGUUGACUCUAACUUCAUUGGUUUGGCCUGCAUUUUUUGUAAGUGAAGGGUAAAAUUGCAACGACAAAUAUUCAACUAAAACUACUUCUAAUGGCUAUUCCUCACAAAUAGAUUAGUCUCAAAUACAAAGGCUAGAGAAAUUGAUUCUCACUAUCUUUCUAAAUCGCAAACAAUCAAAAAGCACGAACUAAUGAGCUUAUUAUAGCUCUUACAAUAUGAGAUAUACAAUAAAAUACAUUAAAAGAAAUUAUUAAAAUUCAAACAAAAUGAGAGAAAUUAGCUAAAUUAAAUAAUGGUGUUUUGCCACCAAUUUGGCCUUGGACUUGAAUGAGAAGCUUCCUCUUUGGUUGGUUUCAAAGCCAUGUUUUUGAAGAGUUAACAUGGAUGGAAAAGGGGUGAGAUACUUGGUGGAGAAAUGAUAGACGUUUUCAAUUCCGCUUUGACCAGCGUGAAAGUGUGAACGCGAACAAAUAUGGAAAUGCUUCUCUCCUUUAUACCUAGGCGAAUUCUAGAACUCUUUUUUUGUGGGUUUAGUAUUACUGCAUGGAUCUAGCCUUUUGAACUAGAAACAGAUCCUAUGUAUUCUAGAACCACGAGAAUGCUGAAUCUAGAUGCCCAAACUAAUCCUUAGAGAGUGGUCAUCAUAAGAUACGAAAGCAUAUUUGUAGAGAGUUGUAAACGUUAAUUAACUUAACUUUAAUGCAUGAUCUGCUGCAUAGCAAAUAUCUAAAACGGACUUGUUAAAUUGUUAGAGAUUAGGUAGUUAAUUCCACGAGUGUAGGUUAAUUAUAAUUUUGUAUUCGAAUCUGUGGAGUUAGCUAAAAAAAUCGAUUUACACACAUAGUUUUGUACUGUGCUUUGAAUCGAACAUCUUCUAAAAUAUCUGUGUCAACCCGACAUACAUUUUAUUAUUGUCUUACACCGAUUUUUUACUUUUAUCUUACACCAAAAAAUCUUACAAAACCUCUUUCGUUUUAGAACUCAUUUUACUUAUUUUUUUUUUCUAAAUUUUUUGCAGUUUUUUUUUUUGGAUCGACACCCAGUAGGCCAGAACUAUGGUCUUACUGGUAACUAAGUGUUUAGCCCGCGCCUUGCGCAGGCGUAAAUGUUUCAUGAAAUGAUUAUAUUAAUUAAAUGGUUAAAUUUAUUAACGAACAUAUAUUAUGAAACAUUACCUUAAAAGCAACAACAUAAAACUGAUAAAGUAAAAAACUACAUUUAUAAUCAGAAUAAACCGAAAUUAGAAACACAUAAAUGAUGAACUAAUAGUGAUAGAAUGUCGAUCAAUCACUCUAUCUCACUUUCUCUCUCGCACGCUCUCUCUCUCUCUUUCUUUCUUAUGUACAUUUAACAUGUAUUUGAAAGUUUUAAUAUUUUUGUUUAACCAUGUUAAACAGAAAUAAAUAAAAAAAAUGGGAUAUACAAAUAAAUGGUGAUAAAAUAUUAAUCAAUUGCAUGUCCCAGAAGAUUUAACUUUCUCUCUUUCUUUCUCUCUCUCUCUCUAAACACCUAAUCUAAAUCUCCCUUCAUUCUUUCUCGAAAAUCUCCAACAUGUUCUCCUUCAUAAAAUAUAAUUUUGCAAUAGAUAGGUUGAGCUUUGUCUCCUUCAAUUUCUCCUUCUCUCUUUUGUUUUCUUAGUUUACCUCCAAACAUCUUUGUCUUCGUGUAUUUCUCAUUCUUCAUAUCAAACACACAUUUUUCGCCGUCAAAACAUAUUCAUCGCUUUAACAACUAUUUUAUUGUACAUUUUGUGCUUUUCCUCAAACAUUUCAAGCAAGACUUGGAACCAGUUUUAAAUUGUCAAAUUCAAUAUCUCUGAAAUUUCUUUGAUCAUACAUCAAUAUGUUUUGAGGAUCAUUACCGUUUUCUCAUGUGAUAUUAGAGCUUAGGUAAACAAACCAUUUUCGUCUCUCUUUCUUGUCGAGUCUUGUCUUUCUCACAAAUAUGAGCGAAAAACAUGAUAUCAAAACGUAGAUAAAUAAUUCUUUUCGUAGUUUUGAUACCAUGUUAAAUUUUUCUUUUCAACAAUUUAGCCAUACCUGAAAUCAUCUUUAUAAUUUGUAACUGAUUUUAUUUUUUCCCCGAUGUUUUAGUGAAGGUUUUAAGCGGCAGAAACAUAGACUUCACUGCCUGAUUUAAGCAUACUCUUUUCUUUCUUUUUUUGUCGAGAUUUAAGCAUACUCGUGACCCAAAUAUUUUUAAUCUCAGAUUCUGCACCACCAUAAAUUUGGAGAUUUCAUGUUUUAGGUUUCACCAGUUACAUGUUUCAAAUGAAAUUGUAAUUGCUAUUUUUUGUUUGUUUAAUAAGACAUUUAAUUGGAAAAACUAAUGCACGAGCUAUUUUAAUAUGUAAUGCUAGUUUCACAAAUUAAGAGUCACUAAUAGAAAUUGAACCAUUUAUAUAAACAACCACUACAAAACUAUUCCAUUUUCUCCAAAGCGACAUUAAAGAAAAAUGAAUUAGAUUCAUAUGUAUUAUUAUUAUAUUUCUAAAUAACAUUUUAAUCACUUCUUUGACACACAAUUGACACACAAUAAACUGAUUUGAGUCUCAAAUCUAAGGAAAAAAAAAACAAAUUUGGGUAACAUAUCAUAUCGACAUUAUUAACAUUUCUUUAAAAAUAAAAAAACCUCUUGAAAAUAUCAAUGCUCAGAACUUUAAAACAAUAUUAAAACAAAAAAAAAUUGAUUGAAGGAACAAAUCGUUAUCAUCUGUAGUUCCCACCUUUUUUCAAGGGUUUGACAGCAGCAAAUUUCGCAUAUCUCAUUUUCAUUUUCUUAGAUCCCAACUUCUCAUCUGUAAUAGACUCUUUUUUGAUCUUUGUCUCCAUAUAAAUUGACUUUUCAACUUUUCUGUUAAAAGAAUAAGUCGCAUGUCUGCAAAAAUAAAAAAAUCCCCCAACGAAUUUCUUCAGAAAAACCUCAUCACUCGUAAUACAUCAGUUCUCAAAAUCUCCUUACUUCCCUUUUUUUACCUCUCCUUUUAAUAUUAUAGCCUCUAUGACCACACUUGCUGCAUAUUGAUUUAUCAAGAACAUCCACAUUUUUCUACAUGUGCUUUCUGCAUAUUUAUCAAGGAUUGUUUAACAAAGUACGACUAAACCACAAUCAAGAAAGCUUUGAGAUGUGGUAUGUCUUUGUGAUUAACAAUAAGACACAAAAAUGGCGGACACACAAAAUUAAAACCAUGUUAAGUAUACAACCGCAGAUUCUCGACACCCUUUAUUUCCUCGUUUAAUCUGCAUUUUGAGCGAAAAUAAAUCACACCAGAUGCAAAACACAGAAGAACUCAUUCAAAACUGUGAACGAACGCAUUUUAAAGUGGAGGUCAAGGUCAGGAAAACACAUUAAGCAAAACAUUUGGACACAGACACAGUAAGAUUUAUGAUCAGAUAAGUGUAUAUUAAGAUCAAUUUAAAUUUACAUGAGGCAAGAGUUGAAGUAGAGGUAAUCUUUUUACCGGGUUCAAGAAUCAUAUCCGCUUUGGAACCAUUUAGUUGAAUUACAUUUCACACUCCUAACGUUUGUCUCCAAGGAACAAACAAAGAGUGACUCUUGAUAUUGACCAACGGAAACAAACCUUAUGAAGUAUGAAUUAAUAUAUUUCAAGCCCCAAGUUGUGUUACAUUUUAAGAAACAAAUGAUUUAAAGAGAAGUGUAACUGCUUCAAUGGCUCACAAGAAUCCUAAGAGAUUAGGAGAAGUGACUCAAAAUCCCGAAGAGAAACUGAGCACAUAGAGGUCAAUUAUUGAUCCAAAGUCGCAAGCUUUACAGCUUUUUUCAAUCAAUUCAAAUACUCAUGCCUACCAAGGAACAUGAUUAUUAACAAUUUAAAACAGAAUAGAUCAAAAUCAAAUUUCUAGAAUAGAUCCAUCUCAUAGCUAAUGAACUGAAAGUAUAACAAAGGAUUGAUGGGAUUGUGUAAUCAGAAACGAAUGAUGACCAAAACCCAUUUACGGCAAACCAGAGCCAUCACCACAAAGACUGAAUUCAAAACGAAAAAGAUAAAAAGGAAACUGAAGAGAAAAAUAAAAUUUGGUAUGUUGAUCAUCAUAAAAUAUUCUUCUUAUGAGUCAACAGGUGCAUUUGGUGCCUUUUGAUCUUGUAUUUAUGAUGUUCUUUAGGUAUAAAAAGGUACCUCAUUGACACCAGGUUCAAACCUGUAAGCGUAAUCCUCGGCAGCCUCCACCGCAACGGCACCUUGUUUCUGAACAGACCCAUGCCUUUGCUAUCAAGCUUCCUCGGACUGUCUUUUCGAAAAUAGGAAAAGGACAAUGGACUGACAGAUUAAAGGAUAACCUUAAGUGAAUAAAACAAACAAUUUAUUAUAUAAAGACUCAGUUGAGUCUCACAAGCUUGACAUAUCAGCAUCCAUUUUUUUGACACAUCAGAUUAAAAAAAAAUUAUGAGAGAAAUAAUCAAAUUAUACUAAUUUCAUUUUAAUUGAACACAAAAACCGAAAAGAAAUGCAUAUUAAUUUAUGGUUCAUAGUAAACUGCAAAUUAAUUUCUAUUUUGGAAGUUGGAAAGAUCGAAUCUCAAACAAUCUCUAAUGCUUUCGAAUAUUAACUCAAAAUUCCACAAAUCUCCACUUUGAUUUAUGGGUUUUUGAAAGCUCUAUUAUAUUCCUUGUAUUGAAUUCUUCUAAGUAUAAAGUCAUACCCACCGAUAACAACACUACCACCAGGAUAAAAGGUUGAGAUUUGAAGUUUCGGGCAUAAAUCAACAAAAACAAGGAAGAACACAACACUGUUUGAGCACAAAGAAGAAGUACGACAACAUGGAGAAGACACUUGGUGAGACGAGGCAGAAAGUAGAGGAUAAGAUAGUUUUGAAGGGAGGAUUCGAAGUAGAGAGUAAGCUCUUAUAAUUGUUUACAUUGGGAAUUUGCCACUGAGUGUUAAGAAAAAGCUCAUCUCAAAGGAAUUUAGCUAAGUUCAAAUAAUGUUCAUUGAUUUUUUAUUUUCUUUAAUCUUGAUUGAUUAGUCAAAAAAGACAAGGAAAUGAGCUGUAUUGUUUAAGCAAAUCAAUGACAAAACUUCAAUGUCAGCUCUUGAAAUUCUAAAUUCUAAUGAAAACUAUUUUGAAUUUCGGUUGAAAGUCUCUUAUUUUAUUAUUUGAUGUAUGAUUUUAAGUUUCAGUUAUUACAUCUACAAAAAAUAAUAACUACAUUUUUACGAGUUCAUAUGAUAUUCAUAUUACCAAAUACAAAAAAUUAGAUUAAACUUAUAGAAAAAUAUAUAUUAAUAAAUUAUAUUAAAACAAAAAAAUCACAUUUAAUGAUAAUAUAUUUACAAAUUUAGAUAAUAUUUAUAUUAUCAAAAAUAAAAUUAUGUUUAUUUUGUAGAAUAAAAUGUAAUUUUAUAAGGUAUAUUAAAAUAAAUAAAACACAUGCGUGUACACGCAGGUAUUCAUCUAGUAACAUUUAAAUCCAAGGCCAAGGGAAUCACCUGAAUAAGAUGUAAGAAAACCAAAACACUUAAACUCAGCCUUGCAAACUCCUCUGUAUAGACAACAAUGAACACAAUUCCUAUAACGGAUACAAAACCAUGGAGUUAGUUACACAACAACCACGGAACUCAAAACCAUGUAACAACGGAAGAUAACAAACUAAAAAAACAAAGACGAACGCAAAGAUAUAAACAAACAAAACAAAUAUGUGGUUAAGAAAAUAACAUAUACCUAAACUAAAUAACAAACGACAAACAUUAAGAACCAGCAAAAACUAUGAAAGAUCUAGAAAGGCAGGUUGAUAUAAAUGUAUAAUAGUCUAAAGAUCUAGGUCAAGUUAGUUUGUAGGUUAUUUUUUUUGUUUCAUUAAAAUGGUAGUUGUAUGUCAAAUGGAUUAUAGACCCAAGUAUUCUGUGUAUUAAAACCAAUAUUAAACUACACGACAAAUUAGAAAUUGAAAUCGGGUUUGGCGUUUUUUUUAUGUAAACCAUGUUAAACUUAAUUUAAACCAUUAAUUAGGAUAUUAACCAAAUUUUAAUAAGGGACAAAAAGUAAUUAACCACUAUAAAAUUAAAUGAGAGGCCUUAAAACUAAAAAUUUACUUUGCUUUUAAUAUAUAUGAUAUAGACCCAAUUAGUAUUCUGUGUAUUAAAACCAAUAUUAAACUACACGACAAAUUAGAAAUUGAAAUCGGGUUUGGCGUUUUUUAUGUAAACCAUGUUAAACUUAAUUUAAACCAUUAAUUAGGAUAUUAACCAAAUUUUAAUAAGGGACAAAAAGUAAUUAACCACUAUAAAAUUAAAUGAGAGACUUAAAACUAAAAAAUUACUUUGCUUUUAAUAUAUAUGAGGAUGAUUAUACAUAAUUUGGAGUUCCUACCCUAACCCUAAAGUAACAUAAAAAAAGGACCAUAGUCUGUCUAUAAAAAACAAGGGGAUGAUUAGAGAAGGGUUUUUAUACGAAAUAAAACACAACCACAGUCAGCAAAAAUACAAUUUAUCGUCCGAUAACCCCAAUCUCUCUCUCUAGACACAAAUAUACGCUUUCUCUCACCUCAAAAUCCCCUCUCUCUCCAUCUCUCUCUCGUUCUCGCAGCCGACGAUCCAUCCAAAACUCCGAUUACCGGUGAUCGUCUUUCUCCCAUCUCUCGCCGACCUAUCUGUUCCACUGAAUUACGAUCUACUAUUACGAGAAAACCAUCGGAUACAAACUCCGAAUAAUCCCAGAAAAAAACGUUUCGAAUAGAGAACUUCUUUCUCCAGUUUCCGUUUGGUUUUCCGACGAUUAGAUUAAGUGAGAUUCCUUUAAGGCGUGUUUGAUUUUCCAAAUUCAUGGCCGCCACUUGUUGCCCCGUUGUUUUCUGAUUUUCCCACGAGUUAUCUCGUCUCUGUGUGACUGUGUUGAAUAGCUAUUUCCUCUAAACCUUUGUUUUUGCUUCUUCUUUCUCUGGAUAAUAUGUUCAGAGCGUUUCAAUUUCUCUAUUCAGAUACCAGAUCUCUAGGGUUCAUUUUAGCUUUAUUUGGAUUGAUAAUUCGAGAUUUAUAGGGGCUUUAGCAUUCGAUUUGAGUUUAUUCGUGAUUUGCGUUGUGGAUCUACAUUCGACCCUUGAAGAAUUCGUUGCUAUUCAUUGAUGUGAAUCUCCUGAUUGCUUAGACAUUUAUCCGCGUUUAUGCGCUCGGUCUCGUUGUUUUUGCCCAAUUGAAUCUCCUUUGUUGUGGCAUAGAUGGAAAUGAGAAAUCCAUUCAUGUGACGUGCUCCUGGAAUUCUAGAAUAUUCGAAAUCUCCGUUGAAACCUUUUGAUUUCAAUGUUAUCUUCCUUUUCUUACUGUCUGCUGCUCUGGGUUUCUGACAAUGAUAACUAAGUGCGAAGUGUUGUAGCUUUUAUCAAAAUUCUUGUACCAUUUUAUGCAGCUUAAUAACUCCUUCGUCUUCUUUUUUUUUUCCUUCUUUUCUUAGCCUUAUUCAGACAUUAGGAGAUUGUGGUUGUUGCCGGCUGCAAGAAAUUCAGAGCGGAUUUAAAUUGCUGGCCUUCAUGUGAGAAGAUGGCUUUCUUUAGGAACUACUCGAACGAUGCUGUAUCACAUAAUGUUAUGGAUGAAAAUGAGGAGCGGCAAAAUCCUACUACUUUUCAGAGCUCACCUUUGAAUGAAGAUAUUGAUGGUACAUAUAGUGAAAGAGGCUUUGACAUGAACAUGGACGUACAGUAUCAAAGUGACGCAGAACCAGGAUGUAGUAUUAGGCAGCAAAAUCAGACAAUGAUGGAUAAUGUAGCUGGUCCCGUGGAUUCCCAGUAUCAAUCUUCGGGAAGGAGAAUGGGUGUAUCUGGGAAGUGGGGUUCCACAUUUUGGAAAGACUGUCAGCCAAUGGGACAGGGAGAGGGCUCUGGUCCAGCCAAAGAUUCACAAUCUGGUUACAAAGACGCAGAACAUUCUGAAGACAAUCUCUCCAUUCGCAGCGAAAAAUUUGAUUCUGAAAAUGAUAAUGAAAAUGAAAAUGAGGAGGACAAAGAAAUGAAAAAGCGUCAAAACGGUCAAGCUGAAGUUCCAGCUGAUGAAAUGUUGUCUGAUGAAUAUUACGAACAGGAUGAAGAUAAUCAAAGCGACCAUGUGCAUUACAAAGGGUAUAGCAAUGCUAUGAAUUCUAGAUCACUGCCGCAGACAGAUUCCGCUAUCCAUAGCAAGUCAAGGACCUCAAGAGCAAUUCACAACAAUAGUCACUACGGUGAUGGUAAUUUUGGCCACAAUGGUGAUGCUGAUAUGGACUAUGAAGAGGAAGAAGAUGGUAAAUUCUUCUAAUUUUUAUCCUAUCUAGAUUGAUUGCGUUGUUUAUUUGUAACGGUACGAACUUGCGUCAUGUUUUUUCUUCCCAUGCCAAGUACUUGGUUUGAGCUUCAGUAACAUUUUAAUCUUAUUUCUCAUCAGAGGAUGACCCUGAAGAUGCUGACUUUGAGCCCUAUGAUGCUGUUCCUGGUGGCGAUGCAAGGAAAAAGGUUUGAUGUCCUACAAUUCUUGUGUUGGGAUACAUAUUUUUUUUUAGAAUGAAGCUCGAACUGAACAAAAGAAAUGUAGAUAAUUUCUGACCCACUUUAUUAACUACGUUUGCUAUUCGAAAGGAGAAAACUUCAUUAUAGCUAAGAUGUUAUGGUCUAGUUUGUAAGUUGUUAUAGUUUUGAUGGGAUUUCUUCCAACUGAGUGGUUAUUUGCUUUUAGCAUGACCAAGCUUGGGACGUUUCUGAUGAGGAUCCUGAGACUGAUGAUGAUAUCGAUCUUUCCGAUUCUGAGGAUGACUAUGAUACAAAAAAGCCUAAGAUUAGGCAGCAACAAGGUAAAGGUUUCCGAAAGUUAAGCUCUAAACCUGAACGAAAAUCAGUCCAUGCUUCUAGUCGACAAAAGAGGAAAACAUCAUAUCAAGAUGACUACUCAGCGGAAGACUCUGACAAUGACAUCGAUGAGGGUUUUAGAAGCAUGCCCAGAAGAGGGACAACUCUCCGACAAAACAAUGGAAGGUCUACCCAUAAUAUAGGACAGAGUAGUGAAGUUCGGAGCUCCACCAGAUCAGUUCGUAAAGUCUCGUAUGUGGAGAGCGAAGACAGUGAAGAUAUAGAUGAUGGGAGAAAUCGAAAGAACCAAAAGGUAUGAUAUCUCUGUUACAUUUCAAGGUUAUAUAUUUUCCGUCAACUUGCCUAUUUCAAGAUUAACUCCAACUAUUUGACUUAGAUUAGCCGUUAAUUCCGAAGUCAUGCCCAGAAUUUUAAAGGAUUUACAUUCUCUGUUUUUUUUUUUUUCUGAUAUAUGGUGGUUAGGAUGACAUGGAAGAGGAGGAUUGUGAUGCUAUUGAAAAAGUGCUUUGGCAUCAGCCAAAGGGCAAGGGUGAAGAUGCUCACACAAAUAAAAAAUCAAUAGUUCCUGUUUUAGUAAGCCAACUGUUUGAUACUGAGCCAGAUUGGAAUGAAAUGGAAUUCCUAAUAAAAUGGAAAGGUCAAUCACACUUGCAUUGUCAAUGGAAGUCAUUAAGCGAUCUCCAAAAUGUAUGUCUGGAUGACUCAUUAUUAUUUUCAUUUUUGAUCAUUCUAUUGCAUAGAUAUACGUACACAGUUACCCACGAUGUCUCCACCCCUUUGACAGCUAGUAAUAUCUGCUGUGUGGCUGGUUCAAAAAACCGUAUUUGUGGUAUGCUAUAUUUUUUUAAACAAAUUAUUGUUUUGCUGUGUAUGUUGUGUUCUUGCAGCUUAGUGGCUUCAAGAAGGUCCUUAACUACACGAAGAAAAUGACAGAGGAGAUUAGGUACAGGACAGCACUCUCACGAGAGGAGGUAAUGUUUGAAUGGUGGCAAUAUUUUCUGAGUUUUAGUAUCGUUAUAUCCCAUAAGAAAACACUGAUGAUCUACAUCAUGUUUCUAUGUCUUAUUUUUCUUGUCAAACCAUGUAAGAUAUUAACUUUUUUUUUUUAUAUUUAGGCACUAUUGUAUUAGACAUGUGCUCUAUAGUGUUAAUUGGAAUGUGUCAUUGUGUUAACUAUAUCUGUCAGAAACGUUGGUAUGGGAUAUAUAUCUGAAAUUCUUUCACCUGAUAUAUUUCUAACCUUAUAGAUUGAGGUCAAUGAUGUGAGUAAAGAAAUGGAUCUGGACAUCAUUAAGCAGAAUAGUCAGGUUAGUGUUUCCGGUACAUCAAACUAGCAAUCUAUUAUUGUUUUUGCAAAUCAUGUUAGAGUAUGCCUACUGUGAGCUAAUUUAGUUUCUGUGAUUUAGGUAGAAAGAAUAAUUGCCGAUCGAAUAAGCAAAGAUGUUUUAGGUGAUGUGGUGCCAGAAUAUCUAGUAAAGUGGCAAGGGCUUUCUUAUGCUGAAGCAACUUGGUAUAUAUUCUUUCAUUUCUCUUCUAAAUUAACUAUUUUCAUCUUUUGUUGUUGUCAUUGAUUUUUGAUGAGAGGAAGUGGAAAUCUGAUCGUUUGGUUACUCGUUGCUAGUCCUUGCCGCUUCACGAAAAAAUGAGUAUCUACUCAACUAUAUCACUCUCUUCUUGUUUUAUAUAGGGAAAAGGAUGUCGAUAUUGCAUUUGCACAGGUUGCUAUUGAUGAAUACAAGGUAGAGUUUGUUUCUCUGUUUUUAUUUUUAUUUUUCAACUCUUUGUCCAUCUAUGUUUCCUUUUCCCUUCCACGUAGUGGUAAUAAGAAAAUUUGGUUCAAAUUUUGUAGUUACGAGGUGACAGCUGUUAGUUCUUUGACAGAUGCAGUUUACAUCCUUUUUUAUAGCACAAGUUUACAUGGAAACAUUCAUGCUUACUAAAUAUUAAGUAACUUUUUUUUAGUCAGAAGUCUUAAUGUUCAGCUUAUUGAAUUGUUCUAUUAUACUUGUCUAUCCCUCGUCUAUUAAAGUCGGAGUAGUGUUUACAUGGGAUCCAUUUCUGCUAAAUCAGAUUCAUUAAAAAAUCUAGGUUUCUCUAAUGAGGUAAUUAUGAUUCAGGCUCGUGAAGCUUCAAUUGCGGUACAAGGGAAAAUGGUGGAACAGCAGCGUACAAAAGGAAAAGGUCUGUUACGUGAAUCGGUAGUUGUGUAUUUUUUUUUGGCCAUUAUAUGAAAACUCGACAUUUGAGAAACUGUCUUAACCUUGUGAACUGGUUCCUGCUAGUUUACUAUCUUCAUUCUUCGCCUCUUGAAUCCGAAAAGGAUGCUCAUGUAAAGCUUGCUUUAAAGCUGACCAUCGAUAUAUCUUUUCUUCAUUCACUUAAGAAUGCUUUUUUCCUGCUGCUUUCUUCUGCUGUACACAUAAUGGUUUUGCUCAUUUCUGCUAACAAAACUCAUGAAUGUGAACGACACCAUGUAAUAGAAAAAAUAAUGAAAUACAAAAGAGAGCACCGAUAUGAUUUAGAUGCUCUGUCACCUUGCUAUGUUUAUGUUGAUUGUGGUAGUUUUCUGUUUUGUCUAUGGUUGCAUAUUUAUGCUUAGUCGCCCACUUUAUAUCUGAGAUUAUAGGGUAGGUGAAAAUCUUUUUCUAAUUCCUAGUCGUGGUUACUGUUCUGUGUAGCAAGUUUGCGGAAGCUUGAGGAGCAGCCUGAGUGGCUGAGCGGAGGUACGCUACGGGACUAUCAGCUGCAGGGUUUGAAUUUUCUUGUUAACAGGUGAGUUUCUUCUCAUUUCCAUAAGUGCCGAUGAUGCUUUGCCGGUCUGCUUCUAAUGGUCGCUUCCUUUCAUAUUCCAGCUGGCUUAAUGACACUAAUGUCAUUUUGGCUGACGAAAUGGGUCUUGGUAAAACUGUUCAGUCCGUUUCGAUGCUUGGGUUUUUGCAGGUGAGCAUUCUUUUGCAUUUCAAGUGAGCACUUAAGUUUGCUUCUCAGCAUCCCACAUUUCAUGAGUUAAGAUUUAUUUAUUUCUUUUUGCUCGCAGAAUACCCAGCAAAUUCCAGGUCCAUUUCUUGUCGUCGUGCCUUUGUCAACAUUAGCUAACUGGGCUAAAGAAUUCAGAAAGUGGCUUCCUGACAUGAAUAUAAUAGUAUAUGUUGGCACCCGGGCGAGUCGAGAGGUAAGAAACAAAACAAAUGAUCAGCUAGGUUUCGAUUUUAAGUGCUUUGACUUUAUGUCUCCACCAAGUUUCAGUAUGGACAGUAAAACAAUGAAUUUUUGACAACAUUUUAAUUCCUCUCUUCCUCUGUUAUAGAAUUUUGAUUUUUGUAAUGUACUGGCUUCAGGUAUGUCAGCAAUACGAGUUUUACAAUGAAAAGAAAGUCGGCCGGCCCAUAAAAUUCAAUGCACUGUUGACUACUUAUGAGGUGGUUCUAAAGGAUAAAGCUGUUCUCUCCAAGAUUAAGUGGAUUUACUUGAUGGUGGAUGAAGCACAUAGACUGAAAAAUAGUGAGGCACAGCUGUACACGGCCCUUUUGGUAUGUGACUCAUCCAUGUACUUUUAUCUAUUUUCAAGGUUCCUCUUUGGUUGUUCAGAAUGGGUAGUGUUUCUUCUCUGUUUCAGGAAUUUAGCACGAAGAAUAAACUACUUAUAACUGGUACUCCACUACAGAAUAGUGUCGAAGAACUGUGGUAUGGUUUCUUUCCUUGUUUAGCCUUUCUUUGGAGAUGGCCGCUUUUAUUAUUUCUGAUUAAAAAUUAAUCAUGAAACUUGUAAGCUAAUGUUCUUUGUUUGUUUAUACUUUUUGACAUUGUUGAUUUUUGUAUUCUACGUGGUUGAUGCACUUUUUAUUAGUGCAAACUAGCUCUUGAGAAUUCCGAUGAUUCGUUUCUAUUGUCACUGACAGUUAAUUUUGGAUAUGUAUAUUUUAUUUUUGUUGAAAGGUACCGACACAUAAUGAUUCAUUGCUAAGACAUUUUACACGGACUGUGUCCUUAUAGCAUACAAUACUUUUAUACCUUUGGACUGCUCUUAUGAUAAAUGAUAUUUUGCAGGGCUCUGCUCCACUUCCUUGAUCCUGCCAAGUUUAAGAAUAAGGAUGAAUUCGUUCAAAACUACAAGAACCUUAGCUCAUUUAAUGAAUUGGAGGUAAGCUUUGUCCAUUGCAUAAUAUUAUGCUCUCUUAAUGAAAUAUAGCUUAACUAUUAUUCAAUCGUCCACUAGCUUAUACUUCUUUGGAAUUCAGCUCGCCAAUCUCCAUUUAGAAUUGAGACCCCAUAUUCUACGACGAGUGAUUAAGGAUGUUGAGAAGUCUUUGCCUCCAAAAAUUGAGCGUAUACUAAGAGUUGAGAUGUCCCCGCUUCAGAAACAGUAAGCAUAACUUCACCCAAUUCCUGUUGACUCAAAUCUUUCAUUAUUGUUAACAACAUUCCAUAUGUUCGGUUUUAGAUACUACAAGUGGAUAUUAGAGCGCAACUUCCAUGAUUUAAAUAAAGGGGUGCGCGGUAAUCAGGUGGGCCACUUUAUGAUGCACCCAGGUUCUCAUGUUUAUGGUUAUGAAAUAGUUAUCUCUUUUCAUUCAUCCCCACUGUAAAUUGGAUGGAUCAUAUGAAUUUGCUUCGACUUCUUUAGUUUACAGGUAAUACACACGUGAAGCUAACAAAUUCUUAGUUACGAUCAACAGGUUUCACUUCUAAACAUUGUGGUGGAGUUGAAGAAGUGCUGCAAUCAUCCUUUCUUAUUUGAAAGUGCAGACCAUGGAUAUGGGGGUGACAUAAACGAUAACAGUAAACUGGAUAAGAUUAUUCUAAGCAGCGGAAAGCUAGUUAUCCUAGAUAAGCUACUGGUUAGAUUGCGUGAGACUAAGCAUCGUGUGCUUAUCUUUUCACAGGUGUGGUUCAAUGACUUUUCUUCUUCCUAAUGGAUUUUAUGCUAUUGGGAUGAACGUAGUGAUAUAUCAGUUCCACUAUUCUCCUGCUGUUCCUUUGUUAGUGUGUGUCCUGUAGGUCAAUUUGUUCUUCAUAGGAGGUUUUCUUAUGUUGAAAUGAAUAAUGUGACAUAUGAUAUUCCAUUACUCUCUUGCUAUGCCUAAUAGAUCUAUCAUGAAUAUUUUUGGAUAACCUCUUUCAGUUUUUUGGUUUGUUCUAGAUCUUAUUAUACGGUUCAGAUUAAUAUCUAAGGUCCAUCGUCUGUAUAAGUGUUACACAUAUGUUGCAUAGUUUGUUGCUGUUAAACAUAAGUUGCUUUCCCGAAAACUGUUUUGGUGAUCAAAAUUUGUUUAUAUAAAAGCUGGAGCUCCUUUAAAUUAGUAGCCCUUCAAAUUCUUUCAUCUUGUCGAUAGGCUUAACUCUUAAAUUACAUUUGGCACUUAAUGAAUUAAUCAUUUUGACCUGUUUGCUUUACAGAUGGUAAGAAUGUUAGAUAUCCUGGCAGAAUACCUGUCUCUUAGGGGAUUCCAGUUCCAGAGACUGGAUGGUAGUACUAAGGCAGAACUGCGUCAGCAGGCAAUGGAUCAUUUUAACGCACCUGCCAGUGACGACUUUUGCUUUCUUCUUUCGACUCGAGCGGGUGGACUGGGUAUCAAUCUUGCUACUGCUGAUACAGUCGUUAUAUUUGACUCUGAUUGGAAUCCACAGAAUGACCUGCAGGUUUUUCCUCCUACAAAAAAUUAUCUUCUUUUGGAUUUAAAUACUCGUUAUCACUAUAUGCUGAUAAUGGAAUCCAAUACUAAUAUACCAGGCCAUGAGCCGAGCGCACAGAAUUGGACAACAAGAAGUCGUGAACAUUUAUAGAUUUGUCACUAGCAAAAGUGUCGAGGAAGAGAUCCUGGAGCGCGCUAAAAGAAAAAUGGUACACUAGUUCUAGAAAGAUACAAGCUCAAUUAUCUUUGCAUGAAUUCUUUAGCAGCGCCAGUGAAUUUUUAGCUCUGCAUCCUUACCUUUAUGAACUGAUUCCAGUUUAGCCAUGUUACUAAUUCGUUAACCGGAAUACUUUACCUAUUCAUAUAGUCAACUUUACAUUCAGCUACAUGCAAUUACUAUUGCUUUUUUGGUUUUAAGGUUGUUCUUUAAACUUAGUUUUUCUAUUCACUUCGUUUGUGUUGUCAUCUAUUCAUGUUGUAAGAUCCAUGUUUAAUAAUCAAUCGCCUAGGGAUGAGAGAGGUUAAAAACCUUAAUUUAUAUUUGUACAUCUCUUUUUCAUAUAAUGUAGUAACAUUUUUUGGACACCAUUCUAUAGGUUCUUGAUCAUUUGGUUAUUCAAAAACUGAAUGCGGAGGGUAGGCUGGAAAAACGAGAAACUAAAAAGGGAACUAAUUUUGACAAGGUAAGCGCAUCUUUUGAAUGCGUAUCAUGGUUGUUUGAUUUCCUUUCAAGGAUUAAUUUCUGUAAGAACAAACCAUGUACUUGUAUUUUAGAACGAGCUUUCUGCAAUAUUGAGAUUUGGAGCGGAAGAACUUUUUAAAGAGGACAAAAAUGAUGAAGAAAGCAAAAAGCGGCUGUUGAGUAUGGACAUUGAUGAAAUCCUAGAGAGGGCAGAGCAAGUAGAGGAAAAGGACGCUGGUGAAUCAGAACAUGAACUGUUGGGUGCUUUUAAGGCAAGUUCAGAUGUUUUUCUCUUUUUGUCUUCAGUUUAGGUGAAUCAAAUAGAUGCAGGAGCAUCCCAAAGUUAUUGUCUGCUUUGAUGUUAUUGGCCUAAAUCUCUCAAUCUUUUUAAUGCUUAUAUUUGUGAAAUGCUUUACUCUGCUAACAUUUAUGUGCAUUCAGGUUGCCAACUUUUGUAAUGCUGAAGAUGAUGGGUCCUUUUGGAGUCGUUGGAUAAAACCUGAGUCCGUGGUCACGGCUGAAGUAAAAAUUCUCUCCUAUAACAAUUAUGUCCUUUUGUUCAUAGAUUUCUUUUUCACAUAGUCUCUUUAAAUUUAUCAGUUUCUAAACUUGUGUUACCUUUGUAUAGGAAGCUCUUGCACCACGUGCUGCUAGGAAUACGAAGAGUUAUGUGGAUCCUAGCCAUCAUGACAGGAGCCAGCCUGAGAGGACGAGUAAAAGAAAAAAGAAAGGAUCUGAGCCUCCAGAGCCUACAGAUAGAAGUCAAAAGCGCAGAAAAACUGAAUAUUUUGUUCCUUCAACUCCGAUACUAGAGGGGACUACAGCUCAAGUGAGAGGCUGGUCUUAUGGAAAUCUUCCUAAGAGAGAUGCGCAAAGAUUUUAUCGAACUGUAAGUCGAAACUAUUCUUAUCUAAUGUUUCUUUCUGCAUAUUUCUAGAUACUGGAAAAAGGUUUGGAUUUAAGGCUCCUCAAAUUGUUCGUUGCUAAUAAUUUUAUGGUUUCCUUGGCUCGAUGAGUUUCUAAGUUAAUUUUUGGGUUGUCCCGAGAUUGAUGGUUUACCUAGUUUUACUCUGUGACGUUUUUGAACUACUGCUUGUUACAUUUCUUAUUUAAUAAUUCAGGUCAUGAAGUUUGGUAACCACAACCAAAUUGCAUGUAUUGCGGAAGAAGUGGGUGGUGCUGUUGAAGCAGCCCCGGAGGAAGCACAGGUUGAGCUAUUUGAUGCUUUAGUUGAUGGGUGUCGGGAAUCUGUUGAAACAGGAGAAUUUGAAUCAAAGGUAAAACGUGAAAUAAAACACCUGAACUGGAGGCUCUCUUCUUUAUGUUUUUUCCAAUUGUUCGUGGUCAACUUAGAUAUUUCCAAUCUUCCUGUUUGCUAUUCUAUGUAGGGUCCUGUGUUGGAUUUCUUUGGUGUCCCUGUAAAAGCAAACGAAUUAUUAAAACGUGUGCAAGGUCUGCAGCUUUUAUCAAAGCGCAUUAGUCGAUAUGACGAUCCAAUUACACAAUUCCGGGUGUUGUCAUACCUCAAACCUUCAAAUUGGUCCAAGGGGUGCGGUUGGAAUCAGAGUACGUGUGAGCUUAUUCACUAUUAUUAUAUCAGCAUCUGCCUUAUGUUUUGUACUCUAAAACUAUUAAAUGUUUGGCUUUCUCAGUCGAUGAUGCGAGAUUGCUUCUGGGAAUACUUUAUCAUGGUUUUGGGAACUGGGAAAAGAUAAGAUUAGAUGAGAGUCUUGGACUUACAAAGAAGAUUGCUCCUGUUGAACUUCAACACCAUGAGACUUUUCUACCCCGUGCUCCAAACUUAAAGGAGCGUGCUACUGCACUUUUGGAAAUGGUGCAUAUUACUUGCUAUGAUUUGCGUUGAAUUUUUCCCCUUAUUUAUCAAUAUUCUUAUUAACCUUCUUUGAAGAACAGAUUAACAGUAUGAAAAUUACUUUUCACAGGAACUUGCUGCAGCAGGAGGGAAAAACGCGAAUGACAAAGCAUCCCGUAAAAAUUCUAAAAAGGUUAAAGAUAAUCUUAUUAAUCAAAUCAAAGCACCUGCAAGAGACCGAAAAGGGAAGUCUGGUCAUGCCAAUGUAAGUUCAACAAAAGAUGGACCUCGGAGAACCCAAAAAGCUGAACCGUUGGUGAAGGAAGAAGGAGAAAUGUCUGAUGAUGAGGAAGUUUACGAGCAGUUCAAGGAGCAGAAAUGGAUGGAAUGGUGUGAAGAUGUCCUGGGUGAUGAAAUCAAAACUCUUGGACGUCUACAAAGAUUGCAAACCACGAGUGCAGAUCUGCCAAAGGAGAAGGUCAGUUUUAAUUUUAUUUUAUCUUCCAUCGUUGAUAUAGCAGGCUUGCUGUGUCUCUAUCUGAUAUAAUCUCAAAAUUCCUUGCGUGUCAACAAAUAGGUGCUUUUCAAAAUCCGGAGAUACUUACAAAUCCUUGGGCGGAGAAUAGAUGAAAUUGUUUUAGAGCACGAAGAGGAUUUAUACAAGCAAGAUAGUAAGUAAUGCAACCUCCGCUUACAUUUCAGCUGCAUUUAUCUUCUGGUAAACUUUGGACUAAAGUUUACGACAGUUGGAGUAAACCAUGCUAGCUUUAGUCUACAAGUACUUUCUUACUCGGAUAACCAUUUUGAGGCCCAUGAUUGUGUAUCGCUAAUGGGAAAUCGAAAUGCAGGAAUGACAAUGAGAUUGUGGAACUAUGUUUCAACUUUCUCAAAUUUGUCCGGGGAUCGACUCAAUCAGAUCUACUCCAAAUUGAAGCAGGAGAGAGAGGAAGAGGAAGGGGUCGGACCAUCACACCUCAAUGGGUCAUCCACGGGUAGGAACUUCCAGAGGCAACAGAGAUUUAAAACAGCAGGGAAUCCCCAAGGAUCGCAGCAGGUCCACAAGGGCAUUGACACAGCAAAGUUUGAAGCAUGGAAAAGGAGAAGAAGAACAGAAAAUAAUGAUGUUCAGUCUGAGCGACCACCGAUAACCAACUCUAACUCACUGGGUAUACUCGGGCCUGCACCAUCAGAUAGAAGCCAUCGACCACGUCAAACUGGAUUUCCCCCGAGAUAAGUUUUACUCUGUUCUAGUACCAUGCCAUAUGCCGUGUGCUCCUUCCGGUUGAACACUGGUUUUGAUAACGGAUUCAGAAGUUCAACAACAUAGAAACCCGGAAGGUUCAUUUUUUUAUUAAAAAAAAAAAGAAGUCAGGAAACACAGCAGCAAUGUUCGGUAUUUGGUUGCUCAAAAAUUGGAGAUUGGCAAUGCCCGAUCAGCUGAUGCUGAUGGAAUGAUAUAUACCGGAGAAUGAAAGUCGUAAAUUUCUUACUGAGCAAAGUGAUAACAUUUACCAGGUGAUUUGCUUAGGUAAAAUAGAAUGUGGAUGUAGUCGAGCUGCUAAACUCCAUUUCCUUUUAUAUAUACAUAUAUGUUACCCAUUUGGAAUAGAGCAAAAUCAAAUUGUACAUUACCAGUUUUGUUAAUUUUAAUUUCCAUAUUUCUGUGUGCGCGCGUCUACUAUCACUCUUCUAAAGUGUCUAUGAAAAAAGGGGACGCCAUCAUUUGUAUAUUUUUUACUUGUUCUCUUUUGCUUUUGCCAAGAAAACUUGAGAAAAACUAAAUGAGCCGAAUCAUUUGUAUCAAUAUGUUGAUCUGGUGAAACUUCAAAUAAAUCCUGUAAACUAGAAAAAAUGUGUAUAUAUCAGAAAAGUGUAUGACGUGGUCCUAAAUUUCGGGAUCGAUACUAUCAUUUCAGAAAUCAGGGCUCAGAAAAUUGAAAAAUUACUGGGUUCAUUCCUGUAGAUGGUGAAUAAACCAUUUUGUUCGUCCAUCUUAUUUUAGUUUUGUUCGUCCAUCUUAUUUUAACUAAUAAAAAUAUGACAUUUAAUAUUAUAUUUAAAUAGAAAUACAAAAUUUAAAAUUAAAUUAAACACAAAACAAGUUCAAAAUAUAAAAUCAUUAAGAAUAAAACAAAUAAAAUCCAACCCUAGGGUGAAUCCAAGAAUUGUUUAAAUUGAAAAAUUCCUGAAUGAACCAUUUUAUUCAUCUCCUCUUAUGUUAACCAAUAAAAAAAUAUAACAUCUAAUAUUACAUUUAAAUAUUUUCUAAUGAAAAAAACUAAAUUAGAAAUUAGAAAUAGUAAACCGAAUCAUAAUGUUUAAUUUUAUUUUAACUUUAUUUUGGAUAAACAAAUAUAUUUACAUAAUUAUUUAUUUUAUUUUUAAAAUUUUAAUUUUAGGAUGCUAACUUUUUAAAUUUUUUUGAUAUUUUAGGAUAUUCAUUAAUUAAAAAUUAAAAAUAAAUAAAUAAAAUAAAUUAAGAAUAUAUAAUCAUUGAGCUUAUUGUUUUAUUUAAGGUUUAGGUUGGACAGUGGCGGACAUAAGUAAAAAUUAUGUAUGGCACGUACCAUACACUAACUUUUUUUUUUCUUCAAAUAAUCUGUAUAAAAUUUAUAUAAAUGCAUCAAAUCAAAAUAUUAAUUACAUUAUAUCCCCCAUACUAAAAAUAUUCUUAGAUUCGCCCAUAGGAUUGUUUUUUUUUUUUAAAUGUUUUUAUAUGUUUAUUUCGUUUACUUUAAAUUUUAUAUUUUUGUAUUGCUAUAAAAAUAUAAUAUUAGAUGUUAUAUUUUUAUUAGUUAAAAUAAAAAGGGGUGAAUAAAAUGGUUCAACCUUAAAGGUGAAUAAAGUAGUUCAACUUUAGGGGUGAAUCCAAUAAUUUUUCUUUAAUAUUAGAUCAAUUAAACAGAAUACGCUACUAUUAUUGUACUGUAGAAAUCCUAAAAGAAAUUACACACCAAAACUUUAAAUUCUAAUUAAUGUAUAGAAAUUAUUUCUUGCAUCUGCUUCAGCAAAUUUUUUUUUCAAGGUAUAUAUUUAUUUUAGCGGAAAUGUUUUUGUCAAUUUAUGAAUUAUAGAUUUUUAUGGGUAAUUUAAUUUUUUUCUAAUUUUUUUUUUCACAGAUUAUACAAAUAUUAAAUUACAAAUGUAUAUAUAUAUAUAUGCAAAUAAUUAUCUAGUUAUAUAUAAUUGAAUAUUAUAUAUAUAUAAGAAAAUUGGAAAUAAUGGGAUUUAAUUUCCUAAAUCUUCUACAUAUUAGUAAAAUUUUAUUUUAUUAACACAAUUAAAAAAAAUCUUCUGAAUUCCAAACCUCAAACAUUAGCCUGUCAAAGUAUUUUCAUUUUAUUAUGGUUAUGUGGUUUUGUGUUGAAUUGAUUAUGUUAGUUUUAACUUUGAAGUUUAAGUUUUUUUUUAGCUGGAUGAAUAUAUUUUUAUUUUUACUUUUUACUAAUUCUAAAUUUAUGAUUGUUGUUUAGAAGAUUUUUAGUCUUCUGGGGGCAAGUCUCCUACAAAAUAAAAAAAAUGUGAAGGCCUGAAAAAUAUGUUGGAAGGGUAUUUUCCGAUGGCUCUCUGAAGCUCAAAUCAGAUAAUGGUUAAAGAAAAUACCACAAACUGACAAAUCAGAGAGAUGGAAAGGAGAUCGGACAGGCUGAGAGCUCUUAAGGGAGGGCGAGUUUACUCGGGCAUGAGUUUAGUGGGUUUAUUGAGGUGGAACAGAGAAGAAGUGUAAGAUUUUAUGGGUGGACAUAUUCCAUGGUUUAGGAACCGCUGUAGAAUGGAAGUGAGAAAAUGGUCGGAAUGAUGACUGGAGAAUGAGAGGGCUACGCCUUGUGAGUCACGAGUAUCUAGAGAAAUAGCAUGAACUCAAGGGUAGCAAAAAGAUUGAACUCCUUUCACGUCGGAAAGGGUUAAGUAUUUAUAGAGUUUUACCUUACCCGGAUUAGUAUAUCGGAUCGGACCUUGGGUUGUUGGUUUUACGGGUCGCUCUGAGAUCCGGCGUGAUUGGAUUUGAAUCUCGCUGCUUGCGUCACACUUCUGACAGUCUCACCAACUUUUCUUACCGUCUUUCACCUGUUGUGAGACCAUCCCUUGGCGUGUCCCUUUCACCUUUAGCGUACGAGUUAGGUUCAACGGUUAUGACGCGGUUUAGCCUUUGCUGAGUCUCUGUGUUUCUCUGCCUUCCACGAGUGAUCACUAUCACCUAACACGUGUAAGCAUUGACCAUUAAAUGUCAAUCUCAUGGGUUAAAAAUUGUAUGGGCAAUCAAAUCAGUCAAAUUCAUAUUUCAAUUAUCGAAUAAAGGAAAAGUUGAACAGUUUUUCUUGCUCAGGAAGAUAUUCCUACCUGGCCCGGAUUCUUUGAUACUAGGAUCGGGCUCUCAGGAUUGUCUCACUGGCUAAUUCUCUCACCGGGUACCUGUGCGGGUUACUUUUUCUUCAUUCCAAUCCUUCCAUAUCACUAAGCUUAGGUCUAAGACAUAGAAAAUGCAAUCUCUCAUCUCCUGACAACUCAGUUUGUGACCUUCAUGUCCCUGAUAGUGUAGCUUGCGCUAUCAUGUACGAGAAACCCAAAAACAGGUUGUCUUUCAUGUCGAGUCUCCCAAAUCUGAAGGAUUCGAGGCCUGGUGCAAUAUGUUUAGGUCGCGUUGGGCCGUAAGCCCAAUAUAAAACCUAAUUUGGUCCAGGGGAGCCGUACUUGAAAAAAUGUCAUAGACGCCACGUGUAAGCACGUGAUUCGUCCACAUAGGAAUGAUUGAAUUUUUCCCCAAUAACUAUCAUGUUUUUAAUUCUUUUUUUUUGGAUUUCGUGUUUUUUUUUUCAUCUUGUACCAUUCAGACACAUAUAGAUAACUAUUUUUGUUUCCAAAUUCCCGUCCUAUUCCCUUUUCCACAAAUUUUUGUCUCAAAUUUUCAUUUUCCACCUUACUAAUAAUACUCUUCUGCAUUUGUUGGCAAAAACGCAAUUAUAAAAACUAAUGGCAAAAUGGCCAUCACUAUUUUUUUUCAAAUAGGUAAAAGUCAAUUUUAUUUACAGUGAAUAUGUGCGCUAAUAUACGAAAGUCUCCCUACCUUUGAUAGUAGACUUUUUUGAUGUUGGUAGGCUUAAAUUUUGAGCUGUAGAUUUGUUUGAGGGAUAGUGGAUUUUUUUUUUUGUAAUUCGGUAGACAUUUUUUUACGAAUCAGUAGAAAUGUUUGAAGACGGUAGAUUAUUUUAAAUUAUUGGCAAAUUUUUUUGUUCUGAUAGGAAAUUUGUUUAUGGGUUGGUAGACUUGACGAUGUAACUGGCUUUAAUGGUAGAUUCAUUUCCAUUGGUAGUAGAUUAAUCUUACAGAUGGUAAAUUUAUUUCUUUUAGUGGCAGAGUUAUCAACUAGCAAUAAUCGAAUUGUUCAUUUGUCAUAACGGUAUACUUAUUUCAAUGACGGUAUAUUAAUAUUGUUUGGUAGAAUUGUUCUUAAUAGCAGUAUAUAUGAAACCAUCAAACAACUCGACCACUGUGUUUUGUAAUGAUGGUAUAUCUAUUAUUAGAUGCGGUAAAUUUAUUGGUAAUGAUGGUAAAUUUAUCAAAUGUUUUGGUAUUUACUCAAUUAACUUUCAAUUGGUAGACUCAUAUUCAGUUGGUAGAAUUAUCAUUUCUUCGUUGUAAUAGAUUUAUAAUGACAACAUAUUUAUUGAUAUUGUUUGGUCUUAACUUUUGACUUAUUCCAAAAACACAAAUGACUACAAAAAAGCUCAGCUUUGCAAAAAAACAAGAAAAAAAAAAGCUCCUUUCCUAUUAUUAAUUGGAAACUCUUAUUCAAUGUUAAGAAUAGAUGAGUUUACCCUUCUAUAACCUUUACGGCCCAAUUUAUCGUCAACAAUUAGGGUUGCUAUCAAGCGAAUUAUGAGAAUUUUUUUCUGCUUUAUAAUAUAUUUAUUGUAAUGCUGGUAGAUUUAGUUUGUUAGAUAAGUUUUGUUUUUCUUAUCUUAAAUCACAAGUUUAACAUAUAUGUCACUGGAUAUGCAGUUUUCAAGUACUACAAUAUCAAUGAUAUAUCAAAAAUUGUGAUAAUGCUUUUAUGAAAGAUGUUUCUGGAAUCACAAUUAACCCUCAAGUCAAAGAAACAUAAGAAAAACAUUAACAGAUGACUCUGUGUUAGAGAGGGCAUAUGAACCUUGACAAUUUUUUUGGGUUUUUGCUCGUUUGUUUAUAGUAUUGGUAUAUAGGAUGGAUAUGUGUUUUUUACCAUAUUAUUGGGUUGGGUCAUGUGUUUUUGGUUAAAAUUCCAUUCACUUUGGUUAUAAAUACUAUGCAAACAUGCAAAUAAAGGAAGUGAAAAUGAAUUAUAGCAAACAUGAUAUCAAAGAUGAAAAUUUAGGAACUCUAAAGUCUAAAGUUUUAACACGAAAAGUGUAGGUGAUUUAAGUGUUAUGGUUAUUUUACCAACCAUUGCAACUCUUGAGUUUGUAGUUAUUUUACCAACCAUUGCAACUCUUGAGUUUAUGGAUAUUUAAUAAACAUUACAGCUCUUGAUUUUAUGGUUAUUAAACAGGAAAACGAUAUAUUUCCCCCUCUGAACUAUUAUAUAAUAACAGAUCCACACGAACUUUGAGCCUCGUCUUAGUUCCCCACCAUUUGAAAGUUCAACACUUAUAUCUCCACAAAUUAGAAGUUUAAAACUUAUUUCUCCACCAAAUAAAAUUUCAAAACCAAAUUACAAACAACCCACAACUAAUUUUGGUUAAAGGUUUAUCAAAACUUAACCAAUUAAAAUUGUAACUAAACCGGACUAUGACCCAAUGAAAAAGUAAACCAAAAUUUUCCGAUAUUGAACCGAAUUGAAAAACAUUUACCAAAACCAUUUUUUUUUUUAAUUCUUCGUCAAUCCAACAGAUCAAUAAUGCUCCAGAAAUCACAAUUUUAGAUCAAUCACACAUUGAUAUAGCAUAUUCAAUUAUAAAUUCGUUGGAACAAAGAACAUUGCAAUGUUUAAUCAUUCAUCUCGAUUUUCUCUCUCCUAACGGCAACCUAAAUCGUGAUCUCCUUUUCGCGACCAUUAGUAAGGUCUCACGCUGCCGGCAAGAAGUUCCUCUCUCUCCCUCCUCAUUAUUCUUCCAUGGAUGCUCAGUCAUCUCUCCUCUUGCUCGCGAAUUAUCUCCCAGAUCAAAGAACAAUUUACAUUCCGCUCAAUUCAUCACCUGAAUCUGUUUCCUCUUGAUGUUUUUGUUCAGAGGGUAGACACUCCGGUGGUCUCUACGACCCCCUCGUCGGUUUUUCCAGUGCUCUCUAUCCCAAUGGUUUCUAGGUUGGGUUUGCCUAAAAAUGAGAUUCUUCCAGGUUCAUCGGAGGCUUGGUCAAGUCAACUCUCAGAAGUGGCAAAGGAAUCGGCUCCUGUAGUCCUGUUCCAUGAGUGAGAUGAUGGCAAGAUGAUGAAACCAUUGCAAUUAUUGGCAUUAUGGUUAUUCUAAACCAUUGCAACUGUUGGGAUUAUGGUUAUUUCUGAACUAUUGCAGCUAUUCUUUUAUACCUCUUGGAACUCUAUAAACGAUUGAAAAAUCUUUGGAGAGAAAGAGCAAGUAAUGGCAAACAACAACCAGAAAAAAACAACAUACUAACAAAACAAAGAAAACUAUAUUUGUAUCUCUUGUAUCUUAGCUUAGAACAAGAGGAAAAAUUUGAUUGUCUUAUCAUACAAGAAAAUUUUUGUAACCCAAUGCUUUGAUAAGGGUCAAAAUACUCUUUAAGGAAAGUACUUCGUACAAAAUUCUAUCAUUAUCCAAGUUCACAAUUAUCAAAUUCCGGUUUCAACCACAACAUUCACAAUUUAUCAAGUAUCGGGUUCAACCACAACAAAAAGUUAGAUAGAAUGAAUUCAUAUUACUCGUGGACUCUUUCAAAUGACAUGAAAAUUAAAGGCUCUUAAUCCACAUAGGUCUUCUUUCAUAGGUACAUAGUGACAAUCCAUAAUUUAAAUUGCAUAUUACAAAUAAAGAUAAGUACAUUUAGGGAAACAAUGUGUGAAUCAAUCACAUCUUCAACUUCAAGGAUUCUAGGACAACAAGGAGAGGACCAACAACUUUUCCUAACUCUAAACCAAAUCCUAUACACGUUUUUUCUCCACAUAAACAUUGUUUGGGAAUUCCAUAAGUACUUAUGUUAUGAUCCAUUGAGCUAACAUUUGAUCGAGAAGUUGAUGGUUGAGUGUAAUUGUAAGGCAUCUUAACUGAAUUUAAAUAAAAAUAUCAGUUCAUCUGAAUCCAGCCCAGGCUCAGGUCCAACACAAAUUAGGGCCAUAGGACAAAAAUCACAGUAGAAUCGAUAAUAAGGGCACACCUAAGGAUUCAGAUGUGGGAAUACAAACCUGGCUAGCAAACUCCUUGUAUUUCCCUGCAAGGAUAUUGUCCUGCACUUCAAGUAGCAGCACCUGCAUUGUUGCACAAGGCAGUCUCACUGCGGUAGGAGUAAGAGAAGAAGUUUGGGAGCAUCAGGAGGGAUAGUCAUCAUGAGAACCCUGACCGGUCGCGGCAGCAGCAAGGGAGCCAUUUCACCCUCGACAGAUUCGCCUGCACAAAGAACCAACGUGUUAGCCGCCAUCACAGAGCGUUACCUCUUCUAGAAGAACCCUCCACGUCUGGCUUUAUUCAGAAUAUACAGUGAAUGGUUAGAUUCAAAACUUGUUGAGAUACCUCUGAUGUUGGUGUGUGGUGAGGGUGUCAAGUUUUACCCUAAAUGAAAUCAAUAGCCGCAAGUGCACAGCUGAUCGAUUGUGGUACUUAGGGAUCGAAUCCACAGGGAAGGAGGAUCUUUCCUGCAAACGCCUUCAAAAGAAAUAUAAAGUAAGGAAGUCUAGAACCAGGCGAUUUUUGUGAGGGUUUUGGUGGUGCCUUUAAAACGUAAAAACGAAUCUUAAAGAAAAAAUACGGUAAUUAAAAUGACCUAAUAACUAAACUUAACGGAAACUACUAAAAACGAGAAAAUGGCUAAACCUAGUUGCUUUAAUAAAAAUCGAUUAGGAAAAUGAAAAUACUAGACUAAAACUUAAAUGAAAAUCGGUGUAAAUCUAUAGAAAAGAGGCGCUGGGUUUCAGGAAAGUUUUCUCAAGGGUAUAAACGAUUCAAAACAUUGCUAGAAAGUAAAUUUGAUAAGAUCUUAGCUUAAACUUUUUGAACUAGAGUCACGGACGUAUGAAUACGCCACUGUCGUGGUCAUAGACAACUAUCUCUAUCAUUCCUGACCAGUAGGUUUCCACUCUAGCACUAGAAGAGAAGAGAUGCAUUAUGUUUAAGACUCGUCAGCAUUCACAAAUCGCCCAUAGGUAGGUUUCCACUCCUAUGUUUGUUUUUCUCUCCCAAACUAGAUCUGACACCAGAUGAACACUUUCGUGCCACCAAGCAUCUGGAUCAGAUUGUAGUUCAUGAUGCUACUCUUAUGCAGUAAAAAUAAAUUCAGAAGAAAAAGUUCUAAGAUUCGGCUUCAAUAGCUCAUGGAAUCCUCAUCGAACAUAUGUAUCCCCAUCGAAAAUCCCUUAGACCCAACAAUAAAACUACUCAGACAUGAUGAAAGAAAUCAAAAACAUAGUAUUAAAAAGUAGAACAGAAACCAAAAUUGAAAAAGAAAGAACAAGGGUUCAAGAGAUAGAUCUCUCUCUCCCUAAAACCUAAAACUUAAAAAGUUUUCUAAAACAAUAAGAGCAUAUGAGGUUCUGAUAGAUGAUACGAAUUAGGGUUCCUAAGACAUGUAUUUAUAGUGCUCAAGAUAUCUUUGGGGUCUAGGGUUCCGGAAUCAAGGCUGAGAAAAUGAUAUGGGCUUCAGAAAUGGGCCUUCGGGUUCGGAGUUGGCUGGCCGCAGUCGGGAUGUGCAUGACCGCGGAGAAUGGAUGGCUGGCCGCGGUCGGGGAGCUUGCGACCGCGGGAAAUAGGCUGUUGGCCGCGGGUGGAAACGCUUGCCGGCUAGUUUACAUGACAUCUUGCUCUUUGCGUAUCUUUUGAUUGAACCGUUGGAUUGCCAAGCUGUAAAGUGUGCUGGAAAGCUGAUACUUCCAUCUUUGAGAUCUCCAAAUCUGAGCUGGAUCAGAAGGUGAGAAGGCCUUUAAUUGGGGGUGAACUUCUGACGGUUUGACUCUAAGCUGAAAAUCUGGUCUUCUAUCCAUUUUGUUAAGCUUUUCCCUAAGUUCUUUGAAAAGAGUCUUGGAACUACAAAUACUAGAAAAACGUAAUAAAAGUACUUGAAAGCAAUUAAAAACAUAGAAAAAGUAUUUCAAAACGAUCCAUAAAAGUGGUCAAAAUACGGUGUUAUCAACUCUCCCAGACUUAAACCUUUGUUUGUCCUCAAACAAAGCAAAAGUCUAAACUGGUUAAGUGAAAACAAAAAUAGGAAAUUCACAAUUCUCAGAGACAUUAACUCCUAAACUAGAACCAAAGAUAGUGCAUCACUCCACAACUUAGUCUAGAAAAUUCUCACCAAGACACAAAAGAUACUAGUCCACUUUUUCCGUCAUGCAAAACUUAAACAAUCUAAAUCUUGAUUCCAGUCAACUAGCUCUCUACAUUCAGUAAGUGCAAUAGUGAAUUCUCCUUAAAGACAUCAUCCAGGGUAGACGGCGUUUGGCAUUAAAGGGCUGUUUAAGUGGUGGAGUUAAAGUGUUUCGGGUCACCUGAUGAAUCUGGAGGAUGCAAGAUAAUAUGCAAAACCGCAAGAGAGAUAAGGACCUGUUGAAGACCGCAAUUUUCAGUCACUUCUUCUUGCCAAAUGUUGUUGCAUAAUCCUUCCUCAUUUGUUUUGAACAGCUAUUCCCCCAGACUUAGAUUCUUUCGGAGAAUCAGAAAAUGAUCUCCAAAACUCCAUAAAAUCGAACUCCAGUUGCCUUGGGACUUAAAAUUCGACCUCCCUAGACUCUCUAAGGCUUUUAUUUCUGUUCUUUUCUUUUUUUUUCUUUUUUUUUCUUUUUUUUUGAAUAGGUAAUGCCUUUAAAAGAUGAGAGAGACUAGAGGACGAGAUUGUACCAAAAUUUGAGAUUUUUCUAAGGCAAACUGAGCUUCCUCUUGUGUUGAAUCCUUCCGGGAACUUUUCCGGCAAAUCGCAGGUCUCUGUCUUUGGUGACUGAAAACUGCGUCGUUCCUCUUUCUCUCCAACUUUUUUGCACUUAUCUGCAUAUAAGACAAUAGAAAACAAGAGUGCAUGUGGUUUGCUAAAGGUGGGAAACUAGCUAAAUAUGAACUAGCCAUUCAGGAUCAAUAGAGAGUGGUAAAAAGAAUAAAGGAGUCCUGAAUGUAUGAGUCGUUUCCCUGGUCUAAUGCUUUAAUGAGAGAAUUAAGUCCAAAUUAAGUCUAGAUGAAACAGAGCUAGUGUAUUCCUUCAUCUAAAUUGAAAUCAUUCAAAUUCCUCUAGGGUACUUCGUUUCAAAUGUGCUUAGCUACCGCCUAGUCUAGUCCUAAAUCAUGAAUGAGCAUGUCACUAGGAACAGUCUAAAAGCACACAGUCAACUAUCAUUGAUUCAUGUUCACCAUUCCCUUUAAAACGUAUUUUGUUUUGAAAACCGAUUUUGAAAAACUUUAAGGAAAAUGCAAAAAGUGUAGAUAAUGCAAGACUCAUGAAAGAAAAGUGGUUAGAAAGGGAUGAAAUCCUCCCCUAGACUUAAAUUACACUGUCCUCAAUGUGAAACAAGUCGAGAUUGGAUGAGAAAAAUGCAUAGAUAAUCGAAUUGGUAAUGGUGGUGGCGAUGGACCGGAUUCAUUUGAAGAGGUUUGGGAAGGUGAUAGGUGGUGAUAGAAGGUGGUGGAAAGUGAUGGAUGAGGUGGAGUGGGGCUUGGUGAGGUGGAAUGAGGUUGGGUGGUUUGGGGUUGGGUAUCAUCUCAACGACCAUUUGCCGCGGUCAGGAGUCACGCGACCGCGGUGAAGUGGUGCUCGGCCGCGGUCAGAAAGACGCGGCCGCGGUCGAAGGGCUGUUUCCCGUGGUCAGAACGCCUGCGACCGCGGGGGCUUAUAUGCGGCCUGUUUCCUGCUUCUCCUUGGUUCCUGCUGGGCCAAGCAGUCAAGGACCAUCCUUCUUUUUUGUUUUUUUUUCGGUUUUUUUUUAUUUUUUUUGGUUUUUUUUUUGUUAUAUAUGAAACAACUGAAACUAAGAAAAAGAAAAAGAUUCAUAGAAAAAAAAAAAAAAAUCAUAAAGAAAACAAUACCUAAAUGGGUUGCCUCCCAUUAAGCGCUUCUGUUUUAAGUCGUUUAGCUCGACUUUGGUGUUGGACGUGGCUUAGUCCAAUGAAGAAGAUCUUGUCCUGAGAUCUUGUCCUGAGACAAGUCUUUUUUCGACAUCUCCUUGGUUUGCCUAGCAGGUUCUUCGUCACUCCAAAGUUCUUCUUCAAGCUCUUCUGUUGCAGAACGUUUUCCUGCUUUGCUGUUGUAUGGGACAGCUUCUGUGAAGACAUCUUUGUCGAUAUUAGCAAGCAAAAUCCUCUGGUUUGGCCAGUCCAUUAUAGCUCCGGAAGUUGCUAGAAAAGACAAUCCGAGAAUCACUGGAUGUGUUGCGUCUCUUGUUUCGACAAUGUAGAAGUCGACAGACACGAUGCAAUCUCCAAUUCUCAAAGGAAUGUCAUGAGCUAUUCCUUGAGGUGGUGCAUUGGAAUCAUCAGCUAGACUAAUCUUUGCUCUAGUCCUGCGCAGGUGCUUAAUACCAAGUCUCAAAGAAAUUGUCUUGGACAUCAUGUUAAGACAAGCUCCAGAAUCACAAAGCAUGUUUUUAAACAUUUCACCUCUAAUAGAACAAGAGAUGAGAAACUGAUCUGCACCUUCGAUUUUGUGAAGUGUUCUAACAGGCUUACCUCUUCUGGCAUGAUUGAACAAGUCUUCUAUUUCAGGGAUUGAUUCCUUACUCUCACAGAAGUAAUGGCCUAUCAUGAAGUCCUUGCAAGCUCUGGCAAAGGUGAUUCCUUCAGGUAAAUUUUGAACCACUUCAUUGAACUCAUCGAGCUUCUCUUUGCUGAUUUUCUUGGUGUAGUGGCUACAUUCUUCAGGUUUUUGAAGGUGGAUCGCAUAGACAGCUGCUUCUGGUGAUGUCAUGUAUCGAGCUCGCAUAAAGUAUCUAUGGAUCAUGUAUAAAGUAUCAUGUAUCAAGCUCGCAUAAAGUAUCUAUGGAUCUUGUCCUGAGACAAGUCUUUUUCGACAUCUCCUUGCUUUGCCUAGCAGGUUCUUCGUCACUCCAAAGUUCUUCUUCAAACUCUUCUGUUGCAGAACGUUUUCCUGCUUUGCUGUUGUAUGGGACAGCUUCUGUGAAGACAUCUUUGUCGAUAUUGGCAAACGAAAUCCUCCGGUUUGGCCAGUCCAUUAUAGCUCUAGAAGUUGCUAGAAAAGACCAUCCGAGAAUCACUGGAUGUGUUGCAUCUCUUGUUUCGACAAUGUAGAAGUCGACAGGCACGAUGCAAUCCCCUAUUCUCAAAGGAAUGUCAUGAGCUAUUCCUUGAGGUGUUGCAUUGGAAUCAUCAGCUAGACUAAUCUUUGCUCUAGUCCUGCGCAGGUGCUUAAUACCAAGUCUCAAAGCAAUUGCCUUGGACAUCAUGUUAAGACAAGCUCCAGAAUCACAAAGCAUGUUUUUAAACAUUUCUCCUCUAAUAGAACAAGAGAUGAGAAACUGGCCUGCACCUUCGAUUUUGUGAAGUGUUCGAACAUGUUUACCUCUUCUGACAUGAUUGAACAAGUCUUCUAUUUCAGGGAUUGAUUCCUUGCUCUCACAGAAGUAAUGGCCUAUCAUGAAGUCCUUGCAAGCUCUGGCAAAGGUGAUUCCUUCAGGUAAAUUUUGAACCACUUCAUUGAACUCAUCGAGCUUCUCUUUGCUGAUUUUCUUGGUGUAGUGGCUACAUUCUUCAGGUUUUUGAAGGUGGAUCGCAUAGACAGCUGCUUCUGGUGACGUCAUGUAUCGAACUCGCAUAAAGUAUCUAUGGAUAUCCUCCUUAGACUCCUUGCAGUACCUGAAAAAGACUUGCAAACGACCAAGCUUCCAGAUUUCAUCAAAGCUUAGGUGAGUAGGGAAUGUCCUGACCAUAUUGUUAAACUCUAUGAGCUCCUCCCUACUGAUGCUGUUGGUGAUCCAUUGAAUUUCUCCCAUACUUUCUUCAGAGGAGUAUCCUGCAUCUGGAUCCUUCACGAACAAUCCAUAUUCUUCAUCUUCAGAGUAUUGCUCUUCAUACUCAUCUUCACAAGACAAGGCCAUGUUGCAUGGCAAUGGCUUGUCUUCGUCUUCAGAUCCUUGGGUGCUGAUGGAGCAAACUAGUUGUUGAUGGAGAGGUUUAGUCAUUCCAGGAGGUGUACCAGACGCACAACUGCUUGUAUGAGCGAAUCGGGGCUGUUUUGGAAUGUUUUUUUGGUUGGCCUUGACUGCAGGAGACGCGACCGCGGGAAAACGUCCAUGGGCUGCGGGUAGACCAAGCACAACCGUGGGAAAGGGCUUCUUGGCCGCGGUCGCAGGCGACGCGACCGCGGGAGAACAUCUCCGAGUUGAGUUUCUGCAACUGCUUGCUCCCUUGCUUCCUGAAUGAUCUCCUGAGUCUUCUGGCUUGAUGUACUUCCUCUCUGGACUUAAGUCUUUAGUUUUGGCUGCUGGAAUCUGCUCUCCAAGUCCUUGUAUGAUCUCCUCAACCUUUUCUUCAACUUCAUCAAGAGCAUAGACUACUUUUUCCAUGGUUGAGUCAAGCUCUUCGGUUUUGUCAAUGACUUUAUAAACCUUCUCUGAAACUUUGACUGUGAAGUUAUAAGACUCGUUCUUAGCUUUGUUGAGGGCUUUGGCCACAUUGUCGAGUUUGAAAUCCAGGUCCAUGACUUUGUUUUUAGUGUUGCCAAGCUCGUAGUUGUGUUUUGCUUGUUCUUCCUCCAUGCUGUCGAACCUGUUGGCAAUCAUGGCUGCGUCCUUGGUUGCUCGUUCUUCUAUUGAUUUGACCUGAGAAGCUAGGUUAUCGAUCUUCUCAUUGAAAAGUUUCGAUAUCCCGUCAAUUCUUAUGUUUAGAGCGGCUGUAGUGGUUGCUUGAACUUCUAUGAACUGCUUGAUUACGCCUUCGAGCUGACUCAAUCGGUUACUGAGCUGGACGUUCUCAUCUUGCUGGAGAACCUAGUGAGGUAGGCGAUACAUAGGUGGUCUAGGGUUUACCAUUGGAGGUACGUAGGGCUCGUUCACGAACGUUCUGUAGUCUUCGGUUCGAACUUCUUCGUAGAGAUCGCGUAGGUAUUGCUUUUCUCUGCGUCUGGUGGCUUGAGGAGUGUUGUAAAAACCUCCCUCAUAGUAGGGAUUUUGAUUUAUAGGAUCCAUUGCUUCGGGAAUGGAAACAAAAUAACUGAAAAAUGGAAAUAUGCAGAAAAAGGGGUUCUAGAGUCGAUUUACCAACCUUUCUUGGGGUUUUGCGGAAAAGAAAAUGUGUGCCUUUCCUGGCAACGGCGCCAGAAACUUGAUGUUGGUGUGUGGUGAGGGUGUCAAGUUUUACCCUAAAUGAAAUCAAUAGCCGCAAGUGCACAGCUGAUCGAUUGUAGUAUUUAGGGAUCGAAUCCACAGGGAAGGAGGAUCUUUCCUGCAAAAGCCUUCGAAAGAAAUAUAAAGUAAGGAAUUCUAGAACCAGGCGAUUUUUGUGAAGGUUUUGGUGGUGUCUUUAAAACGUAAAAACGAAUCUUAAAGAGAAAAUACGGUAAUUAAAAUGACCUAAUAACUAAACUUAACGAAAACUACUAAAAACGAGAAAAACGGCUAAACACUAUUGCUUUAAUAAAAAUCGAUUGGGAAAAUGAAAAUACUAGACUAAAACUUGAAUGAAAAUCGGUGUAAAUCUAUAGAAAAGAGGCGCUGGAUUUCAGAGAAGUUUUCUCAGGGGUAUGAACGAUUCAAAACAUUGCUAGAGAGUAAAUUUGAUAAGAUCUUAGCUUAAACUUUUCGAAAUAAACUCUCGAACGUAUGAAUACGCCAUUGUUGUGAUCAUAGACAACUAUCUCUAUCAACCCUGACCAGUAGGUUUCCACUCUAGCACUGGAAGAGAAGAGAUGCAUUAUGUUUAAGACUCGUCAGCAUUCACAAAUCGCCCAUAGGUAGGUUUCCACUCCUAUGUUUGUUUUGCUCUCCCAAACUAGAUCUGACACCGGAUGAACACUUUCGUGUCACCAAGCAUCUGGAUCAGAUUGUAGUUCAUAACGCUACUCUCAUGCAGUAAAAAUAAAUUCAGAAGAAAAAAGUUCUAAGAUUCGGCUUCAAUAGCUCAUGGAAUCCUCAUCAAACAUAUGUAUCCCCAUCGAAAAUCCCUUAGACCAAACAAUAAAACUACUCAGACAUGAUGAACGAAAUCAAAUACAUAGUAUUAAAAAGUUGAACAGAAACCGAAAUUGAAAAAGAAAGAACAAGGGUUCAAGAGAUAGAUCUCUCUCUCCCUAAAACCUAAAACUUAAAAAGUAUUCUAAAACAAUAAGAGCAUAUGAGAUUCUGAUAGAUGAUACGAAUUAGGGUUCCUAAGAUAUGUAUUUAUAGUGCUUAAGACAUCUCUGCGGUCUAGGGUUCCAGAAUCAAGGCUGAGAAAAUGAUAUGGGCUUUAGAAAUGGGCCUUUUGGUUCGGAGUUGGCUGGCCGCGGUUGGGAUGUGCGUGACCGCGGAGAAUGGAUGGCUGGCCGCGGUCGGGGAGCUUGCGACCACGGGAAAUAGGCUGUUGGACGCGGGUGGAAACGCUUGUCGGCUGGUUUACAUGACAUCUUGCUCUUUGCGUAUAUUUUGAUUGAACCGUUGAAUUGCCAAGCUGUAAAGUGUGCUGGAAAGCUGAUACUUCCAUCUUUGAGAUCUCCAAAUUGAGCUGGAUCAGACGGUGAAAAGGCCUUUAAUCGGGGGUGAACUUCUGACGGUUUGACUCUGAGCUGAAAAUCUGGUAUUCUAUCCAUUUUGUUAAGCUUUUCCCUAAAUUCCAUGAAAAGAGUCUUGGAACUACAAAUCCCAGAAAAACGUAAUAAAAGUACUUGAAAGCAAUUAAAAACAUAGAAAAAGUAUUUCAAAACGAUCCAUAAAAGUGGUCAAAAUACGGUGUUAUCAACCUCCAACACGGCAGUAAAUGCUCCAACCUCGGCCGCUCGGGGACACUCGAUUGGGAUCUUGUACAUUUGGUUUUCAGCCGGAAUCUUUUCGAGUUCUGACGGAUUAUUCGAAGGGCCGUGGGCUCCCUAUUCCUGGGAGGAACAUCCUCAGUUUGCACCGACUCAUCCUCACGAGCCUUAGUACCCUCGUGGUCAAGGUGAACGACCUCCACUGGUGCUAACCUCCCAUCGCCAGCUCUGGUGUCUUCAUCCGGGAUUACCGACACAAUGUUCGGAAUGUUGAGAAGAUUUCUCCGUACCAUCCUUUUUCUCCUAACCUUUGGCUCGGCUUUCUUCUUACGGAUUUGGCCUGAUGCAGGCUCUGCAAGUGUUAUCACAAUAUAAGCAUCAUAUCCACCUCAACCAAGCAGGUCAAAAGAAGAAAAGAUGCCUUACUCUUAGGACUUCGACAGGCGCCUCUCUGCUCUCCCGAGCUGCCUGGACUUCUGGCCAUCGCUCCUUCCCGAGGGUUGAAAGUGCCUCGGAAAAGUUGAUCUGCUACAGUGUUAAAUGCUUGAAGACCGGAUUCCGAACUGCGAAGCAAAAAUGAUUUUACAGUAUGGAAAAGUUAAGCAACCAUUUCAAAGAAACUAAAAACUAUCGAUAUUCGCAUUCCAGUCAGUCUGAUACUAAGCAGCUCUCGUGUUCACAACAAACGCCGAGUUAAUCUUGACAAAUAAAUACUUCGCCACCCAGUUUUUGACUUUGUUAUCUUUUGUACCGGUGAUGAUAUCAUAGCUAGGUUUCAUGUUGGUUGAAAAGUACCACGAUUUGGCAUCCGCAAUGUUGACCGAGGUGAACUCUUCAAAGAGUCGCACAUUGAUGGGAAUUCCCAACGCCUCAAACAUUGAGAUGAGUCUGACCAUGUUGACUAUUGAGGCCAGAUUAAGCUGGGAAGUCGUGGCCCUCCGCCUGACGCAUUACUCAAAUAGAAAGUCAGGAACAAGGAACCGAGUCCGCAUUUACGAAUCUAGUCUUCGUAAACGCAUAAAUACCUUUUCUGAGGAGCCCAAGGACGACGGUGCUUAAGCACCAUAACUAUGAUGUCGUCUAGGGUGCUGACUUCUGAAGGAGGUCCAAAACUUUUUCCUCCGAGCAAGAGGCGGGCCAAACAGUGUCAGGAUGAGCCAAUUGGAAGUAAAUCUCAAGACGGGCGGGACCUUCAGUGUUUCCGAAGACCUCAAAGACCUCUUCAGACUCCUCCCUGAGACUGGCUUAGUCUGCAUCACCGCCAGCCGUCUCCUCAUCGUUGGAUUAAGAUCGGGCGUCUGUUUUGCGGCUACCCUCAUCUCGGAGAGUCAGGACUUCGAUGGAAAUCUGGCCCAGAUUUGGACUAGAUUGAGCUGGGUUCAAACCUGAUCCGGUAGAAGAGUGGUGGCUACCAGAAUCAUCACUAGAAGGCUCCACGUCUGAGUACGUCAAUUCCCUCGAAACAAAUCGGCCCUCAAGGCCUCUGGUGCGAAAGCAAGAAGACUCGUUCGAAGAUGAAGAUUUCGCCAAAGACAUUUUUAUCAAAGAAGACGAAGAUUUCGAGAAACAAACAGUGAAGCUACCACCCUAGUUGGAGCUAAAUGCCGAAAAUCGAAUUGGAAACCCUAAAAGAUGCGAGAGAAAGAAUAAAUCGCGAGAAUAAAAAUGCCGCACCUUUGAAAGACUCCUCUUUUUAUGCAAAUCUUGAAGUGGAAAAGAAAAAAUAAAUUAAGGGAAGUGGAGUCAUUUAUAGUCGUAAAGGUAAUGAUGGAUUUCUUGAUUUACGUGAUCGGUUACGGGAAGCCAAAGCGUUUGUUCAUCAAAAUCCUGGCUAACAACAAUUUUAAUUUUUUUUUUUCAAUUUAUCAUUUUCGUGUUUUCUUAUUACACAUAUUUUAUUCAAUUUAUCUUUUCAACUUAUACUUUCAAAAUUGUUGUCAUACAUUUUUUUUCUGUUUCAUUUUUUUUCUAUUUUUGAUAUCUUAAUAUUUUUUCGAUUCUUUAUUGAUUUUUUGUGUUAUAUUUUUAUUGUUCUUAUUUGUUAGUCUUUAGUUGCUUGUAUUUUUAAACAUAUUGUAUUCAGUUUUUUAGCCUCAUAACUUACUUUUUACCAUUUUGUAUUUUUUAUGAUCUUAAUAAUCUAUUUCAUCAAUUUUUUCGAUUUUUUCAUUUAAAUCCUUAGAUAAAAUUUAUUUUAUACUUUUUAAAUUUAUCAUUUUAUAUUUUUUUAUUACAUAUAUUUCAUUGAAUCAUCUAUCCAACCAGUACCUUUAAAAUUUUGUAUAUAUAUAUUUGUUGCCACAUUCUAUUUUUUCUUUUCUAUAACUUUUUUCUCUAAUUUUGAAAAUUUCUUCUUCUCGAUUAUUUAUUGAAUUUUUUUAGGUGUUGUAGUUUUAUAGCUCUUAUUUUUUGUAAUUUUUUUUACCUAUUGUUAUUAUUUUUGUUCUCAAAACUGUUUUUUUUUAUGUUUAUUGAUUUAGUUAUCUUUGUUAGUUCAAAGAUGAAGAUUAAAUCAUACAAAAAAAUAAAAUAUGAAGACACUUACUAUAUUUUAAUAUAUUUAAAUUUUAUUAUUAAAUUAUGAUUUAAUAUUUUUAAUUUAAUACUGUUAAAUUAAAUUAAUUAGUUUAUAUAUAUUUAUGUUGUUUAAUGAAUUUCUUUAGUUUUAUUGUUAUUAUUUGUUAUUCUUCAGUUAAACAUAUUAUUUUCAAUUUAAAGCUCAUAAAUUGUUUUUUACCAUUUUAUAUUUUUAUGAUCUUAGAUACCUCUUUUGUUUAAAUCCUCGCAUAACGAUAAUUUUGAAAUUUAUAAAUUUAUUAUUUUUAUAUUUUGUAUUAAAUUUAUUUCAUUGAAUCCAUCUUUCUAUCCAGUAUCUUUAUAAUUUUGUAUAUUCAUUUGUUACCAUAUAUGUUUUUUCUUUUUUUUAUCAUUUUUCUUUAUAAUUUUGAUAUUCUAUUAUUCUUUUUAUCAUUUUUCUUUUUUAUAGUUCAAAAUAGUUUUGUAGCUCUUGUUUUUUGUUCUUCAGUUGCUUGAAAAUAUUUUUAACUAUUUUUUUAUUUUUGGUCUCAAAACAUUUUUUCCUUUUUUUAUUGGUUGAAUUAUCUUUUUUAAUUCAAAGAUGAUGAUUAAAUCACAAGAAAAAUAUAAUGAGAAGACAAUCACUAUACUUUUAUAAAUUUAAAUUUCAUUUAUUUUAAGUUUAUGUUUUAAUUUUUUAAUACAUUUAACUAUAAAUUAAAUAAUUUAUAUAUAUUUAUGUUAUUUAAUGAAUUUACUUUAAAUUUAAUUAAUUUUUUUAGUAAAUGCUGAGAUGUAAAAAUAAAUAGAAAUGAACUAAUAAGGAAGAGAUAAUAUGUCAACCCCUGGAGAGCCCACUUCAUCUAUAUAUAUUAGAUUUUUUUUAGUAACUUUAUUUUUUAAAGAUUAAAAAUUGAUUACUAAAUUUUAAUAAAUAUUAUUUUUUGAUUAAUUUAUUUUAAAUUUUCCAACUUUCAUUUAACAUAUGUGGCGAUCAGAUGAAUUAACAAAUUUGAAAAUUUUUUUUUAUUUUAAACAGAAAUAUACUUUUCCAUUUUCAUAAUUUUUUUGAGCUUUUAUUUUAUCAGAUUGUUAUCUAUUGUUUACUUUCCCUAUUUUAGUUUUUCCUUUUUUAUUAUUUUAAAUUAUUAUUAUUUUUUUUUGUCGACUACCCAUCUACUAAGCCAUGUUUUGAUCAGUAGGAUGAUAAUUCCGGAAAGUCAUAACCAUUAUGUAUUUCCUUUUUUUUUAAUCUUUGAGGAUAACUAUCAUAAAUUUUACUUUUAUUGUUAAUAAUAUGUGUUAAAACAUAAUUAGAAUUUUACAAGUGUCAAAAUAUAAUUAAAAACCAUUAAACAUGUUUCAAGAUUUGAUCAAUUAACUUGACACGUGUCAAGAUCUGAUCGAUUGACUUUACACGUGUCACAAUCUAGUGAGUUAGCAACUUUGAAUCAUUCUCUUUUAUAUAAAAAAAAUCAUUAAAAAUACGUGUCAAGAUCUGAUCGAUUGACUUGACAUGUGUCAUAAUCUGGUGAAUUUUUUUGGCUUUUAUUCUUUUAGAUUUGUUAGUUGUCUUAUUUUAGUUUUUUCUAUUUUUUAUUUUAGUUUAUUUAAUUUCAACAUAACUAUUAUUUUUAUUUUUUGUUUUACCUUUGCGGAUUAGGAAUUGGUCAAAAAAUUUAUUUUUAUUGUUAAUAAUAUGUGCUUAAAUAUACUUAGAAUUUUACAUAUAUCACAAUUUACUAAAAAAACAUUAAACAUGUGUCAAAAUCUGAUCAAUUGAUCUGACACGUAUCACAGUCUGGUGAUUUAGCAACUUUGAAUCGUUCUUUUGUAUAAUAUGAAAACCCAAUAAACACAUGUCAAGAUUUGAUCGAUUGAUUUGACACAUGUCACAAUCUGGUGAGUUAGCAAUUUUAAAUCAUUUUCUUUUAUAUAAUAAGACUAAUGGCUAAGCCGCAGUUCGCGCAGAAUUUUAUGUGUUGUUUUUUUUGAUGAAAUGUGAUAUUCAUUGAUCCAGUAAGAAAUAUGUACAAAGAGUGUUUUUAAAAGAUCCUCAAUGCAAAAAAAGAACAAAAUGCAACUCAAAAUGCACAAGAACCAGAGCAUGUUUUCCAAAACAGGGCAUUAGCGAGAUACUCUAAACCACAUUUGAAGUAGUUCUUGUAGAUGUGGCCUGGUCCAAUAGUCCAGUGAUGAAAUUCUGUUCCUGACCAUCUUGUCUAUGUGUCGAACCAGUUGAUGAGUAUCAUUGUACCCCGUGAGAUGAAUCCUAGAAUUCCUCUCCCUCCAUUUGCAAUAGAUGGUAAUCUGAAAUACCAAUCGAACAAGUAUUAGACGUAGACGAUCCCCUUCAUAGUUUACUAUGAAUUGAAGCGUUUCAGUCCAGUCCGGGUUCUCUCGAUGUCUCAGGAGUCUGCCUGCAAUGUCUGACCAAAUUGUGAAUGAAUAAGGGCAUGCGUAGAACAGAUGGUUGUAUGUCUCAUUCAAUUCCCCACAUAGUACACAAGGUUGGGUCGCUCCCCAAAGCUGCAUGCGAUCUCCCGUCGACAAUCUAAUAUAGAUUUCUUGCCAAGUGAUAAACCUGCAUCUAGGAAUCCCCUGCGUGAACCAGACUGUUUUCCACCAUGGUAGUACUGGUCUGAUUUCUCGAAUCAGAUUCCAUGUUGAGAAUGAGGAGAAAAAGUUCUUAUACUCAUCAGGUUUGUGUUUCCAUAGAAAUUGAUCAUCUCCAUUCGUGUUCCUUGGUAGUGGAUGUGCUCUUAUUUGCUCGUAUACAUGAUUCAAAUCUCGCAGACGUGUUUGACGCAGUUUCCAUCCGUGACGAUCCACAGCAUCAGAGACAGAAGCAUUGAUCGAAAUACCACGAAUCCUUGGGCCUUACAUCCAAAAGUCUUCCCAUUGGUAACCAGAGAUCAUACCAAAAUGAGACCGAUAUACCAUUAUGCACUUCUGCUCGAAUAAAAUUUGCUACCAGUGAAAGAAGUUUCAAUAACUUCCUCUAUAUCCAAGAUCCAAGCGUGGUGUCUGGAGCUGACAAGAAAGAUGCAUUGCGCAUCAGAUUUUGCUUGGUCCAAGCAACCCAAAGAGAUACCGACAUAGUGAAUAUAUGCCAUAUUAAAUUCAGAGCAAAAACUCGAAAUACAUCUCUUAGCCGACUCUGCCUUUGGUUUACAGACCCCAUCCUAAGCAAUCUUUGCACCUGUGGAGGUAUUAGGAUUACCAGACCAUAAAAAAGCUCCACACUUCCUUUCAAGUUUGAUAUACUCGUGAUGACCGAUGAAAUUAGUUGGAGACGGUCUGCGUAGGAUAAUUGCUUGCUCGUCCAAAAUAGCAUUCUGGAUCUGAUUUUGUCAAUUAGAGGCGCAUAAUCAUGAGCCGUCAUCGUUUAGUGGUAAGCGGAAGUCCCAAAUAGCGGAUCGGUAAGGUCUCAAUUGGUUUGCCUAAUUCAGCUGCCGUCAAAGCUAAACCCUGUAUUAUCCGACCACCUGUGAAUAAAGCAGACUUAGUUGCAUUAAUGUGAAGGCUAGAGAUACGAGCUAAACUCUGUAUUACCCGACCACAUGUGAAUAAAGCAGAUUUAGUGGCAUUAAAGCAAAUUUUAUGUAUUGUUUGACAUAGUUAAAACAAAACUUAUAUAUAUAUAUAUAUAUUCAUUAAAUAUUUUAUUUUAAUUAAAAAAAGAAAAUUUUCAUAUUUUAGUGUUUAGUGAUUUUGUAUCCAGUUGAUGUAAUUAUAUAGUUAUAAUAUUUAGAAAACAAUUAUAUACAAUAUCAAUCAAAUUUUAAAAUCAGAUUUGAUUUGUAAAAUAUCUUAAUAUAUAUGUUGAAUAAUAAUUUUCGACCAUUACCACAUCCAAUCAUGGAGAGUUGGUUCAAAGUCAAGUCUUUUUCACAAACAAACAUCAUACAAUUAGUCAUUUAAUCUUUCUGGAGUAUUUCGAUUCUAUAGUAUUCUGUAUGUUAUACUAUAUAAGUCUAUAUGUAAACGCCUCCUCAACCUUAAAGCUCAGACUCUGAUUAAUAAUUAUUAUAGGUGCUAAGAGCUGGAUCGUAACCUUCGUAACCUAUCUAGCGUUUAGUGUUUUCUCGAACACUUCUCGAACAGUAUUGUUUUAUGAAAAUUGUUCCAAGUUGGGUGAACCGAGAUUUUAUUUUCCAAACUCUAGUAUGGAAACAUUUAUGAUAAGUUAAAAAAAGAAAAAAAAAAAUUCAAACAUCCAAAUCCAGUGGGCAGAGGAAAAAAAUCUCCAAAAUUCUGCAUUCCAUUGUAAGUUAUUGUUUUUAUUUUGUGUCAUCUAGUGCAAUAAUCCAAAACAUAAAACGAGAGAGCGAGAGGUAGUGAGGAAAGUCCCGAGGAUUCGGCGUUUUAGUCGUGUGGCCUUUGUUGCAAAAACAAGCUGUGUGGCUCUCCCCAAUUUAUCUCCUUAUCUCUCCCCUACCCUUUUCCACCUCAUAUCUUCAAUACUAUCUUCUAUUACAAUCUCCCUCCCUAACUUCUUAGAACCUUUUGUUUUGUCCCCGAAUUUUGUGAAAGUCAACUCCCUCCCCACUCCACUAUCCAUUAGCAAGGAAAAAAUUACAAAAAAAUUAGAAAGAAGAAGGGGCAAAAUUGCAAAAGUAUCACAAAUGCAUUGUGAGCCAUACGUAACCGCAAAGAUUUUUCAUCUUGCUCUUAUCCGCCACGCGUCUAAAGAUUCCAAUAAGGGAAGCUACGUGAUUGGGAUAAGCUAAAUAACAAAAUAAAAUACUAACAAUUACAAACAUGGAAUAUCAAAAAAAAGAGAAAAGGAUAUAUUAAAGAGCUCUGAGAAGAAAAGGCCCUCAGGAGCUUACGCCCUAUUCAGAGGUUAGCUUCUCUCUCCUUUCUGGUUUUGCUAAGUCACUACUUCGUAUUCUCCGCUUUGUAACUCUUUUUUACAUAUAUAGUCUUAUAACUCUUUGAACCGAUCACACAUGUUUGUUGGUUUACACCUAUUUAAUAAGAUCAUCGUUGAAGUAUUUGUUGUGUAUGUAUAUACGCUUGUGUUAUUGCUUUACUGGAGUUGAUAGUAGGAAUAAUAUAUACAUAUCAGUAUAUCACAUCAUGCUCAUAUAAUCAAAUGUUUUAGUUAUAUCCUAUUUUUGCGAUUGUGUAUAUUUUAGAGAGUUCGUCGUAAACAUUUUGUAGUGUGGAGAAAGAGGAGAAAGAAGAAAAGGGGAAAAUGGACUAUAUGAAUGGACCAGGUAGACACCAUCUGUUUGUACCAGGACCAGUGAACAUACCGGAACAGGUAAUCCGUGCGAUGAACCGAAACAACGAGGAUUACCGGUCACCGGCCAUCCCGGCACUUACGAAAACGUUGUUGGAGGACGUGAAGAAGAUAUUCAAGACAACAUCUGGGACACCAUUUAUGUUUCCCACGACCGGAACUGGUGCUUGGGAGAGUGCCUUGACCAACACGCUAUCUCCUGGAGACAGGAUCGUCUCGUUUCUGAUCGGACAGUUUAGCUUGCUGUGGAUUGACCAGCAGAAGAGGCUAAAUUUCAAUGUUGACGUGGUUGAGAGUGAAUGGGGGCAAGGUGCUAAUCUCCAAGUCUUGGCCUCAAAGCUCUCACAAGACCAGAAUCAUUCCAUCAAAGCCAUUUGCAUUGUCCACAAUGAGACCGCGACUGGUGUCACCAAUGACAUCUCUGCUGUCCGAACCCUCCUCGGUCAGUAAUUCCACACAACCAUCUGUUUUUCUUUUCUGAUUGCUCUGUUAUUAAUUUCACUUACACACAUAUAAACACAUCUUCACAUCUUCACACAGAUCACUACAAGCACCCGGCUUUGCUGCUAGUGGACGGCGUCUCGUCCAUAUGUGCGCUUGAUUUCCGAAUGGAUGAGUGGGGAGUGGACGUGGCCUUGACUGGCUCUCAGAAAGCGUUAUCUCUUCCAACAGGGCUUGGCAUUGUGUGCGCAAGCCCAAAAGCUUUGGAAGCUACCAAAACUUCAAAAUCCCUCAAAGUUUUCUUUGAUUGGAAUGACUACCUCAAGUUUUACAAGCUUGGGACAUAUUGGCCAUACACACCUUCCAUCCAACUCCUAUACGGUCUUAGAGCUGCUCUUGAUCUGAUAUUUGAGGAAGGACUUGAUAAUGUCAUUGCUCGUCAUGCUCGUUUGGGAAAGGCCACCAGGUAAUUAACUUUAACUUUGUAACUACAAAUUCGAGUGCUUUUGAUCCAUAAUCUCUUCGGACUGGGGGUGUUCAGAAUGUAUUUAAAUGAAAUAUAGUUAGUCUUCUUCCCAUGCCAAUAUUCGAAUAAGUGAUCUUUUGAAAUACCAAUUCAAAACCAAUUGGCAGCAAGUUGGAAAGACUUAUUUAUGUUAUAAUUUUUGUUGAACAAUCUUUAAUUCUGAUGUGACGUUAUUCUAAGUCUCUUAGUAUACCAACUCAGCUACCGGCUAGAAACAUUAACUAGAUUUUGGUUUGAUGUACGCAGGCUGGCGGUGGAAGCGUGGGGGCUUAAAAACUGCACACAGAAGGAGGAGUGGAUAAGUAACACAGUGACAGCAGUCGUGGUGCCUCCGAAUAUAGACAGUACGGAGAUUGUGAAAAGGGCAUGGAAGAGAUACAACCUAAGUCUUGGUCUUGGUCUCAACAAAGUGGCUGGAAAGGUUUUCAGAAUUGGUCACCUUGGAAACCUUAAUGAGGUACGUUUCUGUAUUUGUAAUCCAACUAUUUAAUUAAUUAAAUUUUAAUCAACAUUACAACAUAAAACGCAGUUGCAACUUCUUGGGUGUUUGGCUGGAGUGGAGAUGAUACUAAAGGAUGUUGGGUACCCAGUUGUUUUGGGAAGUGGAGUUGCAGCUGCUUCUACUUAUCUUCAGCACCACAUUCCUCUCAUUCCCUCUAGGAUCUAAAUCACAUCCCCAUUUCUCUGUUCUCUCUCUCUCUCUCUCUUUCUCUCUCAAUGUAAAAUCACUCUACUAUUUUCUCUUUUCUCCAAUUAUAUUUUACUACAUUAUCUAUGUUUUUAUGUGCUAUUCUCAACAAACU
rnacentral:lncRNA from 1 species